rnacentral:lncRNA from 1 species
UCAUAUUGCCAUUCUUUGCAUAUAUAUAUUAACUUUCAGUGUACAGAUGGGUUCACAAACUGUUUAUUUCACAAGCAGUUCAUAUGUCACGAACAUAGUACAUAAACAACCCAUUCAUAUGAAUCAUACUAUCUUACAAGUGAAUUUCUUGCCACUAAUUGACCAAUCCAAGAUAGGCACCAUCUGCACAACUCUCCCCAGCCUCAUAUGAUCAUGAUAGGAGGGCCGUGGGCCGGCGAUGCAGUCACUGAUAAGAUGCGCAGAGGCUGUGGCAGUGGUUUCGAAGACGGCUUGAAUUUCGAUGGACGGAGUCUUCAGUUCCCCGUGCAAGAACGCUUCCUGCAACGCUGCCACAUAUAAUAUGCAUCCAUUGUGUAGCAGCGCCAUGUAGACAAUGUCCAUGCCUUAAGAGGAAACAACCAUGAAUUAUUGAAAGCCCAUGUAGAAGAGACAUCAAGGUGAGCGGUAAGCACACUUAUAAAGGAGAAGAAAAUGACCGUACUAUGUUCUUUGAACAUUUCUUGAAUACUACUCCCUCCGUUCCUAAAUAUAAGUAGUUUUAGAGAUUUUAUUAAAGGACUACAUACGGAUGUACAUAGACAUAUUUUAAAACGUAAAUUCAUUUAUUUUGCUUCGUAUGUAGUCCACUAGUACAAUCUCUAAAAGGACCUAUAUUUAGGAACGGAGGGGGUAGGUUCGUACCAUGGAGCAAUCCAAUUGUAAAUAGUAGUAGUACUAGUAACUAACAGACCAGCUAAGCGAUUGCUAGGAAGCUUCUAAUUAAGGAGAUACUAACUACUAAGUAAGUCCACACUGCAAAGCUGAGCCUAAACAUUUGGUCAUAAGUAACCUCAGGAGAAAGCGGUGCAUUUUACAGGAAGCGUAUUCCGCUGGAUCAAAAAACAUAACACAAUGGCAACGGAAAAUGAAACAACCAAUUGCUUGUAUAGAUGUGCGUACGCACCACAUAUGCAUGCAACGUGAGCUCCUCUUGGCUUGUAUAACAAGAUAUAUAAACACAGGAGAGAUGUGCACCUGCUGCUAUUGCGUGGCCUGGUCUUGAAUACAGAUAAUCCUGAUACCUCCGUCGGAAUCAACAAUGAUAUCAAGAAUAGGGUCGUAGCUUGGAGAAGGGAACGUCGGAAGCGCCAUGAUAUAUAUGGAGCAACCUCUUGAAAACACAAGCGAGCACCGUUGCACGGCGGAGAAGAGCUGCUUCGUAGUAACGUUGAGGAGGAGGAGAGCUCGAUCGACGGGGAGGCUACUAGGUGAAGGUGGCGACGGGAGAGGGUCUAGUUUUGGUGUGAUGUGAUUGAUCCCCGGUGGCCGAUGCGCUUACGGCUUAAGUAGCAAGCCCAGGGGCCGAGGGGCGACGGCGAAAGUGCAUGGAAAAAGAACAAAAGCGCGUCGGUGAUGGGGAGCACGCACGUCUGUGACGCUGCCGUUCAUCUGGACUGGAGAAACACCACGCAUGCAUGCACGUCCUCUCAGAGCAAUAUUAGUACGUAACGUAUAUCGAGAGAAAUAUAUAGUCCAGGGCUACGCUAUACACGCAGCUUGGGGGUGCCCAGACUGGGAGGAUAACUAGGACGCGUUUACGGCACCCAGACCCAGGUGCAAUCACAUGAUAUUCACAUCCUCGUAUUUCCCACAGAAAGAGGGAGGAAAGGUUUGUACCUUGGCAGCAAGAUCCCUGGAACUUCCCCGGAACUUUCGUGCUGUUCGUCCGAUGACCUCAUGGCCUGGAUCGAUCAUGGAGCACCCACACACCCAUUGCACACCUUUUUUCUCGCUGAAUAAAUUUUCCUUACGGAUUUUGCAGCACGCCUUGCUCCUCCUAGCUGUACAAGUGGCAACAGCUUGUAUCGUUUAGCUAGGUCGGUUAGCACGCGCACCGUCAUUUUCCUAAAGUCGUCAAACAACCAGAGCAGUUUUCUAGCAUACUCCUAUAUAUAUCUCUAUAACCUAACCACACAGGGAAAACGGCCAAUUUAUUUAUUGUUUUUAUAGCAGAAGAUGGUGGUUGCCUGAAUGGCAUGGAAACGUGUUACCUUUUCAAAACAGACAGAAACGCGUUGUCUCGAUCGGCUGGAAAUCCCUGAGCUCAGCCUAGAGAUGAUUUGUCAUGCAUUUGCUUCCUGUCCAAGCGUAGGCAGUUUGGGUGCUUCGAGCUUAGUGGAUCGAAGAAACAUCUUGGAAGAUCGAUCGCAAAGUACUUCGGUAAAAGAUGUGUCCAUUUUUAGUGUCUCGCACUAAUGCAUGCAGAGUUCAGACGGGGCGGUGAUGGUGAGGUUAUUAUCAUAUGCACGUUAUGAUUAAGUGGAGAUCACAAGCAAGCUGUAAGUUUGUAAGAAAGAGUCCAUGCACGUUUCUAGGAAACUGCCACUGCUAAUUUCCUUUUUUUUUUAGAACAGCGGGUACGACUGUUUACGUACUCCAGAUUUACUCACCCGUACGUGGCUUCAACACCGGCCAGAGUCAGUUGCGUGAUGACUUGAACCUGUGUAUUCAAAUUGAAAAUGUCAUUGCAAAAAAUAAAGUCAUUUGAUCCUGGUGUUUAUGUGUCAGCCGUUAGAUGUUGCUAAGUGGAUAAUAUAAUGGGUCAUCGCUCAUAGUUACAAAAACAUAAUUGCAAACGAAGGAGUCCGUAAACCCCCGUAUUUACUCCGUACGUUUAGAAUUUUCCAUGCCAACCAUCGUCGAUGUUACCUGUUCGGUGUUAAAAUUUGGAUUUUUUCAGAGUUUGUUUGCUUUUUUUAAAACAUUCAGUGCAUGUAUAUGCAUCUAUUGGAUAUAAAUCAAACUAGAACUAGAAGUACAUGAAAAAAUGCACAAACAUGGGCUGAAUAGUAAUCUCUGUCCGGAUUGGUAUAUAUUCAGGCCAUACCCAACCAUAGACAUUUGUUCUGCAAGGGUUGGCCACCAACACUGAGCUUAUUACGUAUUUAUAACCCAAACAAAUACAGAAAAAUUCUACAAAACAUGAAACAUGGUGUGGUGUCAUCAUCUCCCGUAAUAAUAAAGGCAUUUUUGCAAAAACACCCCUGUAGUUUCAUCUAAUUAACCCGCGAUACGUUUUUAAGUGAGGACGAACCGUUUUUUACAUUUUACACAAAACCCCCUUACUUUCGUGCUAAAUAACCCGCGGUCCAAAUUAUAUUCAAAACGAAUCGUUUUUAAAUUUUUUACAUACACCCCUCACAUAUGCGUUAAUAACCUGGAAGUCCAUUCAGAAUAAAUAUGUAUCUCUCUGUCCGGAAUUAAAUGUCCACGCCUUAGUUCUACUGUAAUUUUGCAAAAAAAACUUUCACAUUUAAAACUGUUGCUAAUCAGCCCCCAUGGUUCUUCCUCCUUCCUCCAGACCAUUAUCCUUGUUCAUCGGGAAGAACCAGAGCCACUGAUCCAGCCCCCGCCAGCGAGGCCCUGCCCCCGAUCCGGCCCCCCUCCAAAGCUGACUUGGCCGCCGUCGACGAGACCACCGAGGAGAAGGAUGAAGAGAGGCAUAUGAAGGCCGCGUCCAGGGGCCGGAGCAGCACGACCGCAUCCCGGAGGAGGGAGGAGUUCGAGGGGCACCGGGCAGCGGAGGAGGAGGACGGCUACGGCCCGCCCAGCCCCAGCAGCAUCAGCUACGCCAGCGAGCGGGGGGAGUAGCGACGCCUCCAGCGCCUGGAAGAAGAAGGUCCUGGUCUUGUCGCUGUUGCUCUUCUGCAAGUUGCUCCUCCUCCGCCCGGAGCUGCUGCUGCUGGUCGUGGUGGUGGACGCCGGCUGCUGCUGCUGCUGCUGGUGGUGGUGUUCUACGCCUUUGCUUCCACCGCUGCUGCUGGUGGCCAACGCCGACGCCCUACGAUCCCCGCCAUUGACCCCCGAGGCAUCCACCUCUGCUUGUACAAGAAGAAGAAGGUAAAGUUCAGUUAAAAUUUCAUGUUUCACGUAAAGUCAUCACUAUUGGUUUCAGGUUUGGGUUUCAUUUCAGUUGAGUGUUAAUUAGUUUUUUCCCUUUCUGGAUGAUAGACACUCAUCGAUUGGUUUGUUGCAUUAGUUAGUUUCCUCUCCUGUUAUCUGAUAGGAGUUUUUGUUGCAUUAUCAUUCAAUUGAGGCAAACUGUAUGAGAUGAGCUCUUCUUCAUGCCAGGAUGGGAUGAAAUUGCGAGGGCUCACCAACUGCAGGUGGAUGACCUCCUGCUCUUCAAAUGCACUGGCAGUGGCUUGCCCAAAAAGAAGAUCAUUUCAGCUCUAGCUUGCUGCUCUCUCAAGCGACGCCGAACAACUUAUUUUCUUCCUGACCAAAUUUCUGAAAACUGAAACUGAAACAGCUCCAGGCCUGUUAAAAUUUCUGAAACUGAAACAGCUCCGGGCCCUGUUAAAAUUUCUGAAACUGAAACACCAUGUACAGGUCGUUGUACUGCGACGACACACACACCAGCCCCAUGUUCCUGAUGAUCAGAAAGGAAACAAUGCUGUCAGCCCUCAAUUUGCAAUCAAGGAAAAGAAACUGAUUUGCUUACAAAACCACCUAAUUUCUCAUAAACUGAUUUCAUCAUCUACUUGUUAUCAUCAAAACUGACCCAGCAAUAGAUUCAAUGAGAUGCUGACGGAGGGAGCACCAUGGACGUACUCUUCGGAGGACGACAUGGAGGACGGCAUGGAGGACGUCCUCGGGGUUGUGCUGGUCGGCCCACUUAUAGAGGCCUGGGCGGCAGCACGACGGCGGCGACGGAUCGAAGGGGAGGACUCAGCGCGAGGCGCCCAACACCUGGCCCUCACGGUACGCCGGCCGGCGAUGCCACUCGACUGGGAGUAUCAGCCGCAACCCGCAGAUAGAGCGCUGCCGCUGUGGAUCGGAGAGCCGGAGGGGAAAAAUCAGACUUGUCCUCGCCAUGGUUCACCAUGGGGAAAGAGGAGGGGGAAAAUGUGAGGGAAGCUGCGGUGCAGGCGUGGGCCGAUCGGGGAGCUGCGGGGGAUCUCCGACGCGGAGGCGAGCGGGGGCAAGCGGGGGAUCUCCGAUGCGGAGGCGAGCGACGGGGGGUCUCCUGCACGACAGAGGAGCGUUGUGUUUGUCGGGAGUUUGCUAGGGAGGUUUUCAAAAAAAUACCAUGAGGACAUUUAAUUUCGGACGGAGGGAGUAUUUUCAAAUAACAAUAUCUUUUAAACCGUAAAUCCAAUUUAAACAUGUUAUAUAUGAAACUUGAUUAGAAAAAUGUGUAGAGUUUGAAUAUGUUGUUAUUUUACAUAUUAAAUAUUAAAAAAAAUACUAUUUAGGAUACAAUGCUAAUCAAUAUUUGUCUUUAUUUCGUACCGACUAUUUGUAUUGUAACAUGUUAAUUUAAGCAUCAAUAUUUGGGAAAUGUUAUAAUCUUUGGACAUGAUAUAAUUGCACUAGGUUCUUUCUUUGUACAUAUUUUAUAAUCUAAGACCUUACGUACGUGUCUUUUUUUGACAGUAUCCACACACGUUUUUAUCAAUGAACUACAUUUUUUAUUUUUAUUUUUCUCCCGUUACAACGCACGGGCAUUCGUGCUAGUAUGAACUAACCCAAACUAACCCUCUUGUUUAGAACACUCGUGGUAGAGAAGGAAAUCUAAGUUUCGAGUUCCUCUCGCGGCUUCCCUGGGUUUCGAGUUCCUCUCGGCAGCCUCCCCCGCCGUGAGUCUUAUAUUCUCCUUCGAUCAAAUCCUAUUCCAUACGAACCUCGUCUCUCCUCGGCCCCUUAUCAGGCUGGCAAGGCACGAGAAUUUCUGUAGGGUUUGGUCUUUCCUCGCAAGAGGGCUAGUGUCUUUUGAAGCCAUCUAGACAAGACAAGACAAGACAGGGAGCCGGUGGAGGAUCUGCUAGGCCGUCUGGACCUUCAAGAGGAUGAGGAAGAGUAAUUCGUCUGGGAGGAGGAGUUUGAGGAUGAGCCAAUCGCAGCUAAGUGGCUUGCAAUCGUCAAGAUCCAUAACAACAAGAGUUUUAGUCCCUCGGCUCUGUACUCUGAUAUGCGAGCGGCUUGGAAUCCAGCAAGGGAAGUGCGGUGUCACAAGAUCGAAGAUAACCUGUUUACGACCAAUUUGGAUGCCUAGGUGAUUGGAAUACUGCGAUGAAUAUGGGAUCGUGGCUGUUCCGGGAUCAAGUUCUGCUAAUAGCCGAGUAUUAUGGGUUUAUGAACCCAUGUUCUGUGGUUCUGGAUAAAAUCGUUGUGUGGGCUAGAGUUCUGAAACUGCCCGACAACUUAUUGAUUCCGGCGGCAAUCAAAGGCAUGUGUCGCAAGAUGGGUAAGGUACUCGAAGUCUAGUCUACUCUCCCGGCUGGUUUCGUUGGUGAAUUUGUUCGUGUUAGGGUGAAGUGUGGAACUAACAGUGACUAAAAAGCUGAUCAGAUUUGUCUCCAUAACAAAAAGUGAGGUCACCGCAUACUAUCAAGUUCAGUAUGAAAAAUCCCUAUUUACUGCGGCAACUGUGGCAUGCUUGGUCAUUGGUACGACCGUACGAGGAGUGUGGUACGGGAGAGCAUGAUGCUUGUGGAUGGUCGAAGAGGACGUGGUAGAGGGUGUGGUUCAGGCAAAAAUUCUGGUUGGGGUAGAGGAGGUGUUGGUCGUGGUGGUACCUCCUUUGGACAUGGACGUGGUAGGGGUGCUCCCCCCUUUGUUCCUGGUCGGGGUAGAGGUGACCUGUCGGAUGGUAUCAAUGGUAUGAGCAAUAUGAUGAGUUGGCGUCACAAUGCGUUGUUUAAUAAAGAUGGAGUGCAGGACAUGGAGACAAAGACAAGUGCAUUAAUUCUGAAUAGCAAUCAGGAUGUUCAAACAGGGAACAUGCGAGGGAAAAGAAUUGCUGAACAUGCAAACGUAUUUGCAAUGGGAAAUACUAAUGUUCCCACACUCCCGACGAGCUCGGCGAUGACACUGGACAAGAAUAAUGGGGCAAUGGUUCCGGCUGGGUGCACGGCUAACAUCAUUGUUCAGUUUGAUGGGGGUGGAGAGCCACCAAAGGAAGGUCUUAUGACUACUUCACAAGAAAAUGUGAGCAGAAAGAAGCUCAAAGGUACAGAUGGUGUAGCCAUUGAUAGUUCUUCUAUAGGAGAAUCGGUGGCCUCCACGACGGAGGACCGCCGGGCGCAAUGAAAACCCUGGCAUGGAACUGUCGUGGAAUGCUUUCAAACAUGGCAGUUCGAGAGCUCUUGGAUCUACAAGGGCGUUUGAAAGCAGAUGUGAUCUUCUUGUCUGAAUCACAUCUGAAUACUGUUAAGGCAAAUGAAAUUCGAGUGAAGAUAGGUUUUGAUUGUAUCCAUAUAGUUGACAGUCGGGAGGGCUUGUACUCUUUUACAAUCUUUCUCAUGAAGUUGUGUUAAAUUAGUCCUCGCCCAAUUUCAUAGAUGGUUUUGUGACGGAUGGUAACAAUGUGGCGUGGCGUGGCGUCUCACAUGCUUUUAUGGAGAGCCUUCUUCGGAGAUGAAACACGUGUCCUGGACAUAUAUGCAGAAUCUUCGUAACAAUGCUAUAGGGCCAUGGACGGUUAUUCGAGAUUUUAACGAAAUCCUAUAGGAUGCAGCCAGAACUGGGCGGCGACGGCGGCGGCGAGGGGACUCGGGGUGAGGCGAGGCGAGGGCUAGAUGGUGUGGAGAACGACCAAUGUACCACCGAUUGGCGGGCCAGGGAAUGGUGGAAGCGCGCGUCGUGCGUCCGUUUUAUGUCCGCGCCGACCCAAAUCAGGCUAAGAAUUGAACCGGGAAUGGAUCGGCAACCGGACGAAAAGCGGACACGCGUCCGUUCGGGUCGGCGCGUUGGAGUUGCUCUUAGGCCUUCCCCAAAAAAAACACUUAGGUCUUAGGGUGUGACCACUAACCAGUCCACAACAUCUUAAUUAACCAAGUUGUAUGUGUGUAUAUAUAUAUCUUUAUACUUUACAUACAGAUUUAAGAACGUAGUUGCAGGAAAAUACACUUUGGUUCCUAGUUGUAUAUGCAUCUUAUAUGAUGAUUUUUUAAUAAUUAAUUAAAAAUCUAAAUAGUUUUGAAGUAUCUUUAUAUUAAACAUGACUUUGUUUUGCACUAGUAUAUAAUUUUUUAUGAAAAAAGUCAACAUUGAUAUCUGGGUAAAAAGAUAAAAUACACUAUAUUUUGAUUAAAAAUUGUUUUUUUUAAAGAAGUCAAAAUAUAAUUUUCUUUUUAUGGACCUGUUCUCACAAGUAUAAUGGAUGGUCAAGUUUAUUUCAAUUUUUUUGACAUUUUGUUGAAUUGCUAUUUUUUUUACAUAUAAGAUGUAUAUACAGCCAGGUUUCAAAAGUCCCCUUCCCGUUGCUGUACUCCCUCUUAGAGUGGAGACCGAAAGGAGCAUGGAAGUUUCUAGCCGAUAUGUUGAUGUGACAAUAUACAUGCUCCCUCAGUUUUAAUUUACUUUGCAUGUUAGUUUUCUCUUAAGUCAAAAUUCAUAACUUUGAACUAAGUUAUUAAUAUUUUUUAUUAUCAUCUACAAUAACAAGUUAAUAUGUGUAGAUUCACCAUUGAUUAUUUUUUCAUAUUUUUUUAUUUUUGUUGUUGUAAAUGUGCAUAUUAUUUUUUAUAUACUUGAUCAAAUUGUAUAAGAUUUGACUAAGGACAAACUUACUUUGGAGAAUAAAUAAAGAAAGAGGAGUACUAUGUUUUAUACUACAUCUGUUUCUAAACAUAAGUAUCUUUAGAUAUUUCAUUAUAGACUACAUACACAGCAAAAUAAAUAAAUCUACAUUUUAAAGUAUGUAUAUAUACAUCCGUAUGUAAUUUGUAGUAAAAUCUCUAAAAAUACUUUUGUUUAGGAACAGAGGGAGUACUUACCUCUGGAAGCUACUUUGACCACUGAUCGAGUCAGUUGCAUGAAUGACUUACAGUGUCCAUGUACUUUUUUGUAGAAAAGGAGGCAUCGCCCCGGCCUCUGCAUCGAGUGAUGCAUGCAACAUUUUAAUUGAAUAAUGUAAAAAGAGUCCGAUCCGAGUACAUCAAUCUGAGAAACCCAGAAAAUAAAGAUACAAAGCACCAUAUGCGCCACAACCAGCAAUGGUAAUAGAACUAGAUGACUAGCCACCUUUCCUAUUAUUGAGUCGCCAUCCAAACCGGUUGAAGAUAUCCUGAGCUACCAUCUUCCAGCGGGCACACCCAGUAACCAUAGGCUCCCUGGCUUCCGCAGGAGUGAGUAAUAAGCACGUGUGGAUCAAGGCGGUAGCCCUGAAGAUAACCUGCAAAAAAUGAUAGAUUUGCAUCUGUUAAAUACUAAAUCUUUCCUGCAGUUCCAAAUAGCCCACAGCAAUGCACAGGUUCCCACACGAAUAAUCUUUGCCAAAUUAGCAUCAACACCCACUACCCACGUCCCAAACAACGUGUUAAUACUAUUAGGGGGGAUGAUAUUAAAAGCAAUGUGAAUAGAGCGCCAUAAGAGUUCAGCCAUAGGGCAGGCGAGAAAGAGGUGCUUAAUGGUUUCAUUGUUGUGACAGAAGUUGCAUCUUUGGUUGCCUUUCCAAUUACGUUUUGCCAAAUUGUCCUUCGUUAGAAUAACUCCUUUGUGGACAAACCACAUGAAGAUAUUUAUCCUCAACGGUACUUUGACCUUUCAUAUAUGUUUGGAUUUUUGAAUCGGCCCCAAAUCUAUGAGAUGAAGAUACAUAGAUUUUACAGUAAAAGCUCCAUUUUUAGUCAACUUCCAUUGAAUAGUGUCUGGUAUAUCCGAAAGUUGGAUGUCCAUUAACCUUCUGACAAGGUGAAGCCAACUGGUCCAUCUGUUACCUAUUAAGGAUCUGCGAAACUGAAUAAUAUUUAGAGGCGUGUGGCUCAAUAUUGUCGCAACGGACGCUUGUCUACGUUGGACAAUAUUGUAUAAUUACAGAUAUUGCAGGGCUAGUGGCACUUCCCCUAACCAUGUAUCUUACCAUAAUCUGGUAGAUUCACCAUUACCAAUGAUAAACCUAGUCCGUUGGAAAAAGGCAUUUUUUGACCUCAUUAAUCCUUUCCCGAAAGGAGAGUCAUUCGGUCUUAUGGUCGCCUGUGCUAAGGUCUUAUUUUGCAAGUACUUAUUCCUCAUAAUUUGUACCCACAUGCCUUCAGUUUCCACUCGUAUUCUGUACCCACAUGCCUUCAGUUUCCACUGAUAUUCUGUACAAGUAUCGGUCUACUUGUUUUGAACGUGAUGCCUAUAGAUAUAAUCAUUGCCAUAGAUGACGUCACGACUUUGCGCGGUUUUAUCAAUUGCUCGACAGUAAUUCGUUCACCCACCGUCUACUUGCUUUCAUGAGAGAAGCCACUAGUAAACACUACGGCCCCCGGGUCUAUUCACACCUAUCGUUUACACCUCCGCUUUUACUUUGCUUUGUUACUUUGUUGUUUUUAGUUCUCACUUGACAAACAAUCUAUAAGGGAUUGACAACCCCUUCAUAGCGUUGGGAGCAAGCUUUUUGUGUUUGUGCAGGCACGUACUUGUGAUACUCCUUCACUGGAUCGAUACCUUGGUUCUCAAAACUGAGGAAAAUACUUACCACCGCUGCGCUACAUCACCCCUUCGAGGGAACACCAAUGCAAGGCUCCAAGGCCACGGGGAAAUCCUUUGCAUAUUUGCCUAGGAAGUCCCUAAAGGCGUAGCCGUAGCACAAGGAUUCCUGGUGCCGUUGCUGAGGAGUAUCAAAAACAGUCUCCCGUCAGCACGUGUUUAUGGCGCCGUUGGAAGGUCUUUUGUUGCAUCAGCACAUACCUAUUUCAAUCUCGUUAUCGGCAAGUCUCUUUACUCGUUCUGUAAUACAAGAUCCCGUGACUUACACUUAGUCACAUUUCUUGCAAGGCUUGUGUGUGAUGUUGUAUUACCGAGUUGGCCCCAAGAUAUCUCUCCGUCACACGGAAUGACAAAUCCAAGUAUUGAUCCAUACUAACUAAACAGACACCUUCGGAGAUACCUGUAGAGCACAUUUAUAGUCACCCAGUUACGUUGUGACGUUUGAUGCACACAAGGUAUUCCUCCAAUGCCAGUGAGUUAUAUGAUCUCAUGGUCAUAGGAAACAAAUACUUGACACACAGAAAAUAGUAGUAAUAAAAUGACACGAUCAAUAUGCUACUUUCAUAGUUUGGGUCUAGUUCAUCACAUGAUUCUCCUAAUGAUGUGAUCCAGUUAUCAAGUGACAACACUUGCACAUAGGCACAAAACCUUGACUAUCAUUGAUCAACUGGCUAGCCAACUAGAGGCUUGCAAGGGACAUUGUUCUGUCUAUGUAUCCACACAUGUAUCUACGUUUUCAUUCAAUACAAUUAUAGCAUGGAUAAUAAACGAUUAUCUUUAAACAGGAAAUAUAAUAAUAACUAUUUAUCAUUGCCUCUAGGGCAUAUUUCCAACAGUGGCUUUGAAUGGUGCAUACUGACCUCACAAAUAGUCUGGAGUUAAACUAUGUUAAAAAAUGAAAUCCCUUUGUAAUAGAUGAGUUUUCGUCCGAAACUCUGGUGCUCCGAAAAAAAUUGUCCAGUUUAUACACGAAUUGCAUCCAGCUUUUUUCAUAACCCUAUAAACUUUUUAGCACAUGUUGUGUGGGUGAAAUUAUGAUACUAUGCCAAGUUAGUACAUGUUGUGUGGGUGAAAUUAUGAUACCAUGCCAAGUUUUAACCUUUUCAGAAUUCAUUUGUAGUGCUUUUCAAUUUCAGGGUCAUUAAACUCAAAAAAAUGCAUGGAAAAUAGCAAAUAAAGUCAGGAAAGGGUCGAAAUUUCAUGAGGUCGCUUUCAAUGGAGCAUAUUGACCUCACAAACAGCGUGGAGUUAAAGUGUGUUCAAAAAAUGAAAUUCUUUUGUAAUAGAUGAGUUUUUAUCCGAAACCCUGAUAUUUCGAAAGAGAUUGUCCAGUUUGUACACGAAGUGCAUCCAGUUUUUGCCGUAACCCUCUCAACUUUUUAGCGCAAGCUAUGUGGGUGAACUUAUGAUACCAUAUCAAGUUUCAACCUUUUCAAAGCUCAUUUGUAGUGUUUUUUUUAAUUCCGGGGUCAUUUAGCUCAAAAAAAUCAUUAAAUGCAUCAAAAUAGAAAAAUUAACUCUGGAAAGGUUUGAAAAUUGAUGAUGUGACUUUGAAUUGUGCAUAUUGACCUCGCAAAGAGUCUGGAGUUAAACUAAGUUCUAAAAAAUGAAAUCCCUUUGUAACACAUGAGUUUUCGUCCGAAACCUUGAUACUUCGAAAGAGAUUGUCCAGUUUGUACACGAAAUGCAUCUAGUUUUUGUCGUAACUCUCUCAAAAAUUUGGCACAAGUUAUAUGGGUGAAAUCAUGAUACCAUGCCAAGUUUCAACGUUUUCAGAGUUCAUUUCUAGUGCUUUUCAAUUCGAGGGUCAUUUAGCACAAAAAUUGAUGAAAAGCAUGAAAAAUAAAAAAUGAUGUCAGGAAAGGGUUGAAAAUUUGAUUACGUGGCUUUGAAUGAUGCAUAUUGACCUCACAUACAGUACGGAGUUAAACUAAGUUAUAAAAAAUGAAAUCUCUUUUGUAACACAUGAGUUUCGUCCGAAACCGUGAUUUUUCGAAAGAGAUUGUUCAGUUUAUACACGAAGUGCAUCCAAUUUUUGCCGUAACCCUGUCAACUUUCUAGCACAUGCUGUGUGGGUGAAUAUAUGAUACCAUGCCAAAUUUUAACCUUUUCAGAAUUUAUUUGUACUGCUUUUCAAUUUCAGGUUCAUUUAGCUCAUUUUUUUAUUAAAUACAUGAAAAAUAGAAAAUGAAGUCAGAAAAGGAUAGAAAAUUAAUUAUAUGACUUUGAAUGGUGCAUACUGAACGCACAAAAAGUCUGGAGUUAAAAUAAGUUCUAAAAAAUGAAAUCCCUUUAUAACAUAUGAGUUUUCGUCUAAAACCCUCAUACUUCGAAAAAGAUUGUCUAGUUUAUACACGAACUGCAUCUAGUUUUUGUCGUAACCCACUCAAUUUUUUAGCACAUGCUGUGUGAGUGAAAUUAUGAUACCAUACCAAGUUUCAACCUUUUCAGUUUUUAUUUAUAGUGCUCAUCAAUUUCAGGAUCAUUUAGCUCAAAAAAAUCAUUAAAUGCAUGAAAAAUAGAAAAUGAAGUCAAAAAAGGUUUGAAAAUUAAUUACGUGACUUUGAAUGGUGCAGAUUGAAUGCACAAAAAGUCUGGAGUUAAAUAUUUUUCUAAAAAAUGAAAUCCCUUUGUAACACAUGAGUUCUGGUCCGAAAGAGUGAUACUUCGAAUAAGAUUGUCCAGUUUGUACACGAAGUGCAUCUAGUUUUUGUUGUAACCCUCUCAAUUUUUAGCACAUGUUGUGUGGUUGAAAUUAUGAUAUCAUGCCAAGUUUCAAUCUUUUCGGAGUUUAUUUGUAGUGCUUUUCAGUUUCACGGUCAUUUAGCUCAAAAAAUCAUUAAAUACAUGAAAAAUAGAAAAUGUAGUCACAAAAGGGUUAACAAUUAAUUAUGUAGUUUUGAAUGUUGCAUACUGAACCCACAAAAAGUCUGGAGUUAAAAUAAGUUCUAAAAAAUGAAAUCCCUUUAUAACAUAUGAGUUUUCGUCUGAAACCCUCCUACUUCGAAAAAGAUUGCCUAGUUUAUACACGAACUGCAUCUAGUUUUUGUCGUAACCCACUCGAUUUUUUAGCACAUGCUGUGUGAGUGAAAUUAUGAUACCAUGCCAAGUUUCAACCUUUUCAGUGUUUAUUUAUAGUGCUCUUCAAUUUCAGGAUCAUUUAGCUCAAAAAAAUCAUUAAAUGCAUGAAAAAUAGAAAAUGAAGUCAAAAAAGGUUUGAAAAUUAAUUACGUGACUUUGAAUGGUGCAGAUUGAAUGCACAAAAAGUCUGGAGUUAAAUAUUUUUCUAAAAAAUGAAAUCCCUUUGUAACACAUGAGUUCUGGUCCGAAAGAGUGAUACUUCGAAUAAGAUUGUCCAGUUUGUACACGAAGUGCAUCUAGUUUUUGUUGUAACCCUCUCAAUUUUUAGCACAUGUUGUGUGGUUGAAAUUAUGAUAUCAUGCCAAGUUUCAAUCUUUUCGGAGUUUAUUUGUAGUGCUUUUCAGUUUCAGGGUCAUUUAGCUCAAAAAAUCAUUAAAUACAUGAAAAAUAGAAAAUGAAGUCACAAAAGGGUUAACAAUUAAUUAUGUAGUUUUGAAUGGUGCAUACUGAAUGCACAAAAGUCUGGAGUUAAAAUAAGUUUAAAAAUGAAAUCCGUUUGUAACACAUGAGUUUUCGUCCGAAGCAUUCAUACUUUGAAAGAGAUUGUCAAAUUUGAACACGAAGUGCAUCCAAUUUUUGCCUUAACCCUCUCAACUUUUUAGCACAUGUUGUAUGGGUGAAAUUAUAAUACCAUGCCAAGUUUCAACCUUUUCAGAGUUAAUUUGUAAUGUUUUUUAAUUUCAGGGUCAUUUAGCUAAAAAAUCAUUAAAUGCAUGAAAAGUAGAAAAUGAAGUCACAAAAAGUUUGAUUCAUGUCAUAGUGAUCACAGAACAGAGUAGCAAAUACUAGGCAUAUAAUAAAACCAUCUACGCAUCGGGAUAAACGAGUACGCGGCGAACGGGACGGAGUCGCCGACGGCAGCAGCAACAAAGGAAUGAGCACGCGGUGGGCGACGGAGGAGUGCGCGAGGGCCUCUUUUUUUCUCACUCUUCAAUAGCAUAUAGAAGAGUGACCCUUAUAAAGUGGUCCAACUUCUUCUCCACUAGCGGGGUGGGACUAAACUUUCCACCACCACUUUGUUAUGCCACCACCUACAUGGGUCCUUAGAGAUUUUCUGAAAUUGUCUCAUGGGCCUUAGGCCCAUCUCAGAUUUCAACAACAUGUUUACCACUCAUCUCGCAGCAGGUUUUUCCUCAGCUUCAUGUCUCAUCGGCCAGCGGCGGGCAACUAGCGGCAAGCCUUCUUGGCCGACUACCCGUGGUUGUCUAGCUUGUCGAAAUUGCUAUUAGCCUACGACCAAGGCCAGAACGAUUUUUUCGAGGCGAUCUACACAGCGAGUCCUCUUCCCCUAAUCGUCGCUCUAUGAAGGGGUGUUGGUUUCUUCCACGAGAACAAGUUGAAUCAAGGACUUGGCGGCCGGCUGCUGGCCGCGUGGAAUUCUUGUUCAACGACAAGACAACUAAUAGUAGACUAGCAACCAGUAGGCUCCUAUGGUGGUUUUGAAGAAGAACAGAGAACAUGAAUGCUAUAAUCGAGAGAUUGGUUCUGCUCCAUUCAUGGCUUUGACUUUUGUAGCGCCGUUACAUGAAGCUAGGUCCUAAUUUGUAUUAAGACGAGAGAAGACGCGGUACUAUGAACUCCAUGAGUUAAACAGAUUACUCAGUUGGGGGAUGUCUUUGGAGAAGAAGAUGCUUUGUGAUUGGUACGCAACACGUGUCCUCAUCUGGAUGGGGUCUCACACGAUGAAGAAUGAGACCUGGUCUUAUAGGAUAUUUUUCCGUGAAAAGAAGUAUUUGAAGUUCUUUCUACUUCUUCUAAAGGAUUUUAUUCUUACAUUUGAAAUUGACACUAAGGAUUGGGUUUUAAUCCAGUUUGAACAUCCUAUAUUAUUUUCUAGCAUUUCUUUAGCCUGAACCGUAGGCCGUCCUUACUCCUUAGGCUUUGUUUGGUACUAGUGUAUUUUAGGGAAUUUGUGGGGAUUAUCUCGGUCAAACCCCUCAAUCCCCACAUAUCCCAUAACACCAUUUGAUUCUAGUGUAUUUAACAUGUUUUAUCCCCACAUUUCCGCUCAAAUCUCCAAAUUAUAGUGCAUUUUACUCAAUACCAAUACACUACCCAUAUCUAGUGUAUUGGGGAUAAAUGGGGAUUUGAAGGGAUUGGAUGAAGGUUGGGAUUUCACCCAAUUCCUUGGGGGAUUAUCCCCAUCAAUCUUCUCAAAACACUAGUACCAAACAAGGCCGUAGUGUGUGGAACAACCAAUCGAUUGGACAAUAUAGUGAGGGACUUGCUAAUCAUGUCACAAGAACUGGUCAGACUGCUAAUUACUUGCAAGGAAACUUGUUUUCUGUAUUGAGGAAAUUGCAAGGAAAUUUCCAGGGAGAUACUACUACUAAAUAUUAAGUCCACACUGCAUAAUUCGCCUUCAUAUAUACUUGAUCAUAACUUGAUAAGCAAGCAAGCAAGCUUAUGUACAGGAAAUAUAGUCCGGUCUAUAAUGAAAAACAUACUAGCAACUGAUUACUCGCGUCGAUCUUUGUGUCUACGUACUACUAGUAUACCGACAAUGUGAGGUCUUGAAAAUAUCAAAGGGGAGAUGUGCACCAGCUGCAUGCUAUUGUGUGGCUUCGUCUUGAAUACAAACAAUCCAGACCCCUCCGCCAGGAUCGACAAUCAGGAUAAGAUCGUAGCCGGGAGGCAUCAGCGGCGCCAUGAUAGAGAUCAUAUCUAGAAAGAGAAUAACAUAUGGCGUACUCCGUAAGAAUCAAUACACCAAGAGAAGGAAGAAAACUUAAGAAAUUAAGUACCGUUGCGCGGCGAAGAUGGACGUAAGAGAUGUCGGUCGAUUGAUCGACGAGGUAGCUCGAGGUGGUCCGUCGAUCGCCGCAGGCUGCGUGGUUGAGGAGAGUGGCUUUGGGAGCUCGGGGUUGCAGGGGAGAGGGAGAGAGGCUUCUGCGGCGAGGAUGGAUGGAGCAGACACUCUAUUUGUAGGAUUAUAGUAAUUAACUUGUAAAGUAUACUAGUGCCACUAGCGGGUAUUACGCGGGGGGCAGUGGCGGUUGAGGAGACGUAUGUACGUACGUGGCGCCCUGCCCGAGAAUGCUUGUGUAAGUGGAGAAUGUACGUAUCUCCGGAGACGGAGAGGGUAUGUAGGUGUAUAGGAAGUUUCCAUGAGCCAGCAGACAGAAGCCCAGCAUGCGGGCAUGCACGUAGCCCCUCUCGGCUGUACUUACGUAAGUGUAGCAUUAUUCUCUCGCAAUAAUGUUGUACUUACGGGAUGAAUUCUACGGACUGAGGUGGCGUGCAGCCAUGUAACUGCGAGACUCAAGUUCAGAACAAAUGCUUUAAGUCUUCCAACUGAAUAAAGCCACGUUGCGUCCGUAACUUUAGUGCGUAGCUAUUUUUCGUAAGUGUAGCAUUAUUCUCCCGCUCUCGUGUGCAUGCCGCGCCACCGUCGGUUCGGCCGCGUCCGCCACGGUUGCCAGGUCCAAGUCAAGUCGAGCUUCAUGUCGAUCUGCCUCGGACGCCGGGAGCCGUGAGCGGGGAUGUAUACAUGUCAAUGUCAACGCGUGAUGGACGCGUACUUGUUGGUUUAGACAACGCAUUAUUUCUAUAGCUGGCUGUAUUUUGCAUAUGCUCUGUGCAGAAAAAUAACCUAACUCUACGCAACUAGACUGCGCUUAGAUAAUACUCCAUCCGUUUUAAAAUAUAAGACUUUUUAGAAAUUACACUAGGAGACUACAUACGGAACAAAAUGAGUGAAUCUACGUUAACAUGUCUAUGUACAUCCGUAUGUACUCCCUCCGUUCCUAAAUAUAAGUCUUUUUAGAUAUUCCACUAGUGGACUAUAUAAGGAUGUAUAUAGACAUACUUUAGAAUAUAGAUUCAUUCAUUUUGCUCUGUAUGUAGACUACUAGUGAAAUCUCUUAAAAGACUUAUAUUUAGGAACGGAGGGAGUAGUUCAUAGUACAAUAUCUAAAAGGUCUUAUAUUUAGGAACGGAGGGAGUACUAAGGGCAUGAACAAUUGUGCUAUCUUAGAAGUGUCACAUAGGAUAAAUAAUGAGGUGAAGGAGAGAGAACUUGAAAAAAAAUUGCCUUCUCUUAUUUAAAAGAAGACAAGAGGUGAUCUCUUAGCACAAUAUGUCUCACCAUAUUUUUAGGAAUAACUAAUUAUAGAAGGUAAGGCUAAGAGAUAAUCCGUUAUAGUCUUUCUUUUUUGUCAUCUUUAAAUUAUAUGCAAGAUGUAAAAUAAGACUAUCUUAUCAAUCAUUAUACGUGUCCUAAUAUGAAAACAUGUUGCCUUCAAUUUCCGAACAAAAAUGGGAACACGCGUUGUCUUUCUCUCGGGUUAGAGCGGGGAUGCUUCGUCAUGCAUGCUUUUACUUCCAGCCCAGGCUGCUUCCAAUGUGUGUGACGUUGGGGCUAAUUAUUAGCAUGCGCAGGUUAUGAUUAAGCGGGAAUCACAUAAGUAAAUCAUCCGAUGACUGGAAAUUUCUUGCCAAGAGUCCAUGCAAUUUUCUAGGAAACUGGCGCUCCUACUUUUGUUUUUAUUUAAAGGAGUGGAUGGGACAGUUUAAGUAUGUACUCCUCUUCCGGCCCGAGUCAGUUGCGUAAUGACUUGAACAUGUCUACAAGUACAAAAUUCAAAAUGCCGUGGCAGUUCGUAAAGAAAGUCAAUUUAACUUGUGUACGUCCAAGUACAAAAAAUAGGAGUAUAUAUAUUUUUAGGGGAUUUUAGAAUACUACUCCAUGCUCUCUUUUUUAGAACUAGCAAAAGGACCCGUGCGUUGCAACAGGAGAAAAAAAUUACCACGCGUUUUUAAUCUUUUUAUAAUCAUUUUGAUUUAUUAAAAUAAUAAGCUAACUAAUUAAUGUAGUCAGUCCUAUCCUAUUUUGUUUAAAAAUCAACCCGUCCAUUAUUAAUUUCAUCAUGAUGAGAAAUUGAGCGGGACAAGCAAAGCAAAAUAAAGAGGCUACGUGAAUUGAUCAAUGGACUGUUAUCUUAUUUCACUCAUGGGGUAGAGAAUGUGGGAUCAGAUGACAAACUGAAGGUGGUGUUUCAUUCUCUCUCUCUACAACAAUGCAAUCUUACAUUCAAUACAUUCAUUCAUCAGCAAACAAAUUCCCACAAAACAAAAUUUCUUGCCGGUGCUUCGCACAUGGUUGGAGGCAUGGGGAGGGGAUCUCACAAGAUGAUGAGUUCCUGCCGGAGGAGGGGAUACGAUGAGGGGAGCAAGGGUUAGGCGCCUCUAUCUGGCCAUAAGGAGUCGCCGUUGCCGCGCCAUAACCUCGGAGUUUCCCGUGUGAGCCAUGGAGGCCCGCCUCCACCUGCAAGUACUUCUCUCCGCCGCGCCUUAUCCGCGCUCCGCCACCGUUCUGCAUCGAGCAGACGCAUCAUCCCAAGUCGUUGUAGUCGUCGCGUUGAUUUGAUCCAGAAGCUGAGCUCGAGCGCCAAAACGGGGGCAGCAAGCGUGCAGAGGUACGACCGCGAAGGCGGGUGGGUUGAGAUCGACAACAGUGGUGAUUGAGGUCAGCCGCGGCGGCGAGUGGUGUGCCAGCGGCCUAGGCACAGGCCAGGGUGGUCCAGGGUCGACGCAAGCGCUCGAGCGCCGCAACGGAGGCAAUGAGCGGGGAGAGGUACAGCUGCGGAGGCGGGUGGGUUGAGAUCGGCAGCGGUGGCGGUUGAGGUCGGCCGCGGCGGCGAGUGGUGUGGCGGCGGCCUGGGCACAGGCCAGGGUGGCCCAAGGUCGACGGGAGUAGGCGAUGCGUACGGGUAUAAUUUUUGCAGCGAGUCUUUUUUCCUUUUGCGUUGCAGAUAAAUGAUGGAGCGCGGGUUGAAUAACAAAAAUUACAGGGAUUUUUUUAUAAAAAUGUCAUGGUGGAUUUUCCGACGAAAGCAAUAGCCGCUUUAUUAUUAGGUAUAGAUUUACUAGCAAAAAAGUUUGUGCGUUGCAACGGAAGCAAACCAUAUACAACACGUCUUAACCUAACUAGUUAAAUGCACGUGCGUUGCCACGACAUAACAAAAUUAAAAAAUAAUGAUUUUGUUGUGUCCUAAGUAUUAUACAUCGUCUUAUGCCACUAAUUUUACGCAUGCAGGUAUCUUACUUUUUUCCUUUUCUUUUUCUUUUCUUUUCAUAUUUGAUCAAAGUCACUUAGAUGAGCAAUAACUAUAGCACAUCUAGAUAGGUCCUAGACAGACCCUAGAAAUAAAGACAUUAGUCAAAACAUCAUUGUACUUUAUGUCACGUGUGUUGCCACGACAUAACAAAAUUAAAAAUAACAAUUUUGUUGUGUCCUAAGUAUUAUACAUCGUCUUAUCCCACUAAUUUUACGCAUCUAGGUAUCUAUUUUUUUUCCUUUUCUUUUCAUAUUUGAUCAAGUCACUUAGAUGAGCAAUAACUAUAGCACAUCUAGAUAGGUCCUAGACAGACCCUAGAAAUAAAGACAUUAGUCAAAACAUCAUUGUACUUUACGUCUUAUAAUCACACAGACUUACAAGUAUGUUGCGAUAAAUAUCUUCUUAUUGUUAAUUUAACAUAAUCAAGGUGACUCAUAAUCAAAUUGUAGGUGAACAUAUUUAUCAUCAAUUUAACACAUCAGUCUAGGUCGAUGCAUUUGAUGAAUUUCGCACGACGUGGGGGCUAUGAACUUCAUGUCCAUUGCCGUCACAAGGGCUCACAUCCACGGUAAACAUGCAUGGCCGUCACAAUAAAUUCUUGUCCGGCCAGGCAAAACUGAUCACUUUUCUCAAAGUUAAUCAUUGUUGGUGCACUUUCCCCGACGUCUUUACCAUCAGAAAGUACAAUCCGACAGUCCUCAUGAGAAGUUAGUCCGUACAAAUAAGGUAGGAAGAAAAAACAAACUUGUAUGAUCAAAUGGAAGGGUCCAUCAGUGAAAAGGGCUACAUUGGUUCGGUGGAUGUGAAAAACACUGGAAUGUCCAUAUCUCAUCUCCAGGCUCAUUUUAGACAUAAGAAGUGAUCUCUCAUCAUCAAAUCCAUAGACUAUCCUACAAACAGCAUUCAGGUAAGAAACAAAUGUUCAGGAAGCAGUUGAGCGUAGCUCAGAUAUCAGUUACUGAUGUUUCAUGCCCUGCACCUCUCUAGCAAAAAAUUGCUACCCUGACUAAAUAAAAAUAUAUAGAGAGCAACCUCUGUUAUAUAUCUCAAAGUUCAUUUAACCUCUCUUCUUCUCCCUCCGUCCGGAAAUACUUGUCAUAGGAAUAAAUAUAUUCAGAUGUAUUUUAGUUUUAGAUACAUUCAUUUUUAUCAAUUUAUGCAACGAGUAAUUUCAAACAGAUGGAGUAUGUAUUUAAGAUUUCACACUUGCAUAGAACCGCCUGUCUUGUGUGUCUUCUUACCUUGUGUAUUCUUUGAUUUUGACGUUCUACCUUCACAAAGUGAAGUGGGUAACAUGGCAUCUUCUUAAUUGGUACUCCCUCCGUCCCAUUACAAGUGUCCCUCAAGCAGAUGUAUCUAGCAUAGAAAUACAUCUAGAUACAUAUGUUUGAACGAAUGGGACGGAGGUAGUAUAGUUCAUAACCAUAUAAAGAUGAUCUGAAGAGCACACAACCAGUCCCCACAUAAAUUGGUCCUUGAAUGCAAUCGAUACCUCUCAAGUCAAUCUGCAAUAAACAUAUACAGACGUUAUCAAAUGGAUUUUACGAAAAAUCAUAUCCAACAACAACUUUAAACUACUUAGUACCAGUGUGAAUAAGAAAGCGAUAUACACAAUAACUUAACACCAAAAAAACAGUGUUCUUGUUUACAUGUCUAUCAUUCGUAUCAAUAACGUCGAACCUAUCAAGGAAUUUGACAUAAUAGGUUUUCUUUCCUGGACUAUUGUCCAUAUGGAAGCACCCAGGCUCACUUGAAGUAUUGCUAACUUGCUAUUGUUGAUGUACUGGUCACAGACAAGUUUCAACAAGUAUCAUCCAUUAGUAACGACAGCUUAUGCACGAACCUAUAUAAAGCAUUCAAAAUCAAUUACAUAUAGAUAAUCGAAGUAUAUAUGUCAACUUAUGAUUUCAAUGAAACGUUCAACUUUGAUUAUAUCUUGAUAAUCAAAAUAUAUAUAUCAACUUCCGAUUUCAGUGACAUUAAACUACUCACAAAUGUAUUCAAGGAACCAACUUUCUUUUGAUGUUGGACGUUUAGAGCAUCUCUAGCAUACCCCGUAUAUUCGUCAGAACUGUAAAAUUCCGGCGAUUAUACGGGUUUGGACUGUUUUUGUGCCAUACUAGGUACCGUAAACGCGGCCCGACCCGUAAUUUUUUUGGUGGCCCGUAAACGCGACUGCUCGACAUCUAUAUCUACAGGUUCGGCCGCUAGAUGCAGGUCAAAACACUAUCCCUCCGCCACCGCGAAAAGUCCCCCGCCUCACCGCUGGCGCCUCAGAUCCACCGCCGCGCGCCUCCAUUCCGCCGCAUAGCCGCUCCAUUCCACCGCCCUUGAUGGCCAACUCCGGCAGCCGUAGGAACGACGGCCCCGAGAGGGCUCGUCGCGUCAAAUCCGAUGCCGCCGUCGGUACACGCAAUGGGGCAUGACGCUGCCGCCGUCGCUCCUCCGUCGCGAGAUAGAGGAGUACGGCCGUGCGUGCGGCCGCCUCUUCUUCGGCAGCUCCUUCGAGGCAUCGAGCUCGCGCUCCUCCCUCCCCCGGUGAAGAGGGAGCUCGAGGAGCUCCAGUCGGUGAAGAUGGAGCCGGAGGCCGAGGCGUUGCCAGAGCGACGUGCUGGGGGCGUCGUCGGACCUGAGGAUUUCCUCCCCCAAUGAAGGCGGAUAGCCUUUUGCCCGCGCUGUUGGCGCGGAGUGUGUGGGAGGCGGAAAAGGGCCAGCAGUGCUGUCAGAGGGAAGAGGAGAUCGACACCGUGCUCUACGAGCAGGGUGUCACGUCAGCCCUCGCCUUCGGCCACAAGGUGGAGGAGUGGCGCCGCGAAGCGGCUGUGCAGGAGCGCAUCUACGUUGAGCUCUCCUCCGAUGAGGACGACGACUGAGUGCACUCUGCAUCUACUACCGCACGAGCUCGAUUCCGGUGAGCUCAAUUUUGCGUAGUGCGGUAGGAUAGCUAGUAGCUCUAGUGAGCUCCGGUGAGCUCCAGUAGGUUAGCUUACCUCUAUCCCCUCUAAUAAGUGAUGCCCUCUGAAUGUAGUUUGUAUGAUCGUCUACUAUGUAAUGAACUAUGAAUGACUGUGGUUCCAAUUUCGCCCGCAAAUGUUUUUUUUAAAUUAUGCAGUUUGAUUAUACAGGGUCUGUUCUGCAGCGCAACAUUUCGCCCCGCAAAACCCCACUUCGUCAAACUAUAAAACGCUUUUGCAGGUCGCAAAUAUGCGGGGUCUGCUGAGUUGCUCUUAGCAUGAGAUAGAGAACCCAUAAGAUUCCUUAUUGUCACUAUGAAAGCCUCCACUCUGAACAAGGAUGAACUGAAUAUGACCAGAAAUUUGAUUUAGAAAAUGGUUAAUGUAAUAAUCAGUUUGCUGACAUUUAUAGAUCUUAAUCAAAUAACCAUCUUUCUAGGAUGCAUGGACCCUAGCAAGGUGUGCCAUCUUGCAUGGCGAUCCAUCCCUGGAAACUUUCUCGGUGUUGGCCAAAAAGGAUAUUAGAAUGAACUUUGAACUCUUUGUAUUUUCUGUGGCAUUUAAUACUUGGCAACUUUAAGCUCUUUGUAUUUUCAUGUCAAACAGUAAGCAUGGCAUAGAUACAUCAACUGGAAUAUGAUGUUGCAAAGAGCCUAGCAAAUUAACAAAAAUGUAUAUCAUGCAUGAUCCAAACCAAAUCUACAUAUGAAGUUCUAAAUCAUACACUGCAACAUCCAAGGAAACUGAAAGGAAAAAACUCCCGACAUUUGGAGACAUGAAUUAUUGCUCUGUAGCGAAGCAAAUUGUAGAAUGGAAGAAUUGAUACCGACUGGUUAAGCUGCACAAAGUGGAAUCUUUUUGAGUGAUAAUAUCCCCACUUAUUUGCCAAGUGAUGCUGAAUCACUUGCUGAUUAGAGCGGUUAUCAUUACAAAAGGGGGUCCCAAUCUCAAUUGUCAGGUGUACAUAUUGAAGGAGUAAGCCACAACAAUGACGAUAUGUAGAUUAGUCAAAUAUUGCAGUUGUGUUAUUUUCUCAGACAGGUGUUAGAAGCAUAAGUUAGUGUCCUAGUUAAGAUCCAAAUUAGGCAUACCUUCAUUUAUUAUCAAACCAGAAAUUAUCCCAAGUGCAUUAGGCAACAGUAGUAUAAAGCUGACAGCUAAAGAAAAUUAAUUACAGUUUGCAGCAUAGGAAAUCAGAAGCACAAGCUUGUACAGGCUAAAUAAAAGAUGUAAAUUCAGAUUGAAUAAACAUCUAGAUUCAGUUAGAUCACAAUGUUCCACAUUGACAUACAAUACAUCCCCCUCUUGUCCCCGGUACUUAAUAAUGCAUUCCGACAUACAUAUUUCCCCGAAACAAGUAUACAUAAUCAGAUCAUUAUAAGUCAAAACUAUAUUAUCAGCCAGGUCUUGGAGCUUUGUACAAACGCGUGUGUAGAUUAAUCAUUAAUACUGAAUUUAUCAUAGGUAGAGACAGAGAAUCCAUAGCAUGCAAAGCUAGCAGCAUGACCAACUUCAUCGAGCAAUAAGAGAAGGGAAGAAGAUGACAGUUAGAAGGGCUGAGGCAACAACUGCAACACCGCAUCAUCCAUCGGAAGCAACACAUACAGGGAACAACAACGUAGUUCACAUCUUCAGGCCGUGGGAACAUCUGGUCUUGCGGCUUACCAGGUUUCACAACUUCCGCUGGGUGCGGGCCACCGUGCCGGUGCCGAUGCACCCAAGGCGAGCUCCGACGUGCAGCUCAGUUAGGAGCGUCCAUGGGGUGGCCUGUUUUCCAUCGGAGCCGGAUCCGGGCCAAAGAUCCCAACAUGACCCCCUUCGUCAGUCUUCUCUCUCCACGCCUCAAAUCGGUCCCCACCAUAAUCCUCUUCAGCAGCGGCGGACGGCGUGUCCAUGACGUUGGCUCCAUAUCCCUCCUGCUCAGCUAGGCCGUGCUCCCACGACCAGGACUACGGCCACCACGAGGUGAAUGAGGAGUGGAGCGGCGACAGAGAAUUUUCCUCCAAUCGCGCACCAAACUCGCAUCUCGUUCCUGUCCUAGCGACCAAGCUCCCAACCUAUACCCCAUUCCGACGGUCGUGCUCCCAUGACCAGCAUUGCGGCCACGACGAUAACGAGACGAAUGAGGAGUAGAGCGGCGGCGAUGGCGAAAUUUCUCAGGUCUAGGGAGGGAGACGUGAUUGGGAGCGACAUGAUAGGGGAGAUCAGUAGUACGGGACGCGUGAUCGUGGCUGGGUCUUUUUUCUUCCCGAACGUGGUUGGGGCCUGGGAGGAUCCUUGGGCUGGGUUGGAGGGAGAGUUGCACGUGGGAAAAAAUCGGCCGUGGCUUGUUUGCAUCCGGAACGUCCGGGCAGAAGGAGCUAUCGAUCCGGGAGGGGGUGCGCCGGGGUGGGGAUGAUCUGGUUUUCUUUAUUAAACCGUUUGGUUUUCAGAGGGCUGGAAAAAAAUCUGUGGGAAGAAAAAGAAUCUGUGAGAGAAGAACGUGGGUGGGAGUGCUUCCAGCCAUAGAAGGGGAUAGCUCCAGGUCGAACCAUUACGACAGACGGCAGAUUCCUCUUUAAUAGUAGAGAUAAUCAUGACUUGAGACCUUUAAAACUUUUAAAAAAAUCUCAUCGACCACGAAUUACUCCCAACGCCUUGACAUAUAAAGACUUUCAAAAAUCUAAUCGAAUUCUGGACAUAUAUUUUUGAAUCGGUAAACGGUUUUUUGAAUCGACAAACAUUGUUUUCAAAUUUAGUUUUUUUUCAAAAAAAUGACAAAUAGUUUGAAAUGCAUGAACAAUUUUUUACUCACCAACAUUUUUUGAAUUGAUCAACUUUUUACCAAAAAAAAUUGAACAAAAUUUAAAUUUUGUGUUUGAAGUUAUGUGAAAUUUCAUGGACAUUUGUUUUCAGAUUCCUUAAUAUGUUUAGAAUAAACUAUCCAUUUUUCAAAAUCAUGAACAUGUUUUUUUUCCUGACAAAUUUUCCAAAUCACGAAUAGUUAUUAUAAUUGGUGAACAAUUUUGCAAAACUACCAACAUUUUUUAAUCCGCAAAAAUUAUGAUUUCCUUAACAUUUUUGAAUUCAUGUAAAUUUUAUGAUUUCUCGAUCAUGUUUUCGAAAAAUCACAACUUUUAAAAUUUAAAAAUCCUAAAUUGGUUGAAGGAAGGAAAGAAAACAGGAUGAGGAAAGAAAAGACAAAAAAAUAAAAUGAAAAAAUAGGAGAGAAAAGCCCCGCACAUGGACCGGCCCAGUAAUUUAUAUGUGGGUAAGGACUUGCGGGAGAAUAGGAAGGCAGAGAAAAAGGUGGAGGCUGGGACUCGAUCCCUGGUCUCACCAAUAGAAUUGGGAAGCCCUAACAACUCAACUACUUGUGCAUGUGUAAUUUUAAUCAGUACUGUUUCUAUACAACAAUGUAGCAUGACGUGACUUUGCGAAGAAAAAACGAACCGUUUUCUUUAUUCAUGGGUGGCAUAGUGGGUAAUUUGUAGCAAGUUUGAGGGUAUUUACUUAGACGGACGAUAGAAGCAGUGUUUGAUUUAGUAUUACUAGUACAAAUGCCCGUGCGUUGCACCGGGCAAAAAAUAUGACCAUGUGUCUGCAGCAUACAUGGAUAUAUUUAGUGAGCGCAAUAGACUGAGUCAAUAGGCGUGAGACACUGCACCAAUUCUCUCUUUUUUCUUCCAUGAAGAAACUGCACUAACAUUAAAUUGAACUCUUCGAAAUUUAUCUUGCUUUCACAGAAAAGCCCCAAAAGAUAAAGAAUAAAUAGUCCAAUAUUUAAAAAGUCUGUAAAUAUAUUAGUUGGAUGAGAAUAAACAUAUGAAGCAGCAAUGAUCAAUAAUAAACAAAUAUGUGGGGAGUGAAUUAUUCGUACUUUAUUCGCUGAGGCGCAGCACUGUGACUUUGCAACAUAGAAGUGAAUAAGCACGGUUAUUGGUUUGAAUCCAUGCUAGUUGUAAUGAUUUUACUAAUAACACAUCAUUUUCUCAAUUUUAAAUUCAUAUUGCUAUCAGUUACACAUUACUGGACAAGUCGUUCAGACUUCCGACUCGACUGGACUCUGCGGCUUCCUUCCAGCCCAUAGUCCAUCCUAACAUAGCCAGUGAAAGAGCUAUUUGUUUCAUACAUAAUGUCCAUAGCUGGUGUCGCCUCAGCCUGAACAACCCAACCGAGCCAAAAGAAAUCUGAGACGGAGUGUUCUUCAUGCUUGAGGAAGUAUUUCUGGAAAAAAAUCAUGUUCUUCUCUUCAAUAGAAGAUGUUUCAAGUUUCUGCUGUACAAAACGACUCCCGAAUUGAUCCGAAAUCCAGAAAGAGAACCAUAUCAGUAUCCUACAUAAACACGUCAAUUACACUCUAAAUUCAGGAAGUAAUAAUACCUGAACUCGACCACAUGACAUCCAGCAGCUCAAAAGAUCAGGUCUUAUUGGUCUUGAAACAAACAUGGUUACCCCACACAUUGGUGUUCUCCUCGUGCAUUUUUCAUGAAGGGGACAAGGGAUAAUGAGAGUAAUUAAUUCUCACUGUUAUUAGGAUUUCAGAUUGUACCGAGCAGAGUUACCUCCAAAUCCUGACUAUCAACGUCGUCGACACACUGGCAUGUGCUGACGAUGCCAUGGCAAUUCAAAACCUGGCCUAAUGGCUUAAAAUCUCUAUUGUUCUUCAAUAUGUACAUCUCAAAUCAACUCCGGAUCAACAAAACCAUGGAAACAUCAAUAAGUUCUAAACUAUGUUAGUGUGGAAAUAACUAAGGAAAAUUAAUGGCCUAAUUCAGAUCUUUCUAAAUUACAAUACAACUGUCUGAUGUAUGAACACAGAUUCUAAGAAAAAAGCACUAAUUCUAGGCACACGCAUGAUACCUUUGCAUGCUCAGAUGGACUGGUUGUACUGGGGAUAAUUAAGCUCUCAAUGCUAGAAAGUGAUGCUUAUAUAUUGCUGGUAUCAAUUUGAAGUAAAUCAAACGUAGGUUUUCAAUACUGUCACCGUCAAUUUGUGAUCCUAGUAAAAGUGCAUGUGCGUUGCACCGGGUUAGAUUGUCGAUUUUCCGAUCAUGUAUUUCGUAUUUGACCCCCCUUCCAUCAUGUUCUUCGUCAACAUCUACUUGAACUCCGCACCGCCUUUGAAAUGCAAGUAGGUACGUAAACAUACGACAAAUCAUUAUAUAUAAUAGCGAAUAAUACCUAUACGAACUCUCCAAGCAGAAGAAAAUAAAAGGUACUAACAGAAACAAUUUCCUCCAUAUGAAUGGUUGCCCAGCAGCUCCGAAGAACAGCUACUUGCAUCUGUUUAGUAGCAAUUGAAAGUUAAGUUGUAAAUAAAGGCAAAAACUGCUCGUCACAAACUUGAAAUUCUGAUUUUUGUAAGAGAUAUAGCAAUUCCAAUGGUCAUUAUUUUAGCAGUCUUAUUUUACUUUUUUUUCCAUAAAAUUCGAAAACGCUCUUAUGUUAGGACGAAAGGAAUGGAUAUUGAUGCACAUGUACCGUGGUUAUUCAAAUGGAGCCAAGCAAGGCAAUCCCUGUCUGAAUUCUGAUUCACAGACUCGAGUCUGCAAAACAGAGCACCUGCCGCCAUAGCUACAGAAUUUUUAUAAAAAUGGAAAGCGCGCCGACGUAGAAUUGGGAUUGGAGUACCGACCUUGAACCGAUCCAUGGCUUUGACAACUGCUUCGCGGACAGCAGUGGUAUCAAGACCCACAUCGGCAUGAGUAACAUAGAAGGGUUUUCCUUCAGAAACAACAACUUCUGCGGCAUCUAUGGCAGUCUUGACAACCUUUUGGAUAUUUUCUUUGCCCAUUUUCUUCUUUGCCUCCCUAAGUCGCUCCUGAUAUAUGCAACAGCCAUAGUCAGCUUUCAUUUUAACUAUUGACAAGAUAUGACAAAUGAACUGAAGCGUUUACAGACCUCCAGCUUUGAGACAUUGCCUUUUAGAUCAGCUUUUCUUGCAGCUGGGAUAGCAGCUGCAUCCAGUGUAUUCUUGAUGGACCCAAUUUUCUGAUGAAGAAACAUCAUUCUUAGAUACAAUCUAAUACUACAAAGCAGAUCAACAGGAAAUGGCUACAAAGUACAAUUGAUGCCAUCUAUUUACAUAAAGGUUACGGAAAUAUAUUUUUUCUAAGAAAACAAGCAAAAAUGAUAAUAACUUCUAAUAAUAUCCAAUUUAUUAGAGUAUCAAAACCAUAUAGCUCAAACUAAGAGACACAAGCACAAAAGGGAAAAGCGAAGUACCUUUUCCAAUGUCGCCCCGUCCAGUUUAGAUGCUUCAUUGAUAUCACUAUCGAUAGAUGAUGCCAACUUCAUAGCCUGUGAGGCACACUCAGCAGUAACAACCGUUAUCCUUCGAACACCUUUUGCGAUACCCUCUUUGGAUAUGAGAGCAAAUGCUGCAGCAUCCCUAGUGUUUGAAAUGUGUGUACCUCACAUGCAUAAACUUUAGAUGACAUGAACGCACAAAUGUAGAAUUACAUAGAAUGGAUUAGCAAAUAUACCUCCACACAGCUCAGUUGAUAUGGAUAACCAUUCUUUGCUUUGAGGGUUUGCAAGCAGAUCUUCCACUUUGCGGCCAAUCGAUACAACUCUUACAAGAUCAGGUAGAUCUACAAAAGUCCGAGCUGGGAGGGAUUCGAUUUUCUGAACUGCCGUCCGCGCCCCACCCGCUGCUCGAGCCCGAGCGUAGCAGGGCCGGCGGCUGCCUCCACCGGCGCAAGGGGCGAGGGCGGCGAGGCUCCAGUGGCAGGUUGGCGGCGGAGAUGGUCUCCCCCGGACCGGAUCGGGGCUGCGGCGGCGGAGAUCGAGGCAGAGGGCGGCGCAGUAUAGGCGGCGCUUUGGGCCGGCGAGUGGAGUCGGUUGCGGGCCGGUGGCCGGCGCGGGGUGGCUCGACUGCGUAUGGUGGGUCCCCGGCGAGAUGCAUGCGAGGGGCCGGCGGCGUGCUGCGAGGUCUCAAGCAUGGAGCGGCUGGCCGCCAUGGAGGAGCUCUGCUACGUCUCCGACGAUGGUGCAUCCAUGCUCUGCUUCGACACCCUCUCCAAGACGGCCGAGCCCAUCGCCUCCUCGCCCGCCGCCGGCGAGAAGCCCACUCGUGAAGACCGCAAUGGAUAAGCCGGGGAACGGAACGAAAGGCUUUUUUUCUAACUUAAAAACAUAUUGCGGAUUAGUUAUCAGAAAAGCGAGGGGUGUUUUUGCAAAAUUACCGCAACGUACGGGAGAAGUGCUGCGCGCUUUAUUAUUAUUAUGGGAGAUUAGGGAAAGAAUAAGAUACUAUACGUUUUUUAGACAAACAGGAUUAAAUUUUUAGAAAAAUAAGAUACUACAUGUAUCUUGUCACCUGUGUGUGGAUAUAUAUGGAUAUGGGUAUUCGCUUGAUUCUGACACACAAGCAAUCUCAGCCCAGUAUCCCCUCACAGGCCAUGAUAUAAUAACUAGGGCCCGGUCAGUCGGUCUCAGAUUGGCAUGUAUGGCAGCAACGGCGGCACGAUGAGGCCUCCUCGUUCAUUGUAUAUCGUAGUUCACGUAAAUAGUUCUCCUGCAAUAUUUUUGAUGGCAAAUUUAGCUUUUAUGCGACAUGGCCCUCUUUAACCGUAAAACGCAAGACUCAAGGGGUUAGUAAUUUGAGUUAUCACGCGGGACUCAUCAGUUAUCCACAUUAACUUGGAAUCCAUAACUUAGUCACAUGCGUGUGGGGCCCAUAACUUCCACAUAAGGAUGCAUGUGCUCAUCGGCGUGUCUGAACCAGCCCCAUUGCUUUCCCUUCCUCUUUCCUUUCCCCACCCUAUUCUUCCUCUUCUCCGGAAACAAAGAGAGGCAACACCGGCCGACAAGUGAUGUCUUCCUCGACUUCGGCCUCCCGCCAAUCAUGACGGUAGUACGGUCCAGUGUCGUUGACAAGAUGUCCCGAUUGCUUGCUCAUGGAGGCUCUGAAGCGUUUGACUUGUAUGAAGGAAGAAAAUGGCAACUAUGGACGCCAGUUCGUGAAAUGCUUGAGCAGGCCACAGCCGGGACAAUGUUAGAUUUGUGUACUUUACCAAUCGUAUGGUCUAACUUCUUCAGAUUUCUUUCUUUUUUUCAGUCGAAUAUGCGGAUCGAGGGUUCAUGCGUCGCCGACCUCCACUUUUUGAGGUUCUAAAGAAAUGUGGGCAUUUUGAGUGGCUCGAUGAGUAGGUUGAGAGUUUAAAAUCGAAGGCAUCAACCCAAAAGCUCAAUUUUGGAGGCCGCUUGAUGUGACAUCCGCACCCCCAUUUGACUGACAGAGCCGAUCCGAUGAGGAAGGGUGCUGGACUGAAAUAGCAAUUGAAGAAAAUAAGCAAGCAACUAAAACAGAUGAUCGAUUUAAAUGAGGAAGCAAAUAUGAUGGUUGAAGCAUUUUAUUGUUGUAUCAUUGUCAUGGGUUCCUAAUACUUGAUGUUCAUCAAUCGUUAGAAAUUGUUAGAGUUUCAGUUAGUGUAUCAAGCUAGCUUCAUCGAUCCUACACAAGGCAGGUAAACGUUGCUCCAUGUAUUUCAGAUUUCCACAAAUGAGUGGUUUGUACACAAUCUCUCAUCGUCAAUCAGGUUCCAAGAGCUCACUUUCUCGUUUAACUAUCGCUGCCUGCCGGUUAGUAUGGUCAUCGGGUCAGCCCACGUAUCAUCAAACCCAUUAACGUACGCAUGAUGGGCGCUCUCUUGUUGUGUACACGUCGAUUUUUACUGUGGCGUGCAGAGAAAAAAAGGCAGAGUAAAACGCAGCCAUUAAUGCGAGGAAACGUGAGGCACCAGCCGCCGCCAUGGGUGAUCUCCCCACGCGACCACUCUUGCCCCCACCCCUUCCACUCGUCUUCCUCUUAUCCACGGAUGACCGUCGCCCAAAUUUCUCGGCGAUGGCGGGGAGAUGCGGCGCAUCCAGGUGAUAGGGGUUGGGCCGCACGGGCUCGUUGAGAUCGUGAACGACCAGCCUGCUCCGUCAGGUCGUGGACGGCGAGGCUGGGCAGGGAAGAGGAGCAAGCCAGGAGGUCGCUGAUGAGGUUCGCCGGUCAGACAGGUGCAAGGGCGCCGAUUUCCCUCCUCGUGUUCCCGGACGACGCGCAAGCCAUCCUUCCCUUUCUUCCGUGCGGCUCUACCCUGUCCUGACUUCUCCUCGCCGCGCCGCCGUCCGCUCGACCACAGCUCGCCCCCGUCCACAAAGGAGACAAGUAGCAGCAGCGCCCCAAAUCGAGGGAGGGAGGAUCCUCUCAGGUGAUAUUUUAUCUCUCAAAUGUGAUGUCCCAUCUCUUGGUUAGUUGCUUUGUUUGGAUGAUUUCAGGCCUUGAUGUGUGCUGCGAUGAGUAUUUGGUAGUAUGAACUCUAGAAUAGGGAAUAGAUCUGGGGUGAUGGGUUUAACAACCACAGGAGAUAGAUGAUGCCUUUGUGCAGUACUAGGAAUCAAAAGGAUCUGGGAUGAGGGAUUUGGGUGGGAAUGGUGACGAGGCAACACAACAAUUUCAUGUGUUCGUUAUAACUUUAAAUAGUCUAAACACCAUUUUUUAUGAACUACGAUGGAUCAUAAAGCUACUAAAAUUGUAACAAUUGGCUUUAUCUCGUAAAAAAUUGCAGUCAACUAACAAAUGGAUGGUAAGACCAGGAGAAUAUAACUGAAGAAAUCUAUAGCAUUUUAACUGAAGGACAAACUGACUUAUCUUCAGUUAAGUGGCAUAUUAACUUUUCAUCAGUGAGGUACAACAUUCUCUACAUACGGUGCUUUUUUCUUGAGUAUACCAGUUCAAUAAUGAACGAUUAAUUCACUCCGCUCGGUUUCUUGUGGGUUCCCGGUGAUCUGUGCACAUGAGUGCCUCCUUGGGUUUGCCUCGGGCUCGGUCUGCAUGCAUGGUUUCAUCCUCCACCAGUGCAACUUCGUCUCCAGUAGGAGAAGGGGGUGCAUCUUGUUCGGGUGCAUCUUGUUCGAUUCACAGCGAGAUGAUGUACUCAGAAAAGAUGGAGGCCGGCGGCAAGUGUGAUAAGCGAUCAGGGAAUUGAUCGUUAAGUUGGUUUGUCAUAAAUUCUACUACAUCUUCCUUUCUUCCUUUACUUAUUUCUUUCUCUCUGAUUGAUCAAUGUGCUAUGCAAAUUUGUUCGAUAUAUGAAUUGAUUUCAGUUUUGUACAUGUCUGCAUCAUACUUAAUGUUAAUUCCCUAUUAAAUUAGCAAGAUUUAGGAAGUCAUUUUUUUGCAGGUCAAAAAAGCAAGAUUUAGAUGAUAUUUCGCAACAAUGUCAAUGUUAGAUUCUGAUUCACCAACAGUGCUCUUUAAGUUACAAAGGAUUUGAAUUGAGCGAUUCAACUCUGCCUUCAUCAGUACAAACAAUUCAUAAAAGAGGUUCAGUCUCUUCUUUAUUAUCUAGGUGCAUUAAUACUAUGUAUGAUACUAACUGAGUACAGUUGCCUGCAGUAUGCAUUGCUCUACUUUGGAUCCUUUUUCUUACUUUAUACUUCCUUUGCUCUCUGGUUUGCAGAUGAAUUGGACUAAUCUACUCAGCAUCUCAUGACUUUAGAAGCACGAGUUCAUGAAAACUGAUAUCCACUAGGAUUGCUCUGCUCCUGUUGACAUGCGAGAGCUGUUUGAAGCGAACUGGAUGGUUGUCACCACUAAUUAAGCUGCCGAGCCCAAGAAUUGUGUCAGACUAUUGGUCAAGCUGUUCAAUUUCUCAACACCGUUCAGUUUUGUCAUUGGCCGCCCUUGCGUACACUCAACAGAGAAGGGUAUCUAUCCUCAAUUUCCUACUCUAGAUAACAUCUACUCAUAUAAUUGAUCUCUAAUAUCCUGUAUAAAACGUUAGUGGUGGCUCGACAAUUUAAUAAGCCAGAUUUGUGGGAAGUGGAAUGCAUGUGUAACCAAACUGGGCUGGACCAAUCUUGAGGUUUUCCACGAAUUCUUUUAAAAAUGGUCCUUAAGCAAGGCACUGGGAAAUCGUGGAUAGCUGAUAUAUCCAGCAGGUAUGUGCACAUUCUGCUAUAAUCUAGAGUAGGGAGUGCUCAGCAUAAAUUGUGAGAUCUGAGCUGGUACAUAAAAUAAACCAAGAUAGUCUUGUCUUACGUGCGGAUGAUUUUAUUAUGGCAUACUGUUCAGCAUAAUUCUGACUCUAGAAUGUCUAUAUUAGCCAUUUGAUGAGUCAACUAGAAACUUCAUAGGUUUUUAGUACUCCAGUUAUGUUGUCAUUUGUAUAUCUCCAGAUAUAAACUUCAUAAAUUUAUAUCGUGAAUCAUUUUUAUGCUGCUACAUUUCUAGCAGAAGUUGUAUCUCUUUCACACAAAGCGUGAUAAUGUGCAUUGCACUUGUACUGCUCUAUCUUAUUGUUAUAUUUGCAUUUGCCAUUACUUUCAUAGUCUAUAUUUUGGCUCUGAUCUAAACCAUAUCAUUGCUUGCGUGCACCUAUACGACACAUAUCACAUAAAACUAAUUAGAGGGGACGCAUUCCCACCUGGCAUCGCCCAGCUAUCUCUCAGGAGGCCCGCAAUGGCGGGCCCCAACCACUAGUUCUCCUAAAGUCGCCGCAGGUUCCAAACUUCAUCCUCCGUACUUAAAUACUUGUAGUUAAGAAAAACAAAACUAAUUCUUCCUAACUAUAAGUAUUUUCAUACAGAGCAAGUAGUUUCUAUAGCUAACUGUAUUUGCAUAUAUGCUCUGUACGAAAAAAUAACCUAAACAGAAAGGAAUACAAUCUACAUCAGCCAAAAGAUGGUAUUGCUUGGAUAAUACAACCUUCGUUCUUAAAUAUAAGUUUCUUUUAAGAUUUCACUAUGAACUACACAUGGAAUAAAAUGAAUGAACCUACAUUCUAACAUAUGUUUAUAUACAUCCGUAUAUAGUCCAUAAUGAAAUCUCUAAGGGCCUUUUUGAUUCAUAGGAUUUUGAAAAUACAUGAAUACAAAAAGUUGAGGGUUGGAGUGGUAUGUCCAUUUGAUUUAUGUAGGAUUAACAAUGAGUGUUCGUUGUCACAAAAAAUAUAAAAAAAUGUACAAGAAGGUUGGGGUGAAUGUUAAUUUUUUUAAUGAAAUGUAGUACUCCCUCUGUAUCUAAAUAAUUGCAGUUGAAAAAAACUAGACUAGUCCUCCCCAACUAUAGUUAUUUAGACACAUAGAAAGUAUAAAAGAUUCCAUGGCCACCUUCCUCUCUUCCAAUGUCACCUUCCUCUCCUCGGCCGCCAACCUCCUUUCCUCGGCCGCGGCAUCUUGGGUCCUUGCCAUCUUCCUCACCUCGUUCGCUUCUUUUCUUGCCUUCACAAUAGCUUCCAUAGCAUUUUUGAGCUCAUCAUCCCCUUUCCUCUUCUUCUUUUCUUUUGCGUCUUUCUUGCACCCUUCCGGUCGUUUUGGCUUCGAGUAUGAAACCGAGUUUGGUGUAGGGAUUCUCUUGCCGUCAUCACUUGAUGCCUCCUCCUCAACAUGACCCAACUCAAUUGUUCGCUUGCGUUUGUUGCUCUCAUCAACAUCAUCGAUGCCGUCACGCUUCUUCCAUUUCUCAUCAUCCUUCAAUUCUUCAUAGCAAUGAGGCAAGGUAAAUGGUCUCCCUUUCGUGGUCUUCUUGUCCUCCUUUGAACAAGUUUUGUGCAGUAUUGAACUAAAAAAAAAACAAGUUAGCACUACAAAUACCAAGAACAAACAUGAUGAACAUGGAUGAAAUGGCACUUACCCUAUCAACAUCAUUAGUGCCACUUGGGUUCAAAGUGUCAACCGCCUUUUGUGCGGCCGCCCACUUUUGACAAUCUCGGUUGACUGUCGACCACUGGGAGCGAAGAGAUCGUGUCGAGCGGUCAAUUCCACUCUUGCUGUGUAGAUCAAAGUGCUCCUUCAUCCGGUUCCAAUAUGCAUCUUUACUUUGAUCACCUACAACGGAUGGAUCCCUCGACACUUGCAACCAAGUAUUGCAUAGCAAUAUGUCUUCAUCGUUGGUGUAGUUGCCACCUCUUCCUUUCGGUGCGUCCACAAUUCCCUCACCAUCCUUGUCCACCUUGAACUCAUGGUCAUCGAAAUGCAUGUCAUUGGUUUGAGACCAAUGAUAAUUGUUGGAGCCAACACCCAUAGUUGACAUAUGCCUCAUCGUUGACACUACAAAGGAUAUACGAAGCAAAUGAGCUAUCUAUAUGUAUGCAUUCAAAAAUAAACAACAACAAAAAGUUAGCGAUUUUUUUUACCUUCGGGGCAUUUCCUCGAACACCUUGUGCGCGUCGGCCACCGGCUCAACAAGUGAGCUCGCCGGCACUUCGGUAGCCGCCGCGGCCGUUACACGCCCUGCAAGUUUCUUCCUCGACGGCUUGAAGGAGCCGGAGUCAUCCACCGCCUUGUUCUUCUUCGCGGAAACCUUGCCCUUCUUCGGCCGCACCGCAUUUGAGAGCUUCAAGAGGGGGCACGUGGCCUCCCCGGCGGGCGCCGGCGCGAGGCCACCCUCCGUCGAGGUCAUCCGUGACGCCAUGAAAAGGCCGCGCGCUCGAGUGUGCAGCGUGCUAGGGUUUGCGGUGGCCGCGGAGGGAGGAGUUUGGCGGCGGCCACGGUGAAUAGGACAAAAGACCUUAGAGAUAUUGUACUGUUUGUUCAUCUUUAUAGUUUUUCGUUGCAACCAGUAGAGAUAUGUAAUACCAUCUUUAUAGUUCUUUGUCCAGAACACGCGAGUCUUGGGAUCCUUACGAUCCAAGGAGGAUGAUGCCCAAAACUACAGAGAUUCUCUUCCAUGUCAGUGCCAUAGGUGGAGAAAUUGCACUAAGCUAUUGCGUUCUGUGUGUUCCAAAGAGAGUGAUGCCAAAAAAUGCAGACGGUUGCUCCCAAAUUCAUCUACCUGCGACAUAAGACAUCCAUUCCAGUCCAGCAGCACCGCAAUGAGGUCUGCAAUUAAACAAUGAUUAACUAUAUUAACCAUCAUUAAGUUGAUAAGGAUUAUGCUAUAGUCGUCUCAAUAGAAGAGUUCGCAUUAGUAUGCAGUAGCAACAAAGAUGCAAGCAGGCAUGUUAUAAGAGCAAGUCUAGUAAAACCCUCAAAUCCUCAAAUUCUGGAAAAUAAUCGUUUUUUUACAGUUUUCUUCGACAAAACGACGUAGACUAGAACCCUUAAACCCUUAAACCCGUAAAAAAAUUUAGAGGUCGAACCUGUAAACGCCCUCGCAGCCUGUAGAAGUGAGGGUUGGGGGGAGAAACUGUCCCUGACCUGCACUCCACUUCCUCUCCAGCGCGGGAGGGAAGUUUCAGCUCCCUCCCUCGAUCCGCCGCCGCCACCGCUCCGUUCUGGCGGCCCGCCAUCGUCGCUUACCCGCCCCGCCGCAGCCCCUCCGCAACGUCGCCCGUCUGCCCCGUCCGCAUCGCCGCCACUGCCGCAGCGCCUCCUUGUCCGCAGUGCCGCGCCGCCCCCGCCGACGCCCCGCCCCGUCCCCGCCGGCCCUCCGCAGCCCCGCAGCGCCGCCCCNNNNNNNNNNNNNNNNNNNNNNNNNNNNNNNNNNNNNNNNNNNNNNNNNNNNNNNNNNNNNNNNNNNNNNNNNNNNNNNNNNNNNNNNNNNNNNNNNNNNUCUUUUUUUCCUUUUGCGUUGCAGAUAAAUGAUGGAGCGCGGGUUGAAUAACAAAAAUUACAGGGAUUUUUUAUAAAAAUGUCAUGGUGGAUUUUCCGACGAAAGCAAUAGCCGCUUUAUUAUUAGGUAUAGAUUUACUAGCAAAAAAGUUUGUGCGUUGCAACGGAAGCAAACCAUAUACAACACGUCUUAACCUAACUAGUUAAAUGCACGUGCGUUGCCACGACAUAACAAAAUUAAAAAAUAAUGAUUUUGUUGUGUCCUAAGUAUUAUACAUCGUCUUAUGCCACUAAUUUUACGCAUGCAGGUAUCUACUUUUUUUCCUUUUCUUUUUUCUUUUCUUUUCAUAUUUGAUCAAAGUCACUUAGAUGAGCAAUAACUAUAGCACAUCUAGAUAGGUCCUAGACAGACCCUAGAAAUAAAGACAUUAGUCAAAACAUCAUUGUACUUUAUGUCACGUGCGUUGCCACGACAUAACAAAAUUAAAAAAUAACAAUUUUGUUGUGUCCUAAGUAUUAUACAUCGUCUUAUCCCACUAAUUUUACGCAUCUAGGUAUCUAUUUUUUUCCUUUUCUUUUCAUAUUUGAUCAAGUCACUUAGAUGAGCAAUAACUAUAGCACAUCUAGAUAGGUCCUAGACAGACCCUAGAAAUAAAGACAUUAGUCAAAACAUCAUUGUACUUUACGUCUUAUAAUCACACAGACUUACAAGUAUGUUGCGAUAAAUAUCUUCUUAUUGUUNNNNNNNNNNNNNNNNNNNNNNNNNNNNNNNNNNNNNNNNNNNNNNNNNNNNNNNNNNNNNNNNNNNNNNNNNNNNNNNNNNNNNNNNNNNNNNNNNNNNCUCAACAAUAUGACGAUGCUUACGUUCGACAGAACCAUUCUGCUGAUGUGUAUGUGGACAUGCUAAACGAUGCGCGAUCCCAAGCGAGCUGAAAAAGGAAUCAAGGUUGCGAUAUUCGCCACCCCAAUCUGACUGCACAUGAACAAUCUUAUGCUUGAGAAGGCGUUCAACAUGUUUUUGAAAUUGAACAACUAUAUGGAACACAUAAACCCUUAUGUUGUCGACGCCACCACAAUGUCAGACAGUGUCAGCCUCUUGCGCGUUUCCAUCAAACGGUGUGUAGCACCGAGACCCCACUGCACCAUGCCGCCCAGACUUGCCGCCGUCGAGAUCGUAGAUGCCACGCUGUUCCACCUUGGUCACUUCACAAGAAUCAUGCGGAGACCAGCGAACAGGCAUCGAAGCCAAACACUUGUCCCUUAAGCCGAUGAAUGACUCCAAAGAUGAUGCCCCCAUGGAGUGAUGACGGUAGGACGUCCCGGCCAUCUGAAUAAUACCACAGUAUAUAUCGUCAAGCAUAAUAUUUCUAAAACUAGCUUGUUAUGAAUGAAUGGCGGGCGUCGUGGCCGGCGGCGUGGAGGCGGCUACCAGCGACGCCGAGAGGGCAGCGACCUGAGCGGGCGCCGAGGGGGUCCCCGAGGGAGGGAACCAACGGCAGCACAGGCACCGGAGGUGGCGACAAGUACGAUGCCGCCGAGAAGAUGGAGCCGACGCUGAGGGUGCUGAUCGGAGCAGCGACAACAGCGGCGUCGGUCGGCGAGAGAGGAGCGNNNNNNNNNNNNNNNNNNNNNNNNNNNNNNNNNNNNNNNNNNNNNNNNNNNNNNNNNNNNNNNNNNNNNNNNNNNNNNNNNNNNNNNNNNNNNNNNNNNNAGGAUCUCCGGAGAUCAGUCGUGCGCUAGUUGCUCAAAUGAGCAUGGCUACAAUAAAAUCGAAAAAAAUUAAAAAAAUCAUUCAAAAACUCAGAAUUCCAAAUGUUUACCGCAAGUAUUUUUAAUUUUUAUUUAGUUUACUUUUAUUUAAAAAUCACUGUUCAUCCUAGCCCAUUUGAGCUCGGGCUCAAAAACUCUGUGUCCUCGCCUACCCUCGUUCUGCACUGCACUUGAACUGAAUAACUGAUUUCCAUAUACUCGGCGUGUUUGUCAACCUCGCGUUGACUCCAUUAUUAUCGUGACACGUCAGGCAAGAGCAGGGAGAGGUUGAGAGACUUAUCUUGCACAUGUGGCAGUCGAGCUGGACUUUAAAAUGGGCACCGCGUAUUUCCGUUGAGAUGACACGGUAUAUACUGAGGUUUAGAGAAAUCCAAACUGUCGUUUCUUGAAAGUUUGGGGCUUCGACACUUAUGUGAAAAGUUUCAGUCUGAUAAGCUCGAACCCAAAGCGGAUAAAUGCAUCUUCAUAGGNNNNNNNNNNNNNNNNNNNNNNNNNNNNNNNNNNNNNNNNNNNNNNNNNNNNNNNNNNNNNNNNNNNNNNNNNNNNNNNNNNNNNNNNNNNNNNNNNNNNAGGGCGGGAGGUUCCCCUGCGGCGGCGCUGUGGGCCGCGGCCAGGGGAUUUGCGUCGGUGGGCUCCGACAUCGUCUCCGCGGCGCCCGGCGUGUCGCUGCAGAAGGCGCGGUCCUGGGACGAGGGAGUCGCCACCAAGUUCUCUACCACCCCUCUCAAGGACAUCUUCCAUGUACUACGCUCUCUAUACUCUGCCCCUGUUUCCUCCCGCCGCUAUCGUCUGACCCCUUCCUGUUUCUUUGUAUCUGCUUGCUCGCAGGGGAAGAAAGUCGUCAUCUUCGGGUUGCCGGUAAGCUCUCUCUAGCUCACUGCCCUCGCCUACCAAGUUCUUCUUGUGCUAGCUUCGUAUACUGUAUACUCGACUAUUUCCAAACCCUAAUGAGUCUCAGUGGGGAUUUUUCACACUAGUUGGUACUAGUCCAAAAUCAGCAUUAGACGCUUAUGGAUCGAGUUCUUGGAUGCUCCAUUCGCACGAAGUACAGUAUGAGAAACUGCGAAUAGGCAGGCAGGCCAUUGGCUAGAUCAGGAAAAAUAAAUGCUGAAACAUCAUUGUUGGACUGCGAAUUAGUGUGCUUGAGCUUUUGCGCUGAAUGGCAUUUUAGUGCCCACCGUUCAAAUUCAUUAAUAACUCUAUAUCCCUAAACAGUUUCUGGCUACAUCCACUAGGAUUGUAAGCUUGCUCCAUGAUGGUUCUGUGUUUUGCCCUUUCCANNNNNNNNNNNNNNNNNNNNNNNNNNNNNNNNNNNNNNNNNNNNNNNNNNNNNNNNNNNNNNNNNNNNNNNNNNNNNNNNNNNNNNNNNNNNNNNNNNNNCGCAAUCAAUAGCUGCAAAUCUGAAGCGGGUUGACUUAACAUAAGGACCAAACGCGCGCCAAAUCCUCAAGCCACGCACCAAGCAACGCGCAAAUCACCCAAAUCUUAGCAGCGGGAGGGUAGGGAAAGGCCAGGAUCCGGGUGCACCUGCUUGAGCGAGGAAGGGAAGGUGAUCCUUCCGCACUCGAGCGGCUGGCGGACAACGGAGACGGCAGCGUCGCGCCAGCGACGGCAGACGCAUGCUCAUCGCGGCGCGGGGGCCAGCGCUCGGCGCCGGGGUUGAUGCGGCGGACGAUGUCGGUGAGCAGCUCCGGCAUAAGGCGGGAGCACCUCUCCUCGUCGGCAUCCCCCUCCUCCUCCUCCUGGAGGCGACCGGGGGCGUCCUCUGGGGCGACCUCGGGUGGAGCUGGAUCCAUGCCUGUCGCCGGAUGGAUCUAGGAGCCGCCGGAGCUGCGAUGUGAGAGGAGGRKAKRSKGAGGGCCGGCGGCGAGCUAUAGGAGGAGGAAUAGGCCGGCGUGGGUGGUGGCGGCAGCGAGCGAGAGGGGAUCGUGGAGAGAGAGGAGCGAGGUUACGAGACAGAGAGGGGGGAUGACGCUAGACUUAGGUGGGCUCUCUCUCUCGUGGGCUCCUAUUUUUUCUCCUUUUCUCUAUGGAUGGUGGAGGGAUGGUGGGGGUGGAGAUCUAGAUGGAUAGAUGGAUGGAUAUACGCCACAUCAUCGAUCCGUGGAACAAUGUUCCACCAAUAGGAAUUAAGCUCAUGCAAUUGUGUUUCUUUUUUUUAUUUUCUUNNNNNNNNNNNNNNNNNNNNNNNNNNNNNNNNNNNNNNNNNNNNNNNNNNNNNNNNNNNNNNNNNNNNNNNNNNNNNNNNNNNNNNNNNNNNNNNNNNNNGUCCUGGAAGUGUGGAUGGACAUUCUUAUUUACGCGAGCCACAAGUGCAGCAGGGAGUCCCACGCCCAGAAGCUCAAUAGUGGUGGCGAGUUGACAACCAUCGUGUGGCUUAUGGCAGAACACAUAUACCUAGCGUCGGCCCCAGAAAGAGAUGAUGUAAUAUAAUGUUUCUGAUAACAAUUGCAUCCGGGGGGGGGGGGGGGGGGGAAUCCUACUUCAUGUAUUUAUAUUGUUUGUGCAUAAGUUACAUAUAGUUAUAAAAAAGGGUAUUCAACAAUGUGAGAGUGAGGGUCAGACUACACAUGGACGUACAUGGGCCGCCCAGUGCUCACUUAAUUAGCCUUUGUGGACAUCCGUGGGACUAGCCUCCUCACCAGUAAAUUUUGAAAUAGUUUUAGUACAGGCUCUUCAGUGAGGAAAUACACUUUGAUUUCUGGUUGUAUUUCAUCGCGAGGGCCAAAUUUCACGUGGACAUGCGCCGCCCAGUGUCUACUUAAAAGCCCACUUAAGGUGUGUUUGGUUGCUGUCAUGGGUUGGAAUAUCACGGGUCGGACCCGUUCCUAGUCCUCGCUCCUGCGUUUGGUUUACCAACUGGAACAGAACCCACUCAUUCCAUUUUAGAAAUAUUUCACUCAGAUCCGGAACGUGCUAGUACCACAAAAUUGACGGAAUCACACGGAAAGGCUCGUCUCGCGCAACUCGUCUCCUCCUUCCCCAGCUGCGCCGCUCGAGCUCCUCCUUCCCCAGCUGCGCCGCUCGAGCUCCUCCUUCCCCAGCUACGCCGCCGGCCCCCUCCCUCUCUGCUGCGGCGCUGCGCCGCCAACCCCCUCCCUCUCUGCUGCCGCGCCAUGCCGCCGGCCCUCUCCCUUCCUCUCUUCUGCGUCGCCGCCGGCCCUCUCCCUUCCAUUUUUCAUUCCAUGCCUCCCAACCAAACACUCGAACGGAACCAUCCCGUUCCACUUUUUUGCUCAUACCAAACACAGGAACGGAACCGACCCGUUCCUCUGGAAUGGAACCAUUCCAUUCCAUGACAGUUGGUUCUCCAACCAAACACACCCUUAGUUAGCCUUCGUGGAUAUCCAUGGGACUAGCCUCCUCACGAGAGCAACUAGUUAGCGAACACUUCUUCGAGAGCCCCACAAUGAUCACUCCCACACGCCGUCACUUAGCGCGUUCUCAGUCGCUGCCACGUGUCAUGCUUUGAACAUUUGCUUCGGAUUUCAUUUUUUAUUUCCCCGCACACAUUUUUUUGGCUUUUUUGAUUGGAUUUUUUCCCGGUUUUUUUGUGUUUUCCCCCCCCCCCCCCCCUUUAUUGGUCUUCAUUAGCUUUUUGAUGGAAAAAGAUAAAAAAGUGCGGGAAUAAACGGGAAUAAAUGAUACACAUGAGUGCGUCACUUGUUUCAACUUAAAAAAGUAUGAUUGAUCUUUGAAAGGAGUAUCCCUUAAUUAAUGAUUUCACUUUCUAGGAGCAACUCCGAUGGACAUUCUUAUUUACGCGAGCUACAAGUACAGCAUGGAAUCACAUGCCCAGAAGCUCAAUAGCGGUGGCGAGUUGACAAUCAUUGUAUGGCUUAGGCUUGUUAUAAUGGGGAAUAUCAUAUGUUAGUAUCAUACAUACGAUACUAGUGUAUGAUAUUACAUCUGUAAUGCAUAGUAUUAUAUAUUAAUAUCAUAAUAUAGUUUAUUUAUUGCCAUGCGUGACACAUAAUAACACAUCAUUUAAUAUGAUGCAUUAUUGUAAUAUGAUAUUCAACUCUUUUUUUCUUCAUUUAAUUAUAUGACACCUCAUCAAAAUUGUCUAGUUGGCAUUCAUGAUACUACCUAUGAUACUCUCAUUACAACUAGCCUUAUGACGGAACACAUAUACCUAGCACCGGCUCCGGAAAGAGAUGAGGUAAUAUAAUGUUUUUGACAAAAAUUGUAUCCUACUUCAUGUAUUUAUAUUGUUUGUGCAUAAGUUACAUAUAGUUAUAAAAAAGNNNNNNNNNNNNNNNNNNNNNNNNNNNNNNNNNNNNNNNNNNNNNNNNNNNNNNNNNNNNNNNNNNNNNNNNNNNNNNNNNNNNNNNNNNNNNNNNNNNNUUAGUCUUUCCGCUAGAACAAACUUUGAUUCUUCAUACCGGUACAAUUGAGACUUACAAGUCGAAAAUUCGUUUCUGAGCUCGAGCUCAGAUGCUCUCUAUAUCCAUACCGACCAGAGGCGUUAUGAUUCGUGCGGGGCUGAUGUAUACUCCGGAUGUAUUUCCGUAUUUUCUGUCCGUGACUGUCGUCCAUUUAUUACGCCGCUGUCUCAUCUCCGUUUAGGGAUCUGCUCUACAUGUAGAAUCUCCAUCACCUACAUAAAAGCCAUUUUAUGGUAUUCAGCUAGGAGAACCUGAUUACACUUUUUAAAAAUAUAAGAGGUUAUUUCAAAAGUCAGCUCUCACCCUUAACGCGUGGCUGCACAGCAUCCCGGUGUGUUCAAACUGUCCGCACUCACAAACGAAUAAUGUCCUGUCCUCGUCGACGGUCACUUCGUAAUGAACUCGGCUCCACUUUUCCUUUUUUGCUGCAUUGUUGUGCGUUGUGACGUACUUCCUCAUGCUUUCCACUUCAACGACAUUGUAUGCGGUUCCUUCAAUCAGCAGUCGCCCAAAUUCUUCAAACAUCUUCCUCGUGUAUAUUUUGCUUGCAUGCCUCUCUAUUGCGAUGCAAUUUCUUAUAAGGUAAUCGAUCGAGAAAGUCUAUCAGGGUUAUAGAUUGAUGUGGUCCAAUGUCUGGUCAGCUUUGAGUUGUUGUUCCCGCCAUCCUUCUUCAAUAUAAUGACACACCUCCUAGUUCACCUAGUCGAAGAGAUUAGAAUUCUCGGUCCUGUGUUUCUACACAAUAUGUUCCCCUUCGAGAGGUUCAUGGGAGUCUUAAAGAAAUAUGUUCGUAACCGUGCUAGGCCAGAAGGAAGCAUCUCCAAGGGCUAUGGAACUGAGGAGGUCAUUGAGUUUUGUGUGGACUUUCUUCCUGACCUUAAGCCGAUUGGUGUUCCUGAAUCUCGGUAUGAGGGUAGGCUGACAGGAAAAGGCACACUAGGAAGGAAAGCCAAAGUAUGUAUGGACGGACAUUCUUUCUCUCAAGCACACUACACAGUUCUACACAAUUCCACCAUGGUGGCUCCGUAUAUCGUGAGACACAAGAAUAUUCUACGCUCCGAAAACCCGGGGAAGGCUGACUCUUGGAUUAAAGGGGAACACGAGAAGACUUUCGGCAGUUGGUUGCAGACACAUCUCAUGAAUGACGACACCGUUGGAGAUGAGCUGUACUGUUUGGCCAGGCCACCAUCUUCGACUAUAAGUACUUUCCAAGGGUAUGAGAUAAAUGGGAAUACAUUUUACACGGUUGCCCAAGAUAAAAAGAGCACCAACCAAAAUAGUGGUGUCCGCUUUGAUGCAACAGACGAGAAUGGGCACUGUUUGGAAACAUAUUACAGGUACAUAGAGGAGAUAUGGGAACUUGACUAUGGACCUACUUUUAUGAUCCCUUUAUUUCGGUGCAAGUGGGUGAAGCUGACAGGAGGCGGAGUAGUUGUAGACCAAAAGUACGGCAUGACAACAGUGGAUCUUAACAAUCUUGCGUACAUGGACGAACCAUUUGUCCUAGCCAAUGAUGUCGCUCAGGUUCUCUAUGUGAAGGACAUGUCCUAGCCAAUGAUCUUCGAUGAGCCAAAACGCCACAUAGUUCUUUCAGGGAAAAGAAACAUAAUGGGAGUAGAUGACAAGACAGACAUGUCAGAAGAUUAUAAUAAGUUUCAUGAAAUUCCGCCCUUCAAAGUGAAAACUGACCCAAGCAUGCUACUGAAUGAUGAAGAUUCUCCAUGGCUACGACACAGAAGAAAACAGAAAUAAUAGAUAGGAAUAUUGGUGCAAUAAUGUAAUAAUGUAUUAAACCUUUUAUGUAAUGCAUGUAUGGAACGUACUAAAUUUCAAACACUUUUCAUUUUCAUAUUAUCCAUGUAAGAGAUGAGUUCUCGUUCGAAACCCUGAUACUUCGAGAGAGAUUGUCCGUUUUGUACACGAAGUGCAUCCAGUUUUUGUCGUAGCCCUCUCAACUUUUUAGCACAUGCUAUGUGGGUGAAAUGAUGAUAGCAUGCCAACUUUCAACAUUUUCAGAGUUCAUUUGUAGUGCUUUUCAAUUUCAGGGUCAACUAGCUCAAAACAAAUAAGUAAAUCCACGAAAUAUACCAAAUGAAGUCAGAAAUUGUUGAAAUUUUGUGCUGUGCCUUUGAAUGGUCCAUUUUGAACACGCAAAAAGUAUGGAGUUCAAAUAAGUUCACAAAAAUGAAAUCCCUUUGUAAGAGAUGAGUUUUCGUUCGAAACCCUGAUACUUCGAGAGAGAUUGUCCGUUUUGUACACGAAGUGCAUCCAGUUUUUGUCGUAGCGCUCUCAACUUUUUAACACAUGCUAUGUGGGUGAAAUGAUGAUAGCAUGCCAACUUUCAACAUUUUCAGAGUUCAUUUGUAGUGCUUUUCAAUUUCAGGGUCAACUAGCUCAAAAAAAAUAAGUAAAUCCACGAAAUAUACCAAAUGAAGUCAGAAAUUGUUGAAAUUUUGUGCUGUGCCUUUGAAUGGUCCAUUUUGAACACGCAAAAAGUAUGGAGUUCAAAUAAGUUCACAAAAAUGAAAUCCCUUUGUAAGAGAUGAGUUUUCGUUCGAAACCCUGAUACUUCGAGAGAGAUUGUCCGUUUUGUACACGAAGUGCAUCCAGUUUUUGUCGUAGCCCUCUCAACUUUUUAGCACAUGCUAUGUGGGUGAAAUGAUGAUAGCAUGCCAACUUUCAACAUUUUCAGAGUUCAUUUGUAGUGCUUUUCAAUUUCAGGGUCAACUAGCUCAAAAAAAAUAAGUAAAUCCACGAAAUAUACCAAAUGAAGUCAGAAAUUGUUGAAAUUUUGUGCUGUGCCUUUGAAUGGUCCAUUUUGAACACGCAAAAAGUAUGGAGUUCAAAUAAGUUCACAAAAAUGAAAUCCCUUUGUAAGAGAUGAGUUUUCGUUCGAAACCCUGAUACUUCGAGAGAGAUUGUCCGUUUUGUACACGAAGUGCAUCCAGUUUUUGUCGUAGCCCUCUCAACUUUUUAGCACAUGCUAUGUGGGUGAAAUGAUGAUAGCAUGCCAACUUUCAACAUUUUCAGAGUUCAUUUGUAGUGCUUUUCAAUUUCAGGGUCAACUAGCUCAAAAAAAAUAAGUAAAUCCACGAAAUAUACCAAAUGAAGUCAGAAAUUGUUGAAAUUUUGUGCUGUGCCUUUGAAUGGUCCAUUUUGAACACGCAAAAAGUAUGGAGUUCAAAUAAGUUCACAAAAAUGAAAUCCCUUUGUAAGAGAUGAGUUUUCGUUCGAAACCCUGAUACUUCGAGAGAGAUUGUCCGUUUUGUACACGAAGUGCAUCCAGUUUUUGUCGUAGCGCUCUCAACUUUUUAACACAUGCUAUGUGGGUGAAAUGAUGAUAGCAUGCCAACUUUCAACAUUUUCAGAGUUCAUUUGUAGUGCUUUUCAAUUUCAGGGUCAACUAGCUCAAAAAAAAUAAGUAAAUCCACGAAAUAUACCAAAUGAAGUCAGAAAUUGUUGAAAUUUUGUGCUGUGCCUUUGAAUGGUCCAUUUUGAACACGCAAAAAGUAUGGAGUUCAAAUAAGUUCACAAAAAUGAAAUCCCUUUGUAAGAGAUGAGUUUUCGUUCGAAACCCUGAUACUUCGAGAGAGAUUGUCCGUUUUGUACACGAAGUGCAUCCAGUUUUUGUCGUAGCCCUCUCAACUUUUUAACACAUGCUACGUGGGUGAAAUGACGAUAGCAUGCCAACUUUCAAUAUUUUCAGAGUUCAUUUGUAGUGCUUUCAAUAUCAGGGUCAACUAGCUCAAAAAAAAUAAGUAAAUCCACGAAAUAUACCAAAUGAAGUCAAAAAGUAUGGAGUUCAAAAAACCAUAUUAUGAAAUUAAAUAUUAUCAUUGGCGAUUCAUCUCUAUUAUGAAAUCAAAUAUAUCAAAAAACCAUUGCAGAACAUAUGACCAAAUUAGUACAAGUUCAUCAUCACAUUAAAGCCAAAGAACAGUAGUGAUCAAAUGUUAUUAUUGCAAAAAAUAAAUACAUAAAGUUCUCUCAUAAAACAACAUACAACUAUGUAAAACAUUUAAAUGCAACAACAAACGCGAUCAAAAUCGCAACUAAGGUAACAAUUGACCCAACAGCAUAAUGAUACCAAGCCUCUUUAUCAAUGGCAUAUUUUCUAAUAUUCCUAAUCUUCAAGAGCAUUUCAUCCAUCUUCAAGCGCAUUGCAUCCAUCUUCAACCGCAUCGCAUCGAUCUUCAUCUUGCGAUCAUCGAUGACAUCGGCGACAUGCAACUCCAGUUCCAUAUUCUUAUCCUCAAUUAUUUUCAAUUUUCUCUUCAAGUAUUUUUUUUCUUUUUGAACCAAAUUUAACUUCUCGAUAAGAAUUUUUAUGUGGGUUGGAAUUUCCGGUUCACAUACCUCCUAGAUUAAAAAAAUAUAUGUCAUAAUUGUCAUAAACACUAAAUAAAACAAAUUGUUAUAAAAGAUAAUAUAUACCACAUCCGAAUUAUAGACAGGACGAGGGCCGACGGAGGCGGAUACCAAAACCAUCGCACUAUAUAAUAACAAAAAAUAAUGAAAGUGAGUAAUUUAUACAAGUAUGUAUGUAAAUCAUACAAGUAAGAUUUUUUAAAUUUUAAAAAGAAGAUAAGAACAAGAGGCUCACCACGGUGGUGCUCGCAGUUGGUGCAUGCCAAACCUAGACAAAUAUUAAGGAAAAUGGAGCUUGGAGGUCGAGCUUGGAGAGGAGAAAGCUUAAGUAGAGUGGCUCGGGCAUUUCAUCGAACACGUCAUGUGCAUGAACUAGAGUGGCAAGAGCAUGGCAUGAUCACACUUCAACAACCAAAAAACAGGGGAUAUGGUGGGCAGGGGCGAGGGUUUAUAUAGGCAAAACUUUAGUCCCGGUUCUUUCCACGCCCCGGGACUAAAGGCCCCUGUUUCCCGCCUUCUGGUCAGCCGAAAAAGGGCCUUUAGUCUCGGGUCGUGGCUCCACCCGGAACUAAAGGGGUGUCUUUAGUCCCGGUUCGAGCCACGCCCCGGGACUAAAGGCCCCUGCUUCCCGCCUUCUGGUCAGCCGAAAAAGGGCCUUUAGUCCCGGUUNNNNNNNNNNNNNNNNNNNNNNNNNNNNNNNNNNNNNNNNNNNNNNNNNNNNNNNNNNNNNNNNNNNNNNNNNNNNNNNNNNNNNNNNNNNNNNNNNNNNNNNNNNNNNNNNNNNNNNNNNNNNNNNNNNNNNNNNNNNNNNNNNNNNNNNNNNNNNNNNNNNNNNNNNNNNNNNNNNNNNNNNNNNNNNNNNNNNNNNNNNNNNNNNNNNNNNNNNNNNNNNNNNNNNNNNNNNNNNNNNNNNNNNNNNNNNNNNNNNNNNNNNNNNNNNNNNNNNNNNNNNNNNNNNNNNNNNNNNNNNNNNNNNNNNNNNNNNNNNNNNNNNNNNNNNNNNNNNNNNNNNNNNNNNNNNNNNNNNNNNNNNNNNNNNNNNNNNNNNNNNNNNNNNNNNNNNNNNNNNNNNNNNNNNNNNNNNNNNNNNNNNNNNNNNNNNNNNNNNNNNNNNNNNNNNNNNNNNNNNNNNNNNNNNNNNNNNNNNNNNNNNNNNNNNNNNNNNNNNNNNNNNNNNNNNNNNNNNNNNNNNNNNNNNNNNNNNNNNNNNNNNNNNNNNNNNNNNNNNNNNNNNNNNNNNNNNNNNNNNNNNNNNNNNNNNNNNNNNNNNNNNNNNNNNNNNNNNNNNNNNNNNNNNNNNNNNNNNNNNNNNNNNNAGAAAAAGGAGAAUAAGAAGAGGAGGAGAAGAAAAAGGAGAAUAAGAAGAGGAGGAGAGGAGAAGAAGAGGAAAAAUAGAAGAAGAGGAGAGGAGAAGUAGUAGAAGAAGAGGAGAAGUAGAAGUAGAAGAAGAGGACAAAUAGAAGAAGAGGAAAAAUUAGUUUAGGGUUACAAGAAGAAGAACUAUUUUUUUUGUCAUUUAACUUUGCUAUUGUAUAGUGUAUAUGCUUAAGUGUUAAUAGUGUUUCUUAGAUUAUUGCUUAAUUUUGCUAUUGUAUAUGCUUAAGUGUUAAUAGUUUAAUUUUUCUAUUGUAUAUGCUUAAGUGUUAAUAGUUUAUUUUUAGCAAGAAAAUUAAUAAAACUAGUUUAAUUUUGCUAUUGUAUAUGCUUAAGUGUCCGGGACUGGGCUCCGCCCGGCUGGUAUUUUAGAGUUUAGGUUUUAGCCAAGACCCGGGACUAAAGGUCCUCCUAUAUAAAACGAGCCUUCGAAGUUUCCAACCCCUCUUAUAUAGUUUGUUAGUUUAUUAGUUAAUCAAAUGUCCUUUUUUUGCAGAACUAUGGAUCCACAUAUCAGGAACCUCGAAGAGGAAGAACUUCUCGAAGAUAUAAUCAAAGACGGCCCCGACGUUGAACCAGCUGAAUCUCCGAUGUCAUAUCUAAACGACUCCGGAUAUGGAAUGGAGGUCGAGCGACACGAAGAUGAAGCCGAUGGGGCAGGAGAUAGGUCCAAUGAUGGAGAAGGUGAUAGCUCCACUGAUGGAGAAGCCGGUGGAGAAGCAGGUGAAGAAAUAAUAAAGUCCGGCGAGGUAUACAUAUGAAGUUCGAGAAUCACUUGUAAUAUGUGAAAAAUAUUGGAGAUAGCUCUAUAUUGUAUACAUAUACAUUCAUUUGACGAAUUUUCUCCCUCUUAGGCCUCCACAUCGAGCAAAUCUACGAAACGAGGCCCGACUAGAAAGUUGGAUGCACGGACGCAUUACACCUUUGAGGUGAUAAUGCCUACGGGUGAACCCAAGCUUCCUAAGAAUGCUGCUGACACAUUCAAGAAGCAAUGCGGAGUUCUCGUUAGGGAUCACGUCCCGAUCAGCGUUCGGGAGUGGAACAAGCGCAAAGGGGAAGCCGAUAGUGACUAUGUCGCCGAAAGGUACAAAGAUAAUCUUUUGAAUGAUCUCAUGUCACAUUUUAACCUGCCAGAAUGUGAGAAUGAAGACGCCGCAGACAAACUGAGGGCCAAAGUCAAGCAGUGGACUCUAAAGAAGAUGGCCGAACUGUUCCGUAGCUCGAAGAAGAAGCUAUGGAAAAACUAUCUGAAGACAAAGAAAGUGCCAGUAUUCGAGGUGUAUCUUGCCAAGCAGGCGAAUCACUGGAAGGAAUUUCAAGAGUACAAGGAGUCAGAAGAUGCCCAGGCAUUAUCAGAAAAGAACAAGAUAAAUGCCGACAAGAAGAAAUAUCACCACAAGCUGGGGCCAGGGGGCUAUGAGACUGCCAUCCCAAAGUGGGAAAAGAAAGAGCAAGAUCUGAUAGAUAAAGGCAUCGUACCUGAACCACUCCGUGAUGAGUGGGAAUUGAGAGCAAGAAAUUGGUUCCUUGCGCAUGGUGGGUCGUACGAUGAAAAAACAGGGGACCUCAUCUGCAAUGACAAUCUUAGGAUACCCAGGGAUAAUUGGAAAAGGAUAGUGAAAGAAAUUAAGGAGGGGCAAAGAAAGUUCACUGCAGAUAGAGAUAAAUAUUUGCUCACACUGGUCCUCGGCAAUGAUGAACAUGGAGGACGAACGCGAGGCUUCGGUCCAUCUUACCCGUGGUGGCUUGGGUUUGCCAGAGACCAAGACACUUACAGAAGCCGAGAGAGAGCAAAGAAGCGGCAGCAGGAUGAGGAGAAUGACAAGUUCAACCAGAUGCUUGCCAGGAUUAACGAGCAACAGAAGCAGAUUGAUGAGCUUAGAGGAGUACCGCGCCAGGAAGAUCCUGCACUUGAUAUUACCGGCGCCCCAUCUAAGCGGAAAAGCAGCAUGGCUGAAUCUGAGGCCCCGCCCGCCGAUGAACGAAGAAUGAUAGAGGGCGGUCCCGGCUACCCCGUGGAGGAAUCAAGGAUUCAACAUCAUGUGAACUUCAUGAGAAAUUCAAGAACAUAUCCAUGAAGGUGGCCGUCGGACAAGCUUUACCUUCUGGCCCUAAUGCACGCUGGCAUGGCCGUGAGAUUCCAGCUGGCUUUGCUAAAGUCGGGGUGGAUGAAAUCAUGACGGGGUUUAAUGAUAUGGAGCUCGACAUAGCUGGACCCGAAGAUGAGAGGACACUCGGAGAAGUACUGGGUGGAGUCAUCCUAUGGGACAAGAACUACAUCAAACUUCCAGGCUCGGCCCCAAGGACAACACCGCCUCCGAGUCGUCGCAGGUCACCUACACCUCCAUUACCUCCAAGCCCUCCACAUGACGUCGGCCAGCACAACACGAGUCCAUCUCGAUCACCGCCGCCGGACUUGGGUCGUCCGUCUCCGCCGCUGCCCUCUCCGGAUACAAACCCUGAGCCUGCCACGGAUACAAAGCGGGAGCGUGCCACCAAGAACGCUCCGCCGCUGCCCGCUUCGGAUACAAACCCUGAGCCUGCCACGGAUACAAAGCGGGAGCGUGCCACCAAGAACGCUCCGCCGCCGCCCGCUUCGGAUACAAUCCCUGAGCCUGCCACGGAUACAAAGCGGGAGCGUGCCACCAAGAACGCUCCGCCGCUGCCCGCUCCGGAUACAAAGCCUGAGCCUGCCACGGAUACAAAGCGGGAGCGUGCCACCAAGAACGCAACGCCGCCGCCCGCUCCGGAUACAAAGCCUGAGCCUGCCACGGAUAAAAGCGGGAGCGUGCCACCAAGAACGCUCAGCCGACAAUUGCUAAGCCACAGAGCACCCCAAAGCGCAAACGGUCGCCCCUCCCAAAGGUACGUCAUGCUAAUCUUCCUAUCGGACCUUAUGAUCGUACCCCCGAGGAAAACGCCAGGAUAGCAAAGGAACAUCAUGAUGCGCAGAUGAAAAAGAAGGAACCCGAGCCCGCCCGGAAUACACCUAGAAGCAAAUAGCAUUUGCAAAAUACUUCAUGACCCUUCCAUCACAGUAUGACUUAUACCAUAAGCCUGAUGACUAUACACGCACAUUGUAGAAGGAAGUGAAAAAGAGAAGAUCUCGAUCACCACCGCCGGACUUGGGUCGUCCGUCUCCGCCGCCGCCCGCUCCGGAUACUAAGCGGGAGCGUGCCACCAAAAACGCUCCGCCGACGAUUCCUAAGCCACAGAGCACCCCAAAGCGCGAACGGUCGCCCCUCCCAAAGGUACGUCUCCUAAUCUUCCUAUCAGACCUUAUGACUUACACCAUAAGCCUGAUGACUAUACACGCACAUUGCAGAAGGAAGUGAAAAAGAGCAGUUCAACUACAAGCAAGAAAAAAUCAGACGUUCCUCAGCUUGGACAACAGGCCAAACAGUCGAUCCCACCCCUCAAGGUGUUAACCGAGAAUGUUCCCCCUCCGGUGCAGGGGCUAGCUUUAGAAACAGCAAAGGAGUUGGCGGCUCAAUGUGGUAUCUCGGUUGAAGAAUUGCUGUCUUCCCAAGACGACAAGAUACCCAAGGCUGUGGUAGCCCCUAAGCCAAAGUUUGUCAUGGGUGAGCCUUUGGUCAGCAAAGAUGAUCUCGCAACAAAUAUGCGUUACUUGCAUACAUGGUACUUAAGUGAAUCAAAGAAGGGGAGAACGAUGAUCGUGCUGAGUGUGCCACGGGAGUACUACGGCCGCCCCGAAGAAAUCCAUAUCGACUUUGAUGAACUCUUCCAGAUGUACAUUGCCGACGCCCUCGACAAAUCGCUUAUGAGUUGCUAUUGUCUGUAAGUUUUUCAAUUCGUUAUCUACAUAUAACUUGUUCAGUUAUUUCAAUUCAUUGUCUAUAUAUAACUUGUACUCUAUUAUGCAGAAUGAAGAUUCUGGAUUGUAAAAGUAAGAGCAUCAUAAAUAUUGGGUUUAUUGACCUAGAUAAAAUACAUAUAGCGACGUUAACUAAUUAUCCCAGGGAGACGGAGGAAAACCUUCUAAGGUUUCUAACAGAUCAAAAUUUCUGUGACCACAUACUGUUUCCAUACAACUUCAGGUGAGGGUCUUUACUCUGUUGUGUCCAUUCACUUAUAAGUGUAAUUGAUAAAUUACUAACACACACACACACACAUAUAUAUAUAUACAUGUGCAGCUUCCAUUGGAUUCUGUUGGACAUUCAAAUUGAUAAGGGAAGAGUUGAUGCCUUCGACCCAUUAUCGAGACCCUUGGAUCAGUUCCAAAGCCUGCAGGACAUGCUCCAAGGGUAAUUUUAAUCAUUCUUGCGCUCUACCGGUCUCUUUCGAUGAUUUUCUGAUAUAUCAAUUAAUGAAAAACUUAGCAAAUCAUUAUCCUUGUCGGGCAGGGUAUGAAAGCGGUUCAAGUGCGUGACUCCCGGUAACUUUCCUGAGAAGCUGACCUUUAGAGCGGCUCAGGUAAGUAGUAGUAUGAUAUACUUUUAUUAAUUUUUAAUACAUUUAUGAUGCUAGAUUAUUAUUUUGAUUAUAUAUAUUCUAUUCUCGUAAAGUGCGACCAACAACCACGGGGAACGCAUCUAUGCGGAUACUAUGUUUGCGAGACCAUUCGCACGUUUACCUCUGAGCUCAAGGAUCACAUAUUCGACGUAAGCAAUGAACAUUCACACCUCUAUUUUUACCCGUCAUUCUUUGUUAUCAUGAUUGAUAUUCAUAUUCAUCUCCUCUUCUUAUAUAGCACACGGCCACGAGGACGAAGGUCCUACCAGAACAACGCGCGAUUGCUGUUGCAGAGGGGCUUGCGGGAUUUCUGAGGACGGAAGCUAUAGAUGACAAAUGACGAUUUAGUGUAGCUAGGGGCCAUUACUAAUGUUCGUCCAUGUAAUCGAAUAGACGGGCUCUAGUCCCGAUAAUUCAGAUCUGCAUAUAAUUGUAUAUAUAUGCUCGCUUGUAAGAUAAGUUAAUCUUAUAUAUAUACGCAUAUUUAUUUCUAUUUAAAUUAUAUGAAAACUAAUUCCCGAAAACCAAACGAGGCAUUACGUUAAUCUUCCGAACACCUAAACCCUAAAACCCUAAAACCCAAAAAUAAUUUCAUUCAGAAAAAAACCCAAAAACCAGGAAAAUCUGAAAAUCUUCAGUCCCGGCCCGUGUAACGAACCGGGACUAAAGGUCCUGCCCGUGGGGCGCUACGAGGCGCCCACGUGGAGCACCUUUAGUCCCGGCUUGUAACAUGGCCGGGUCUAAAGGCUAGGCCUUUAGUCCCGCUCCUUUAGUCCCGGUUGGUGAACCGGGACUAAAGCCCCUUACAGGCCGGGGCUAUAGGCCCUGUCCCCACUAGUGCAUGUGAAUCGUUGAAAUUUUAUCUUUUUCACAAGAGGUGGAUAAAAUCUUUUGACACCCAACCAUUUGGUCAAUUGUACAUUAAAUAUGUCCUAGUGUUUUAGAAAAAUUAUUUGGUCCAAUUUUACAACAAAUAUAUGGUAGGUCCUUCACAAAAAAAACUCAUUUGGGACACUCGAAAAAUGGAAAAUGAAAUUUCCGUCCAAAGAACAUGAAAACUUCCUUAGGCAACAUUGUUUUCCAUUCCAAUACUCACUCUUGUGCACAAUAUGAGAUCAUUUAAACAAACUAUGUCAUGAAUGUGACCAUAAGAUUGAUCAUUUGGCUUGAAAGCCAUGAAUUUUAAAAUAAUUGCCAUAUUACAAGUUUAUUAUUUUACCUUGUAAAUUUGUCACAUAUAAUGACACAAUGUGAAGGUUUCCCUUUUUUUGAUUUUUUUAAUUUUUCUUGCCCAUUUAAAAAUGCGGCCAAAACGGCGGGUAUGACCGUUCCUAGCUAGUGGUUGAAUCUUGAAUUUUUUUUGGUGUUUCUCUGAUUAAAUGGAUACUUAUGUACUCAAAAAUGAUGUUUGGAAAAAAUAAAGAGCAAACUAUAAGGGAGCUGCAGUUCAAAUUUAACCCGCUUCCAUUUGAAUUGAUGGAAAUUUGUCUUUUUCACGAAAGGUGGAUAAAAGAUUCUGACAAUGGAGGAUAAUGCACCAUUUUACACAAUAUUAUAUAAUUUGAUAUUUUGCAUCGAAUAUUUGAUAUUUUAUGCAAUUUUGUCCAGAGAUUUGGGUUAAACAAUCGAGUUUAAGCUGACCAAUGAGAGACUAGAAAGUGUCUUCACGUGGAUCACCCAAUUGGACAUGAUCUGAGCCAUCCAUCAGCACCCAUCCAAUGGUGGAGCCACUCCUGAAAAAACAAAACCCUAACUACCCACCCACCCUUUCAUUCUUCCUCGCUCUCCGGAUCCGAUCUAUCCCUCGNNNNNNNNNNNNNNNNNNNNNNNNNNNNNNNNNNNNNNNNNNNNNNNNNNNNNNNNNNNNNNNNNNNNNNNNNNNNNNNNNNNNNNNNNNNNNNNNNNNNNNNNNNNNNNNNNNNNNNNNNNNNNNNNCGCGGCUGGAUCCCCGCCGAGGGCAAGCAGAUCUUCUUCUUGAUGGCGAGGUGAGGCCCGAGUUGCCUCCAUUAGCCGUCGUUUGUAUUAUUUUCCCUUUGUAGACUCACGAUUCAUAUAUUAUUUCUUUCUACUGUAGGUCAACAAGUACAGAAAGUAGGCCAUAUAAAUUGCAGGUUGUAGUGUCAGCAAUAAGCAGGGGACGCAUCAAGACAUCGGGUAGUACCAUGAAUGUUUUUAUUAACAAGAGAAUAGUACUCCCUCCAUUCUAAAAUUCUUGUCUUAGGUUUGUCGGAUGUAUCUAAAUACUAAAACAUGAAUACAUUUAUAUCUAGACAAAUUUAAGACAAAAACUUUGAAACGGAGGAAGUACUUUACAGGAGAAUAAUAAAUUUUUAGUUUUUAUAUGCAUAAUAUAAUAAAUAAUGUGCAAUGUCCAUGUACGAAAAUACAGUGGACACCUAUCCUGAAGCUAGAACUGUUGCAUUGUCGCCCUAUAUCUUGCUUGCAUGCUUGUAUGAAUAAAGCACCAUUGCUGAAUGGCUUGAUGAUACUUGUACCAAUAGUUGUUAUCAUAUACUCCCUCCGUUCCUAAAUAUAAGUCUUUUAAGCGAUUUCACUAAAGGACUACGUACAUAGCAAAAUGAAUGAAUCUACACUCUAAAGUAUGUCUAUAUACAUCCGUAUCUAGUCCUCUAGUGAAAUCUCUAAAAAGACUUAUAUUAUGAAACGGAGGGAGCAGUACCUAGCAUCGGUGGAGUCAAUUUCUAUGAGACUCAUUGGAUCUUCAUGCAACCCAUGUCAGCUUAUGUGUGAAAUCGUACAACAUUGUAUCUAGCUUGUGUACUGUCUAGUGUCUACUGCUGUGUGUGAAUAAGCAGUAGUCAUGGCAGUUAAUCUGCUUGUUGCUUUUAAUCUAUUAUCGGUGUUCUCCAUUAUAUAUUGCCUGUCAAUAUAAGCGUUUCAACCCAUUCAUUUUGAAUCUGUUGGCAGCAGUCAACUCACAAGUACAUUCUUUUGCUUCAUCAUUAUAUGUUACCAUGUCAAUUUAAGACCACUAGUUGAUGCUGAACAAGUUAUAUAUAUAAUGCUGUGAAUUUGUUAGUGCUCUUGCACGUAUUUUAGAAGUAGCACCUCCUUGCAUAUAUUUGAUACAGUUUGAUAAUUUUGACAGGUGAGAAUUGGUCUUUGUGGUAAUUGCACCGCCACCCCCUCCCCUCGCAUGGAUCCGUGGAUCUCGGCCGCCUACCAUGGGUUUGCUUGCUCCCCGCCGUUUCUGUACAUGAUUUGAUUUCCGGUCGCCUUUGGUUGCGCUCCGUGCAGGUCCUACUGAUUUUUUGAGGGGAGGGGACUCACAUCGUCAUCUCCUUGUUCGAGAGACUCCAAAAUGUGCAUCCAGCUGCUUCUCUCAACCCCGAGGAACGCCCAGACGGAUGUAAGUGCUCAUGCAUUCAUCUGGACCUCUUAUUGUAGUAGCUCAUAUGCUUGAUGCCUGUAUCUCCGCCUCUUUACUGUUUUGCUAGAACCAUAAAUCCUGAUGCAUGAUGAUCAUGGUCUGGUUUAUUAGAUUUGUUCUGUUGGUGUUUAAAAUUUGACAUGCAUGGAUUCUGAAUGAACUCGUUCUUACAAUUCUUUUCAUUUUUAUGAUCAAUUUAAUUAGAGUUGCACAUGUCAGUAUACUAUACACCACAAAAAAUCCUAGCUAGUGUGAGAACAUUUUAAUCCCUUCAUAAACACAUAGUGAUUAGUGUUAGUCAUACUAUUUAUGUACAUUUCAUUUUCUGUCAAUUCUUGCUUCUAAGUUAUUGGAUCCCUCAUUGACCACUGUUUGAUGUUGUUUACACAUUCUUAUUCUUAUAUGUCCAUUCUUAUUUUUUGCACAGGUGAAGUGUGAAUCCAAGUCCGAAGUUGUGAAGCAUAUUAACAAAGAGUAGCAUAUUAUGUGUCGUAAUUCUAGGCAGUAGUAGGCUUAUGUGUGCUAUAGUAUACUAUAACGAUUGUAAUAGACUAAUGUAGUGUUGUUUUCGAUGAAUUUCAUUUGCUUUCUAGAUUGUUCAAAAUAAUGAUUGUGUAUGUGAUUUGAAUACCCGUGAAAUGGUAACCUGACAAAGGGGUCCAAAGGGUCCAAGUUAUAAUGGUUGUUUGACAUAUUUUGAAAUUUCUGAUGUGUGGGACCAAUUUUGAGAUAAGCAUGACAAGUCGGACUAAUCUAACUGGUGGGACCAGCUGCAAAAUAAAAUGGCUAAAAUAUAAAAUCAGUAGAGAAUAAAAGGCUGCAUCCUAGAAAAUAAAAGGCCGAAUUGCUAGGCUAGGCCCAUGUAGCUAGCGAAAAUUAACAGGAAAAAUAUAUAUUGAAAAGGCUGAAUUAAUGGGUUCAGCCCAUCUAAAGUACCGAACUGGAUCGGGUUGAUUCUUAUCAACGACCAAUCCAAUUGGUCGUAACUUUGCCACGUCAGCUUGCCACGUUGGAUUCGACGUGGCCUAGGCAGACAACCAGUGACCAAAACAAUUGGUCGUAGAACCAAUGACCUUUUCGUUUGGUCGUAAAUGUCUUCGACCGUUCCAGAAGAAAGAUCGUUAUAGUUCAUUAGAGACGGCCAGCUUUUGACCAACCCAUUUUGGUCGUAGAAAGGUCAAAAAUGGAAACUAACGACCAAUCAGUGAGCAAUAUUGACGGUCACAAGUUGCCAUAUUUCUUUUAGUGUUAUCGCACGUGUUGAACCGGUGAUUGUCCAAGAGCUCUACAAUCAACUCCUCAGCUGUGAAGCUCGCAUGAAUCUUGCAAGGUACCAAUACUCACCAAUCUUGAGUUAAUUCUCUUUUCCCUGGUUGCAGCAAUGGUGCUCGAGGCCGUGGUCAGCAGUCAGGGCACGGUCACGGAAACAACAACUCGGGGCGUGGGAGCUCCAACAACUUUGGCCCACGCGCCAGCACCAAGCCACGUUGCCAGCUCUGCAAAAAAUCAGGACACAAGGUGAAGGACUGCUGGCAUCGUGAUGAUGAAGACUAUGUCCCCAAAGAGCACCAUGUUGCUGCUGCAAUGAGGGGGCAAGAAGAAGGAGGAGAGACUGUUUGGUAUGUUGACUCUCGAGCAACGAAUCAUGUCACCAGUGAGUUGGAGAAACUUGCUCAUCGCGAAAAAUAUUAUGGCAAUGAUCAAAGUCUUCUAUUAGUUGCCCUAAUUCUAAACGUGAUCUUAUUCUUAAAGAUGUCCUUCAUAUUCCUCAAGCCAAUAAAAACCUUGCUUCUAUGUCUCGUUUGUCCUCUAACAAUAAUGUUCUCUUUGAAACUCAUCCCAAGUGUUUUUUUUUCAUUAAGGAUCGGGCAACGAGGGAGCUCCUCCAUCACGGUAGAUGCGUCAGUGGGCUAUAUCCUAUCACCUCAAGUGCUUUGAGCCGCAAGUAUUAUUUUCAAGUCUACUCCGUCGUCAAGCCGUCCUUAGCAAAGUGGCAUCAAAGAUUAGGACAUCCUUCUUUCAAAGUAGUUGAUCGAGUUAUCAAUAAAGGCAAUCUUCUAUUGUCUAGUAGUGAGAGUCAAGAGCCUGUUUGUGAUGGUUGUCAAUGUGCCAAGACUCAUCAACUCCCCUAUCCUAAAUCUUAUAGUGUGUCUCAUGCUCCUUUGGAAUUAAUAUUCAGUGAUGUAUGGGGUCAUGCUAGAGAUUCCUUUGGAAGAAAAAAAAUAAUGUGUUAGUUUCAUUGAUGAUUAUAGUAAGUUUAAUUGGAUAUACUUGCUUAAAUUCAAGUCUCAGGUCUUUACCAUCUUCCAAGAGUUCCAAAAACUUGUUGAGCGAAAAUUUGACAGAAAAAUCAUUGCUGUCCAAAGUGAUUGGGGAGGAGAGUAGGAAAAACUCAACUCUUUCUUUCGAAACAUAGGCAUUGAGCAUCACGUUUCAUGUCACAUGCACAUCAACAAAACGGUUCGCUCAUGCAUCGAUGCCUCUCAAAUAUUGGUAUGAGGCCUUCAUUGUUGCCACUUAUCUCAUCAAUCGUUUACAUAGCAAGGUCAUUGGAAAUACAACUCCCUUAGAACGAUUGUACAAUCAAAAACCAGAUUAUAAUUCUCUCAAGGUGUUUGGUUGUGCAUGUUAUCCUAAUCUUCGUCCAUAUAAUCGUCAUAAACUUGAGCUUCGCUCCACACAAUGUGUGUUUCUUGGCUAUAGUAAUCUCCAUAAAGGAUACAAAUGCCUAGAAGUCUCGACUGGUCGUAUCUAUAUUUCAAGGGAUGUUGUUUUUUAUGAAAGUAACUUUCCUUUUGCAAAGCUUCAUCCUAAUGUUGGAGCUCUUCUUCGUGUUGAAAUUUCCCUUCCUACUAAUCCUCUGAACCAUCCUGAUCACGAGGGUAAAUUACUAGAAGAUGAUUAUGUGCUUAGUUCAACGGAAACUUUGGAUCCUAAUACAAAGAGUGCAGAAAUUGGCUGUGAUUUUAUGUGUGCAGUAGACAACAGCGGAGAAGGCCCUGGAUCCCAUGAUGGUUUGCAGCAGCCUGUCAGCUCGCGAUCCGAGGAAGAUAGCGCCGCUAAGAGCAAGUACAAUAGUAGAGCCGGCUGCCGGCUGUAAGCUCAUGCCAUGUCAUCUAUAGCCCUUCUUAUAGCUAACAUAUACAAUAGUUGGUUAGAACAGUGUACCACUUAUUUAUUAUAUGAUCCACCUUUCAUUCUCACAAAGUGUCUAGGACCACGUGCUAGAGCUGGCUUUUAACUAAGAGCCUGCUUACCUUCUCUCUCCUCCAACUAAGCAAAAAUAUAGUACUUUAUUCCGUAUAGCCAGCUGACUCAGCUCUAUUUUACUUGCUCAAGCGCGCUGGAGCCUCUUGGCGAUGCUGGAGCCUCUGACUCAUCGCCAAGUGGCAGGGCCGGUGCUAGCCCUGAACUCGUAACUGACCAAGGGGUUAACAACCCAACUGUGGCGGUGGGGCCCGCAGACAGCUCGCCAGAAGCCAAUGUGAGAGUCCCAACGACAGGUGCUUCUGGUGUGAGGCAAAUCAGUCUCAAAUCGGACGAUUCCUCAAAUCAAGAGCUCCUUGGCACGGCAAUCCAAGUAGAUAUGGUGGGAUCCUUGUUGGAAAUAAAUCGUGACGAAGCAUGGACCGGCGUCAGUGCAUCAGGUCGGGUCCGUAACGGUGCGACCGACGUCGGUGCGUCAGGUCGGAUCCGUGACGGUGCGACCCACGUCGGUGCGUCAGGUCGGAUCCGCGGGCUGGGUCAUGAUGGUGUGUGUGCGUGUGAGGUGUGUGUAGUGUAGCGCGAGGCAGGCUCGCGAGGCAGGCUCGCGUGCGUGGUAGGUAAGGUAGUGGAGCUGGCCGUUAGCUGCGUUGUGCAUGUCGUGCGCGUUUGCCGGGCGGAUCGCUAGCUCCGCUACGUGCGUAUGUGCACAGGAGACGUAGGUGUUGCGUAUGCAUGCACGUAUAAAUCCCUUCCUCUAUGAAAAUGAUCUAGUGGGUGGUGUGCGUGUGAGACAAAGGAACAAGGGCUGUAUGUGCAGCCGGAAAAACAACUCUGCUAUCUCAUACUUCUUCUACCUCCGUUCGCUGUGAGAGAAUCGCUCCAACAAUUGGUAUACACAGCUUCGUUGCGAUCCUGUCGGCAGCCAUGGCCCUCGUUCCGUACGAUGCCGGAGGGAGCACGGUGUCGCUUCCUGUACCGAUGCUCACCGGUGAUAACUACACCGUGUGGGCGAUCAAGGUGGAGGCGGACCUCGACGCGCAAGGGCUGUGGGAAGCGAUGGUUCCGGCAGAGGACUCGGCGGUGGCGGUCAUCGGGAAGAAGGACAAGCCGGCAAGGGCAUAUCUCCUCGGAGCGUUCUCCGAAGACAUCCUGCUGCAGGUGUCGUCGAAGAAGAUGGCGGCGGAGCUGUGGGCGAGCCUGAAGACACGGUUCGUCGGUGCGGACCGGGUGAGGGCGGCGCGGCUCUCCACUCUCCGCGGUGAGUUCGAUCGCCUGCGCAUGGAGGACGACGACGAGCUGGACGCGUACGCCGGAAGGAUCAGCGGUAUGGUAGGAAGGUACGCGGCCCUCGGAGCGACGCUCGACGACGCGGCCAUGGUGAAGAAACUGCUCGACACCGCGCCGGACUGGCUGUACGCAGCGGUGGCCGGAAUUGAGCAGUUCUGCGACGUCGACAUGAUGCCGUUCGAGGAGGUGCUCGGCCGGCUGAAGGCGUUCAAGGAGCGGACGAGGCGGCGCACUCAGGACAAUGGCGGACGUGGCGGUGGCCAGCUCCUACUCACGACGGCUCAAUGGGCGGCAAGGCGACGUCAGCACGGCGGCGGCUUCGACCACGAUGAUGACGGCGCGGGUAGCACGGCGUCGGGCGGCGCAGCAAAGCGACGAGGAGGCCGUGGGCGCUGCUACAACUAUGGCCAGCGUGGACAUUUCCGGGGGGAGUGCCCGAGGCCACGUCAGGCGAAGGCGGCGGAGCACGCGCUUGUCGCGGCGGUCGACGACGAUGUCAGGCCGGCGCUCCUGUAGGUCACGACUUGGGGGGUGAUUGUUGGAAAUAAGUCAUGACGGAGCACGAUGCGAUCGACGUCAGUGCGCCAGGUCGGAUCCGUGACGGUGCGACCGACGUCGGUGCGUCAGGUCGGAUCCGCGGGCUGGGUCAUGACGAUGUGUGUACGUGUGACGUGUGUGUAGUGUAGCGCGAGGCAGGCUCGCGUGCAUGGUAGCCAAGGUAGUGGAGCUAGCCUUUAGCUGCGUUGUGCGCGUCGUGCACGCUGGCCGGGCGGAUCGCUAGCUCCGCUACGUGCGUGUGUGCACAGGAGACGUGGGCGUUGCGUAUGCAUGCACGUAUAAAUCCCUUCCUCUGUGAAACUGAUCUAGUGGGUGGUGUACGUGUGAGAUAAAGGAACAAGGGCUGUAUGUGCAGCCGGAAAAACAACUCUGCUAUCUCAUACUUCUUCUAUCUCGGUCUGCUGUGAGAGAGUCGUCCCAACAAUCCUCUGUGGCUGGUUCUGGUACUACAGUCUGCUGCUGCUGCUUCUUCACAUGCAUCAUCGGGUAAUUCUUAGCGCAAUACCAGAUUAAAAUCUGGGGUAUUCAUACCAAAAGAAUACAAAGAUGGUACAGUAAGGUAUGAUUUUCAUAAACGUGAUUUCCUUGCUAGUACCGGUGAACCCACUCAUUUGCAUGAAGCUCUUGCUCACAAAGAAUGGAAAGGGGCUAUGGAUAGUGAAUAUCAAGCACUCAUGAAAAAUAAAACAUGGCAUUUGAUACCACCAGGAAAAGUAAAGAACCUAAUUGAUUGUAAAUGGGUCUAUAAAAUUAAAAGGAAAGCAAAUGGCAGUAUAGAACUAUAGAUAGAUACAAGGCUAGGUUAGCUGCAAAGGGUUUUAAGCAAAGGUUGGGAAAUGAUUAUGAGAAUACUUUUAACCCUGUUAUUAAAGCAGCUACUAUUAGACUUGUGUUAUCUAUUGCCAUUUUCAGAGGGUGGAGUUUACGAAAGCUAGAUGUUCAGGACGCGUUUCUUCAUGGUGUUCUUAAGGAAGAAGUGUUCAUGUGGCAACCAUCAAGAUACGAAAACAAAGACACACCUCAUUAUGUUUGUAAAUUGGAUAAGGCUUUGUAUGGUUUGAAACACGCCCCAAGUUCCUGGUACUCCAAGUUGAGCACAUAAUUACAACAACUUGGUUUUACUCCAAGCAAAGUGGAUACAUCAUUGUUCUUCUACAAUAAAGGCAACAUUACUAUAUUUGUUCUUGUCUAUGUUGAUGAUAUAAUUAUUGCUAGUCCAGCUCAGGAGCCACUGCAUGUCUGUUUCGUGACCUUAAUGUUGAAUUUGCACUCAAGGAUUGGGGAGAUCUUCACUACUUCCUUGGCAUAGAGGUAAAGCAGAUUAAAGAUGGGAUAAUCCUGACACGGGAAAAAUACACUACAAAUAUCCUAAGAAGGGUAGGACUAGAACAUUGCAAACCGGUAAGCACACCACUUUCCACUUCAGAAAAACUUACAGUUGAGGGAGGUGAAUUACUUGGAACAGAUGAUGCAACAAACUAUAGGAGUAUUAUUGGUGCAUUACAAUACUUAUAUCUGACUAGACCAUAUAUUACAUAUUCUGUGAACAAAGUUUGUUAGUAUUUACAUGCAUCAAGUACAGUUCAUUGGAUUGCAGUUAAGAGAAUUAUGAGGUAUCUAAAAUUUACAAUGGGACUUGGGAUCAAGAUCACUAAGCCAUCCUCUAUGCUUGUUACUUGAUAUUUUGAUGCAGAUUGGGCAGGGUGUGCUGAUGUCAGAAGGUCCACAGGUGGUUUUGUUGUGUUCUUGGAAGCAAACCUUAUAUCAUGGAGUGCAAGAAAACAUGCUAGUGUUUAAAGAUCGAUUACAAAAGCAUAAUACAUACAAAGCUCUUGCUAAUGCUACUACUGAAAUCAUGUGGAUUCAAACCCUUCUGUAUGAACUCGGGAUGAAAGCUCCACAAGUUGCAAGGUUAUGGUGUGACAAUAUUGGUGCAACCUACCUUUUUACAAACCCUGUUUUUCAUGCACGAACAAAACAUAUAGAAGUUGAUUUUCACUUUAUAAUGGAAAGAGUAGCACACAAGUUGCUUGACAUCCAGUUUAUUCCCACAGGAGAUCAACUUGAUGAUGGCUUCACAAAACCACUCACCACAAGGAGAUUGAAUGAGUUCAAGAACAAUCUAAACCUAGACUUAGUUCCCCAGGUUUGGAUUGAGGGGGGAUGUUAGAAUUGGUUACGUAGAGAUAUAAUUUAAAUGUAAUGUGUCGCUACUUCUUCUCUAUCUUUUCCCUUUGAAUUGUAUCUCUCUCAAUCUCUAUCUGAAAGAAUCCUAGCGAUAUUCCAAACUUGUAAGCCACGACAAACCUUCUAUAUAUUGAGAUGCGGCCGGGAUAAGGGGUUCAACGGUUUCACAUAUCUUUACACACACGUCCUCAUCCGCCGUGCCAACCAGCUUCCUCGCCCGACCAUUGGCCACACGACAUCGGUCAUAAUUGUCGAUACAGGUGUUCGACGUAGGGAAGUGCCAGCUGAAUGACAGCGAGCCGACCCGAUGAACGCCACAUGGACCGGCGCUGCCACGUGACCGACCAGAAAGGCCGUACUCGAGCUUGCUCAGGUUGAUGUAGUUAUCAAAGUAAGGGAACUGGUCGAGGUGGUCGAAUUGGUUUCCAAAGCAGUGAGGAUGUGAGAGUAUUGCGCUUCGAGCUGCUCUUCGACGGCUGAAAAUAGGCGAAUGAGCUCCUCCAGCAUCGGCCGCACCCCCGAGCCGAGCUUGCCCACGUCCACCGGGCUCAACAGGAUGCCUUAUCAUUUAGGGAUCUUCUCCACGAGAGCAGCCACCUUACCAUUUUGGGCCUCCAUGUCACUUGAUUGAUAAGCACUAAUGGCUGAUGCUGCAGUGCAAAUGUAGACUAGUGCUAUGAUCGAUGGAGCCGAUGCUUGAAAAUCCGACGCCUCGCAAGUACCUCCGUAAAAACAAAAUCUUCGCCAUUCCGCCAAGCUGCAAGCUAGAGGAACUCACGUUCUGCAGGUUUGUUGGAGAAAGAUCACUGGGUACCUUUCUCCUAUUCGCCAAGUGACCAUGUUAUUUGUUAUCCGGUGCUUGCAAGUUGACCAUGUUAGCACCCCGAUAACUCCUCUAACCUCUUUCAAGUGGUUGCUAGAACAAUGACCAGGGAUCUGGAGCUGGAGAUAGACAAGCAGCCAAACGUCUCACGCUUCACACAAAGAGCCAAUUUCGGCGCACGGCGCUGGAUUCCAGGAUUUCCAGAUGUUGGAGGAUUUGCCAGACAUGUGCGAUGCCUAACUCCGAGAAGAAGCCAAAAAGAGGAACAAGAUGAGGAUAACUGGAAAGGUAGUGAGGAAUCACCGCAUGUGCUCGUUGCAUUAGCAGCCAUGUUAAGGCUGUUACCAGCGUCCUUGCAUCUCGCUGACAAGCCCAUGGUUNNNNNNNNNNNNNNNNNNNNNNNNNNNNNNNNNNNNNNNNNNNNNNNNNNNNNNNNNNNNNNNNNNNNNNNNNNNNNNNNNNNNNNNNNNNNNNNNNNNNACAAUUUGUGCCAAACUAUGCCUUUGGAUGCAAAUAUUAGCUUUGUGCGGAUAAAUAAAUAAAUAAAUAUAACAACGACAUUCAAAAAUGAAAUUGCGGGAUAGCAUUUUUACAGUGAAUUUUAAAUGGCAGAAAGUUUCUUGCAAUUAACGGUCCCUACUUUCUUUCUUUUUUGAGAACUACACGGCUCAUUAUGCAAAAACAAUGAUAGGUUCCAUAGAGAUGAUAUCAGGUGGGUUAAGCAGACACAAUUGGCGCCCCGCAUCUAGACUAACAGCAGCUUUGGCUAAAUCAUGAGCUUCCCAGUUCAUCUCCCUCACUGGUAGAAAAAGAGGCUUCCGUCCAGCCCCAUAAGUCGCGAAACUGUAGGAACCGCGACUAAUGAAUUCUUUAGUCGCGGUUCGGAAGACGAACCGCGACCAAAGUCCUGGGCCCAGGGCGCUCGGUGGCCAGCUGGUGCACGUGAGGGGCUUUAGUCACGGUUGGCCAGGCCAACCGCGACUAAAGGUCUUUAGUCGCCGGUCGCCUGGCCAACCGCGACUAAAGGUUGUUGCGCGCGGGAACGAAAAACCCGCCAAAAACCCUUUAGUCGCGGUUGGGGAGGCGACCCGCGACUAAAGGGUACCCUUUNNNNNNNNNNNNNNNNNNNNNNNNNNNNNNNNNNNNNNNNNNNNNNNNNNNNNNNNNNNNNNNNNNNNNNNNNNNNNNNNNNNNNNNNNNNNNNNNNNNNNNNNNNNNNNNNNNNNNNNNNNNNNNNNNNNNNNNNNNNNNNNNNNNNNNNNNNNNNNNNNNNNNNNNNNNCGACUCCAUCUCGUCUUCUCCGAUCUCUGCCGCGCCGAAGGCCUGCCGUCGUCGCCCUCGCCCUCGACGCCGCCCGCCGUCGCCCUCGCCGCCCGCCCUCGCCCUCGCCCUCGACGCCGCCCUCGCCGCCCGCCGUCGCCCUCGCCCUCGACGCCGCCCGCCGUCGCCCGCCGUCGCCCCUCGCCCUCGACGCCGCCCCGUCUCGCCCACGUACGGCGCCGCCGGCCGCUAUCACCGGCCUCCCUCGCCCGCCCUCAACGCCGCCAGCCGUCUCUUGUCCGAUUCACAUGCAUGCCCCGGGAGCCCAUCAUCCGUUGUCAAUAUAAGUUAGAAUUAUGCCCCGUAGAAUAUGUGAAACUCCUUCAAAAUUAAAAUAAAGCACAAAAGAAAUAAAACAAUACAAAUUAAACAGAAAACAGGUUUGGGGGGGGGGGCUAAAACCCUAAACCUGCGGCGGCCUUUAGUCGCGGUUGUCCAUAAGAACCGCGACUAAAGGUCCUCCGCCACGACGGCCGCCUGGCGCCCACGUGGACGGGCCUUUAGUUGCGGUUCUUAAGCAACCGCGACUACAGGGGGGGGCCUUUAGUCGCGCCUAUUUGGUCGCGGUUGCGCAACCGCGACUAAUGGCAGUUGCGAACCGCGACCAAAGGCACUUUUUCCACCAGUGCCUGUUCUCAUGAUCAACGUGGCAUUCAUCAAAUUCGACCAUCUUUGUCUUGACAUCUGAGAUAAUGGCAGAACUGGUUUCCAUAUACCGACCUUGCAAAUUCUUGACUGUAGCCGCACUAUCAGUAACUACGUGGAUGUUGCAAAGACUCGGAUCAGAGGCUAAUGCAAGGGCUUCCCUGAAAGCCAUAGCCUCUAGAAUCUCCGGCUGUACUUGGUCUUGCAACACUACCGCCAACGCUCCAUGAAAAAGACCCACAUCAUUCUGACAGACCACAGCCACCGAUCCUUUAUCACCAUGUCGUGAGACAGCAGCGUCAACCAUUAACUUUGUGCAGCCCUGCUCAGGUUGUCUCCAAGUUCUUCUAGCUCUGGUCGUCGAGCGUUGAGUAUGUGUUGGGGGACACCAAUUUUCCGAUUGGUCUGGUAGCAUGGCUAGAUCACUCAUGUACGUACUUCACAAUAAAAUUAACGGUCCCUACUCAGCCCAUGUGAAAUCACCAAUUGAGGAUUAUUUAUUUCAAAAAUCACUUUCACCUUUCCAGGUUGCGACAAGUGAUGCACUGCAUAUGUGUCACUUGUCGUAACACGAGAGUUACUUUUUUUUCGUAGAUCCAUAUUUUCAAAACAUUUUAUCUUUUAAACCGUGCAUCCAAAUCUUAAACUGUUUUCACCGUUGGGUCCCUCGCAUCGAGAUCUUUAAAAUUAGAUCUCAUGUUGAUAGAUUUUGACGGACUUUUUUGAUGAAAAAACCAAAAGAAAAAAAAAACGGACGUAAAAAAACCAUGCCUCCGUGAUAGAAAAAACAGAAAAUGCAAUUUUUUCGUUUCCGAGGGGCACGACCGUGCCUCUCGCAAAGGCAAAAUUAUGCCUCUCGUGGAAGCAAAAUUGUGCCUCUCACGAAAAAAAUUGCUUUUUUCCGUUUCCGAGAGGCACGGUGCCUCUCACGAAAGCAAAAUCAUGCCUCUUGCGAUAGAAAAAACCCAAAAAAUAUGUUUUUUUUUGUUUCUGAGAGGCACGGCCAUGCCACUGACGAAAGAAAAAUCGUGCCUUUCGUGAUAAAAUAAAUAAAUAAAUAAUACAUAUUUUUUUGUUACAAGAGGCACGUGCCUCUCGCGAAGGCAAAAUCAUGUCCCUCGCAGAAGCAAAAUCGUUCCUUUCACAAAAAAAUUACACAUAACGCGUUUUCAGAAAAUAUAUUUGGAAAAACAAUUCGCCCGAAAGUUAAGAAAUGUCGGUGGAAAACCGAAACACCAAAAAAGAAAAACAUUCACCUAAAAACGAAAGUGUGUGGGAAAAAACUCCAAAAAAACGCUCAGAACAUGACACCUGGCGGAGGCUGAUCACGCGACAAAUGACAGCGUGUGGGAGUGAUCGUUAGAAGGCUUCUAAAAUAGCGCUCGCCAACUAAUUGCUCUCCAGCCCACGCUGGUGGCGCAUGACGUGUCUUGCUACAGCCUAAACUUGAGCUGCAGGCUGGAUUACCGCGGCCUGCCGAGGCCCAGGCAGCGUGAGGGGCAGUUCUUGCUGGCUGAAUUGGCCCGAUUAAUACAGUGCAUCGUCUUCAUAAAGGCAACAAUUGCCCAGGAAUAAGGUGCCGCUGCUGGAGCUCGCCGGAGAAAAACAUCGUCCUCAUCGUUUCCAUAUUAGCUUAUAUUUAAUCUAUAGAGAAAUAAAUUAAUUGAGCACCUAAUCAAACUGAAUAUAACCCAAAAUGUAGCAAUUAGUUAAGUCUACUAACCACAGCAAAAUUUGCAUAUCUAAACAUAUCAAAACCUAGAGAAAAACAUAAAAUCGUUGAUAGGAAGGUCGAUCACAUGCGAUACCUCUCCGGGGAGUGCACCAACCACACACAACUUUUCUCGUGCAUGGCUACCCCCCCACCAAGCAGCUUCGUCCACGGCGAGGAAGCCACCUUGUUGGUGGUGGGCUCCGUUGAGGGUGGUCGGAUCGGUGUUUUAUCUUUUUUGUGUUAUAUGGUGUAUCUAUUGUGAGCGAGGUCGCACGGGAUAUGUAUCCAAAUAUUGCCAUCCUUGACGGUAGGUUUAUCCACCAAUUAUCAAAGCACUUCUUUAUUUCUUAGUCAAUGAAUUAUGUAUAUUUUUUAUUAGUUUUAGGUAGUGUUGCAUGUGUUUAUAUGAUUUUAAGGAUUUUGAUAUGAGAAAUGCGGGUGUGAAAACCAAUAAAUAAGACGUGUCCGGUCUGACGUUUGAGGACCUAGAUUUGCUAUGUCCGGUUGUAGAUGCUCUUAUACUUGUGAUUUUGGGACAGGCUCAUCAAGCCCAUCCCCCUAGGAUUCAGCACUGGCUGAUGAUCCUUCCGAUGUCAAAAUUGCAUAAUUCUCCUUUAUAGCACACUUUCACACUCGAAGCUGCUCCUUUGUCCAUGCCGACUAUUUGGCAAUUUUCAAUGUGGAAUAACUAGUGCGGUGAUGCCUUCUGCAAUAGUCGUCCGUGGCAAAGUCAGAAUCGCUGAGUAAUGGUGACAAAAAUAUGUGCUGCCUUUUUGUUCGCGGUAUGUGGUUUGUCUAUUGUGAGCCAGGUCGCACAAGUUUGUCCUGAAUGUUGCCAUCCUUCACGGUAGGUUUAUCCGCCAAUUAUCAGAGCACCUCUUUAUUUCUAAGUCAAUGGAGUAUGUAUGGUCUUUGGUACCUAUCCGUUUUGGACAAAAGAAGUAGAAGCAGGUGUUCAGUUCCAAGUCCCAACAACCAACAAUGAUUCACCGAAUCAAAUAGGUGGUGAUGCUCCAGCAUCUAGCUAGUAUAUAUCCAUACCACCUCCUCCUCUCUCCUUCCUCUCCAUUUCCCCAAGGUGCCGACCUCACCCACCCCCUGCAGCCUCAAGCUCAGCGGCCGCCUCAUGGCUCAUCAUGCGACGGACGUCCAUCAAUGGUGAUGCCUCCUUCUCCCCUAGCUAAUUUCUGUGCUUUGUGCCUCCCAUCGUGCUUGGUCCCCAUGGCCAGGCAGAGCGAGCAUCGACCGGAUCAGGGAAAUCUCCAAGCCGUGAUCGCCUGAGAAAACUACUUGUGGCUUCUUGAAUCUUUACUUACUUGCUGUUUUGUAGGCUCUCCGCCACGGGUGCGCUCCUGGAUGAAGACACUUCGCUAUGGCUGUCGCCGGGAGAUAACCCGGCUGAUGGUGGAUUGCUCAUUGGAUCAAAUGGAGACACAUAUUAUAUGCCACCCGGUAACCAUAUUCCUCAUCUCUCAUCUUGCUUUAUACUAUCACUAUAUCAUCUUCGUGUUUGCAUCAUCUAGAUUCUUGAUCGAGCAGUGUACGCUGCUGCUGGUAGUAAAGAGAAAGGAAAGAAAAAAGAGAUUGCUGCCAUGUUCUGCCACUGUAUUCUGAACGACUUCGUGACUAUGUUUAGGUGGAAAUCCUUGAGCAUUGAGAGUGNNNNNNNNNNNNNNNNNNNNNNNNNNNNNNNNNNNNNNNNNNNNNNNNNNNNNNNNNNNNNNNNNNNNNNNNNNNNNNNNNNNNNNNNNNNNNNNNNNNNUCCUUUCUUCUCCUUUUUCUUCCUUUCUUCUCCUUUUUUUCCUUUCUUCUCCUUUUUCUUCCUUUCUUCUAUUUUUCUUCCUUUCUUCUCCUUUUUCCUCCUUUCUUAUCCUUUUUCUUCUUUUCUUCUCCUUUUUCUUCCUUUCUUCUCCUUUUUCUUCUUUUCUUCUCUUUUUUCUUCCUUUCUUCUCCUUUUUCUUCCUUUCUUCUCCUUUUUCUUCUUUGCUUGUGCUGGCCGGAGUGUUGGGGAGGAGGGGGCGUGGGGCUUACUGGCCGGAGGUGUCGACGGCGCGCGACGAGGAGGACGGCGGCGCGCGGCGAGGAGGACGGGGCGGCGCGCGGCGAGGAGGGCGGCGCGCGGCGAGCAGGACGGCGGCGGCGAGCAGGACGACGGCGACGGCGAGGAGGACGGCAGGCGGCGGCGAGCAGGACGGCGGGCAUCCUGACGGCGUCGUUGAGAUCGUCGCUUGCCGCGCCGGGCAGGAGAACGAGAGGAAGAAGAAGAAAAAUGGACGAUUUGGGUUUGAAAUUUUCUAACUCCCGCUUAUACAGGUGAAUCAUUAGUCCCGGUUCGGGGCUCGAUCCGGGACUAAAGAACCUUUAGUCCCGGGUGGAGCCACCNNNNNNNNNNNNNNNNNNNNNNNNNNNNNNNNNNNNNNNNNNNNNNNNNNNNNNNNNNNNNNNNNNNNNNNNNNNNNNNNNNNNNNNNNNNNNNNNNNNNAUGGUAGCUAGCUGCACAAUACAAAAUUUGGGAUCAGAGGGGAGGCCGAUAGGUAGAUAAAAAUAUGGUCUCAAGCAUCAACCCAGAUCUGAAUGCAGAGUACACUUGUCUCUCUACAAAAGCAAUUGAUUGAGCAUUUUAUUCAAGAAGCGUUCUUUACAACAACAAAAGUCUGUAGUGAUCUAUUCAUACGAGCUGAGAAGGAAGAGUGAAAGACAGAAGCCAUGUAUAUAGAUGCUACUAUAAAAGCAUUGACUUUAUUUAGCAAGUUGUAUAUACCACAGUACUAAAUUUACAAGAUGAAUGAUCCACCGUUGCAGCCACCUUGUCAUUGCCCAGAUGUGCACUUCAUCGACCCCUGGGUUGAGAGCCUGACUACAUUCGACCCCAGCCCCGGAACUACCCGUGGCCUAUCGACUUACCCCAACCACACCGCAGAGGAGAUCUGCCACCAGAUUGAUCUGUGCCAAGGCCAUCUCUUUGUCAACGAUGAGGGCCUCCACCGUCGCCGUCCAGCUUGAGCCACGACGAUGAGGGGCCGACACCUGCCCGUCUGAGAGAACCGGUCUUCGCCACCACUGAGGGGAGAGGACGGUGACAGGGGUGGCACGGUGGCGAGACGCUUCCAGGAUGCGCGCGGGUUACAUCCAUGUUCCUUACACAUGAUGGUAACAUGCUUACAUGCACGACAUUAAUGAAUUAUACUACAUCAUCUCUUUGGGCAACCGAUGCUUGGUAGAUGUACUCUGCCAUGAGCCACAAGAUGGUGGUCAGCUCGCCACCACUGUUGAGCUUCUGGGCAUGGGACUCCCUGCUGCACUUGUUGCUGGCAUAGACGAGAAUGUCCAUCCACACAUCAAGGACAAGCUCCAAGGAGUCUAUGGUGCCAUCCUUCUCCUUCUCCAGCAGCUCCUUGGCAAGUCCCGCCAUGUGAGUGAGACGAGGAGCAAGGUGGCUGUACUCCUUAUCCUCGUAUUCAUUGUACAGGUUGUUGGCGAGCUCCUCUCUCUCGGCAACCCUAGAAAUGCUGGAGUGUGGGGCAUCGCGCACACGGAACAGAUCCUUGAAGACGCGUGCACGGCUCGGGUACCUAGGAUCAGCCGAUCGCCUGGUGACCAGCCUCUCGCAAGUCCGCUGGUACAACUUUUUCUGGGGCUGGCCCGGCAGCAUGUAGGGACGUUCCACCAGGAGGAACAUCAUGUAGUCGGACAUGACCCUAAUGGCGUGCACCUUAGGCUCGGCGUCCAUGGCCUUGGCUCUCUCGCUCCUUGUGAGGAAGACCUCGGUGGCAAUGUGCCAGAUGAUGAUGCCCUCCUGGAACUCGACGCCGAGGGAGUCCUUGAGGAUGCCUUUCUGGUAAAGCCCACGGCUCUUGAGCGGGUUCUGGCCCCAUUUCUUCCUCAGCAUGCCCAUGUUGAACUUCCCUUUGCUGUACAGCCGCCUCAUGUAGAUAGCGAUACGGAACUUGAUCUCAGCAGACAUCUCGACUGUCGCCGAGUAGUGCUUCCGGUUCCACCACUCGUCGGGUGCCAGUGCCCUCGCCAACCUCCCGAGCAGGGGGCUGGUGAAGAGCGUGUCGGCGGGGCGCGUGCAGAAGUGCAGCAAGUUGUACUGCCCGAUGGUGUAUGACCACCUUCUUGACUUGNNNNNNNNNNGCUGUUACCGGCAAUUCUUCCCUUGACAAGAUCGUGAAGCCACACGACGGCGCGGCGUAGCUUGUCCCAUCUCUUGUUACACAGGGCCGUGUACCGAAGCCAGUGCCAGUUGGUGGUGCUCAGGAACGCGAACGUCCAAGACGAUGCCAGCGCGUUCAGGAGCGACAUCGUCUCCAUGAACACGGCGCCACCCAGCAGGAUGUAGGUGAUGGCCACAUCGGAUCUGAUGUAGCCAUCCUUGGGGGUGAACCGGAACAGCAGAAGCGAAGUGGUGACGGCGAGCGGAGAGAUGAAGCGGAUUAGGUAGCCGCGGAAGGUGUGCACCACUGCCGCCUUGGUGUAGAGGAUGUCGUACAUGAGGGAGAGCUCGAUCUCCAUCAGCGUCCACAGCUCGACGCCUUGUAUCAGCUUGCUGGUGACCUCUUCUUGGCCGUCCAUGGAGUCCUCCUCGACCACCGAGGAGUCGACCAUGGCGCGCUUGCAGAUAUGGAACAGCGAGUGGGCUCGUCGCAGGUGGAACUCCUCGUCCGUGGCUAUGUCCUGAGGGUGGUUAUGGUUGUGGAUGGCGGCCGGCUGCGUAUUGACGGAGGCGGCGAUGCUCUCCAGGGUGCUGCACUUGAGCGCCCACGUCCUCUCCGCGUACUUGACGAAGCCGACGACGAACAUCAAAAUGGAGGCGAUCAGGAGCAGCUUCCCAUCCUGGCCGCCGGCGACGGCGAUGUGCUUCUUGAGGACGUAGCCCGCUCCUAGUACCUGCACGAUCAGGACGGUGAGGUGUCGGAGCCAGAGCUGGUUGUCCUGGAGCGCAUAGGCGGUGAUGUUGUCCGGGCCGCCGAGGUGGAGCAGCAGGAACGGCGCCCAGAACGCGACGAGCUGGUUCUCACGCACGGCGCUGCCAAACGACAGGUGGCCGACGGAGUACACGGCGGUGGAGUCGGCUAUGAGGUACGCUAGCCACAGGAGGAACCUCCGCACAGGGAGCGUCUGACGCCGGCGGAUCCCGGCAAAGACGAAGAGGACGAGCUGGAGCCCGAGGCUGAGGAGGACCAGGAUCUGCAUCGACCGGUGGUUCCAUAGCACCAGCGGCCCUGCAGCCAUACUAAUUGAUCUUCUCCUCUUGACACUCUGGUCUCCACUGCACUGCCUGGAAUUGGAUGAAUUUCCGCGGCUUUGUUUCAGGCACAUGAUCAGGAGUAAUAAACCAAAAGGAAUGUAUAGAUAACAGUACAUUAUCAUGUAUGAUAAAUGCAGGAUUUNNNNNNNNNNNNNNNNNNNNNNNNNNNNNNNNNNNNNNNNNNNNNNNNNNNNNNNNNNNNNNNNNNNNNNNNNNNNNNNNNNNNNNNNNNNNNNNNNNNNNNNNNNNNNNCAUCACAUGAUUCUCCUAAUGAUGUGAUCCAGUUAUCAAGUGACAACACUUGCACAUAGGCACAAAACCUUGACUAUCAUUGAUCAACUGGCUAGCCAACUAGAGGCUUGCAAGGGACAUUGUUCUGUCUAUGUAUCCACACAUGUAUCUACGUUUUCAUUCAAUACAAUUAUAGCAUGGAUAAUAAACGAUUAUCUUUAAACAGGAAAUAUAAUAAUAACUAUUUAUCAUUGCCUCUAGGGCAUAUUUCCAACAGUGGCUUUGAAUGGUGCAUACUGACCUCACAAAUAGUCUGGAGUUAAACUAUGUUAAAAAAUGAAAUCCCUUUGUAAUAGAUGAGUUUUCGUCCGAAACUCUGGUGCUCCGAAAAAAAUUGUCCAGUUUAUACACGAAUUGCAUCCAGCUUUUUUCAUAACCCUAUAAACUUUUUAGCACAUGUUGUGUGGGUGAAAUUAUGAUACUAUGCCAAGUUAGUACAUGUUGUGUGGGUGAAAUUAUGAUACCAUGCCAAGUUUUAACCUUUUCAGAAUUCAUUUGUAGUGCUUUUCAAUUUCAGGGUCAUUAAACUCAAAAAAAUGCAUGGAAAAUAGCAAAUAAAGUCAGGAAAGGGUCGAAAUUUCAUGAGGUCGCUUUCAAUGGAGCAUAUUGACCUCACAAACAGCGUGGAGUUAAAGUGUGUUCAAAAAAUGAAAUUCUUUUGUAAUAGAUGAGUUUUUAUCCGAAACCCUGAUAUUUCGAAAGAGAUUGUCCAGUUUGUACACGAAGUGCAUCCAGUUUUUGCCGUAACCCUCUCAACUUUUUAGCGCAAGCUAUGUGGGUGAACUUAUGAUACCAUAUCAAGUUUCAACCUUUUCAAAGCUCAUUUGUAGUGUUUUUUUUAAUUCCGGGGUCAUUUAGCUCAAAAAAAUCAUUAAAUGCAUCAAAAUAGAAAAAUUAACUCUGGAAAGGUUUGAAAAUUGAUGAUGUGACUUUGAAUUGUGCAUAUUGACCUCGCAAAGAGUCUGGAGUUAAACUAAGUUCUAAAAAAUGAAAUCCCUUUGUAACACAUGAGUUUUCGUCCGAAACCUUGAUACUUCGAAAGAGAUUGUCCAGUUUGUACACGAAAUGCAUCUAGUUUUUGUCGUAACUCUCUCAAAAAUUUGGCACAAGUUAUAUGGGUGAAAUCAUGAUACCAUGCCAAGUUUCAACGUUUUCAGAGUUCAUUUCUAGUGCUUUUCAAUUCGAGGGUCAUUUAGCACAAAAAUUGAUGAAAAGCAUGAAAAAUAAAAAAUGAUGUCAGGAAAGGGUUGAAAAUUUGAUUACGUGGCUUUGAAUGAUGCAUAUUGACCUCACAUACAGUACGGAGUUAAACUAAGUUAUAAAAAAUGAAAUCUCUUUUGUAACACAUGAGUUUCGUCCGAAACCGUGAUUUUUCGAAAGAGAUUGUUCAGUUUAUACACGAAGUGCAUCCAAUUUUUGCCGUAACCCUGUCAACUUUCUAGCACAUGCUGUGUGGGUGAAUAUAUGAUACCAUGCCAAAUUUUAACCUUUUCAGAAUUUAUUUGUACUGCUUUUCAAUUUCAGGUUCAUUUAGCUCAUUUUUUUUAUUAAAUACAUGAAAAAUAGAAAAUGAAGUCAGAAAAGGAUAGAAAAUUAAUUAUAUGACUUUGAAUGGUGCAUACUGAACGCACAAAAAGUCUGGAGUUAAAAUAAGUUCUAAAAAAUGAAAUCCCUUUAUAACAUAUGAGUUUUCGUCUAAAACCCUCAUACUUCGAAAAAGAUUGUCUAGUUUAUACACGAACUGCAUCUAGUUUUUGUCGUAACCCACUCAAUUUUUUAGCACAUGCUGUGUGAGUGAAAUUAUGAUACCAUACCAAGUUUCAACCUUUUCAGUUUUUAUUUAUAGUGCUCAUCAAUUUCAGGAUCAUUUAGCUCAAAAAAAUCAUUAAAUGCAUGAAAAAUAGAAAAUGAAGUCAAAAAAGGUUUGAAAAUUAAUUACGUGACUUUGAAUGGUGCAGAUUGAAUGCACAAAAAGUCUGGAGUUAAAUAUUUUUCUAAAAAAUGAAAUCCCUUUGUAACACAUGAGUUCUGGUCCGAAAGAGUGAUACUUCGAAUAAGAUUGUCCAGUUUGUACACGAAGUGCAUCUAGUUUUUGUUGUAACCCUCUCAAUUUUUAGCACAUGUUGUGUGGUUGAAAUUAUGAUAUCAUGCCAAGUUUCAAUCUUUUCGGAGUUUAUUUGUAGUGCUUUUCAGUUUCAGGGUCAUUUAGCUCAAAAAAUCAUUAAAUACAUGAAAAAUAGAAAAUGAAGUCACAAAAGGGUUAACAAUUAAUUAUGUAGUUUUGAAUGGUGCAUACUGAAUGCACAAAAGUCUGGAGUUAAAAUAAGUUUAAAAAUGAAAUCCGUUUGUAACACAUGAGUUUUCGUCCGAAGCAUUCAUACUUUGAAAGAGAUUGUCAAAUUUGAACACGAAGUGCAUCCAAUUUUUGCCUUAACCCUCUCAACUUUUUAGCACAUGUUGUAUGGGUGAAAUUAUAAUACCAUGCCAAGUUUCAACCUUUUCAGAGUUAAUUUGUAAUGUUUUUUUAAUUUCAGGGUCAUUUAGCUAAAAAAUCAUUAAAUGCAUGAAAAGUAGAAAAUGAAGUCACAAAAAGUUUGAUUCAUGUCAUAGUGAUCACAGAACAGAGUAGCAAAUACUAGGCAUAUAAUAAAACCAUCUACGCAUCGGGAUAAACGAGUACGCGGCGAACGGGACGGAGUCGCCGACGGCAGCAGCAACAAAGGAAUGAGCACGCGGUGGGCGACGGAGGAGUGCGCGAGGGCCUCUUUUUUUCUCACUCUUCAAUAGCAUAUAGAAGAGUGACCCUUAUAAAGUGGUCCAACUUCUUCUCCACUAGCGGGGUGGGACUAAACUUUCCACCACCACUUUGUUAUGCCACCACCUACAUGGGUCCUUAGAGAUUUUCUGAAAUUGUCUCAUGGGCCUUAGGCCCAUCUCAGAUUUCAACAACAUGUUUACCACUCAUCUCGCAGCAGGUUUUUCCUCAGCUUCAUGUCUCAUCGGCCAGCGGCGGGCAACUAGCGGCAAGCCUUCUUGGCCGACUACCCGUGGUUGUCUAGCUUGUCGAAAUUGCUAUUAGCCUACGACCAAGGCCAGAACGAUUUUUUCGAGGCGAUCUACACAGCGAGUCCUCUUCCCCUAAUCGUCGCUCUAUGAAGGGGUGUUGGUUUCUUCCACGAGAACAAGUUGAAUCAAGGACUUGGCGGCCGGCUGCUGGCCGCGUGGAAUUCUUGUUCAACGACAAGACAACUAAUAGUAGACUAGCAACCAGUAGGCUCCUAUGGUGGUUUUGAAGAAGAACAGAGAACAUGAAUGCUAUAAUCGAGAGAUUGGUUCUGCUCCAUUCAUGGCUUUGACUUUUGUAGCGCCGUUACAUGAAGCUAGGUCCUAAUUUGUAUUAAGACGAGAGAAGACGCGGUACUAUGAACUCCAUGAGUUAAACAGAUUACUCAGUUGGGGGAUGUCUUUGGAGAAGAAGAUGCUUUGUGAUUGGUACGCAACACGUGUCCUCAUCUGGAUGGGGUCUCACACGAUGAAGAAUGAGACCUGGUCUUAUAGGAUAUUUUUCCGUGAAAAGAAGUAUUUGAAGUUCUUUCUACUUCUUCUAAAGGAUUUUAUUCUUACAUUUGAAAUUGACACUAAGGAUUGGGUUUUAAUCCAGUUUGAACAUCCUAUAUUAUUUUCUAGCAUUUCUUUAGCCUGAACCGUAGGCCGUCCUUACUCCUUAGGCUUUGUUUGGUACUAGUGUAUUUUAGGGAAUUUGUGGGGAUUAUCUCGGUCAAACCCCUCAAUCCCCACAUAUCCCAUAACACCAUUUGAUUCUAGUGUAUUUAACAUGUUUUAUCCCCACAUUUCCGCUCAAAUCUCCAAAUUAUAGUGCAUUUUACUCAAUACCAAUACACUACCCAUAUCUAGUGUAUUGGGGAUAAAUGGGGAUUUGAAGGGAUUGGAUGAAGGUUGGGAUUUCACCCAAUUCCUUGGGGGAUUAUCCCCAUCAAUCUUCUCAAAACACUAGUACCAAACAAGGCCGUAGUGUGUGGAACAACCAAUCGAUUGGACAAUAUAGUGAGGGACUUGCUAAUCAUGUCACAAGAACUGGUCAGACUGCUAAUUACUUGCAAGGAAACUUGUUUUCUGUAUUGAGGAAAUUGCAAGGAAAUUUCCAGGGAGAUACUACUACUAAAUAUUAAGUCCACACUGCAUAAUUCGCCUUCAUAUAUACUUGAUCAUAACUUGAUAANNNNNNNNNNNNNNNNNNNNNNNNNNNNNNNNNNNNNNNNNNNNNNNNNNNNNNNNNNNNNNNNNNNNNNNNNNNNNNNNNNNNNNNNNNNNNNNNNNNNACUUUGAACUAAGUUAUUAAUAUUUUUUAUUAUUAUCUACAAUAACAAAUUAAUAUGUGUAGAUUCACCAUUGAUUAUUAUUUUCAUAUUAUUUUAUUUUUGUUGUUGUAAAUGUGCAUAUUAUUUUUUAUAUACUUGANNNNNNNNNNNNNNNNNNNNNNNNNNNNNNNNNNNNNNNNNNNNNNNNNNNNNNNNNNNNNNNNNNNNNNNNNNNNNNNNNNNNNNNNNNNNNNNNNNNNNNNNNNNNNNNNNNNNNNNNNNNNNNNNNNNNNNNNNNNNNNNNNNNNNNNNNNNNNNNNNNNNNNNNNNNNNNNNNNNNNNNNNNNNNNNNNNNGUGUUUCUAAACAUAAGUCUCUUUAGAUAUUUCACUACAGCCUACAUACAGAGCAAAAUAAAUGAAUCUACAUUUUAAACUAUGUCUAUAUAUAUCCGUAUGUAAUUUGUAGUAAAAUCUCUAAAAAUACUUUUGUUUAGGAACAGAGGGAGUACUUACCUGUGGAAGCUACUUUGAUCACUGAACGAGUCAGUUGCAUGAAUGACUUACCGUGUCCAUGUACUUGUUUUUAGAAAAGGAGGCAUCGCCGCGGUCUCUGCAUCGAGUGAUGCAUGCAGCCUUUUAAUUGAAUAAUGUAAAAAGAGUCCGAUCCGAGUAUAGCAAUCUGAGAAAACCAAAAAAUAAAGAUACAAAGCGCCAUAUGCGCCACAACCAACAAUGGUAAUAGAACUAGAUGACUAGCCACCUUUCCUAUUAUUGAGUCGUCAUCCAAACCGGUUGAAAAUAUCCUGAGCUACCAUCUCUCAGCGGGCACACCCAGUAACCAUAGGCUCCCUGGCUUCCGCAGGAGUGAGUAAUAACCACGUGCGGAUCAAGGCGGUAGCCCUGAAGAUAACCUGCAAAAAAUUGAUAGAUUUGCAUCUGUUAAAUACUAAAUCAUUCCUGCAGUUCCAACUAGCCCACAUCAAUGCACAGGUUCCCACACAAAUAAUCUUUGUCAAAUUAGCAUCAACACCCACUACCCACGUCCCAAACAAUGUGUUAAUACUAUUAGGGGGAUGAUAUUAAAAGCAAUGUGAAUAGAACGCCAUAAGAGUUUAGCCAUAGGGAAGGCGAGAAAGAGGUGUUUAAUGGUUUCACUGUUGUGACAGAAGUUGCAUCUUUGGUUGCCUUUCCAAUUACGUUUUGCCAAAUUGUCCUUCGUUAGAAUAACUCCUUUGUGGACAAACCACAUGAAGAUCUUUAUCCUCAACGGUACUUUGACCUUCCAUAUAUGUUUGGAUUCUGGAAUCGGCCCCAAAUCUAUGAGAUGAAGAUACAUAGAUUUUACAGUAAAAGCUCCAUUUUUAGUCAACUUCCAUUGAAUAGUGUCUGGUAUAUCCGAAACUUGGAUGUCCAUUAACCUUCUGACAAGGUGAAGCCAACUGGUCCAUCUGUGACCUAUUAAGGAUCUGCGAAACUGAAUAAUAUUUAGAGGCGUGUGGCUCAAUAUUGUCGCAACGGACGCUUGUCUACGUUGGACAAUAUUGUAUAAUUACAGAUAUUGCAGGGCUAGUGGCACUUCCCCUAACCAUGUAUCUUACCAUAAUCUGGUAGAUUCACCAUUACCAAUGAUAAACCUAGUCCGUUGGAAAAAGGCAUUUUUUGACCUCAUUAAUCCUUUCCAGAAAGGAGAGUCAUUCGGUCUUAUGGUCGCCUGUGCUAAGGUCUUAUUUUGCAAGUACUUAUUCCUCAUAAUUUGUACCCACAUGCCUUCAGUUUCCACUCGUAUUCUGUACCCACAUGCCUUCAGUUUCCACUGAUAUUCUGUACAAGUAUCGGUCUACUUGUUUUGAACGUGAUGCCUAUAGAUAUAAUCAUUGCCAUAGAUGACGUCACGACUUUGCGCGGUUUUAUCAAUUGCUCGACAGUAAUUCGUUCACCCACCGUCUACUUGCUUUCAUGAGAGAAGCCACUAGUAAACACUACGGCCCCCGGGUCUAUUCACACCUAUCGUUUACACCUCCGCUUUUACUUUGCUUUGUUACUUUGUUGUUUUUAGUUCUCACUUGACAAACAAUCUAUAAGGGAUUGACAACCCCUUCAUAGCGUUGGGAGCAAGCUUUUUGUGUUUGUGCAGGCACGUACUUGUGAUACUCCUUCACUGGAUCGAUACCUUGGUUCUCAAAACUGAGGAAAAUACUUACCACCGCUGCGCUACAUCACCCCUUCGAGGGAACACCAAUGCAAGGCUCCAAGGCCACGGGGAAAUCCUUUGCAUAUUUGCCUAGGAAGUCCCUAAAGGCGUAGCCGUAGCACAAGGAUUCCUGGUGCCGUUGCUGAGGAGUAUCAAAAACAGUCUCCCGUCAGCACGUGUUUAUGGCGCCGUUGGAAGGUCUUUUGUUGCAUCAGCACAUACCUAUUUCAAUCUCGUUAUCGGCAAGUCUCUUUACUCGUUCUGUAAUACAAGAUCCCGUGACUUACACUUAGUCACAUUUCUUGCAAGGCUUGUGUGUGAUGUUGUAUUACCGAGUUGGCCCCAAGAUAUCUCUCCGUCACACGGAAUGACAAAUCCAAGUAUUGAUCCAUACUAACUAAACAGACACCUUCGGAGAUACCUGUAGAGCACAUUUAUAGUCACCCAGUUACGUUGUGACGUUUGAUGCACACAAGGUAUUCCUCCAAUGCCAGUGAGUUAUAUGAUCUCAUGGUCAUAGGAAACAAAUACUUGACACACAGAAAAUAGUAGUAAUAAAAUGACACGAUCAAUAUGCUACUUUCAUAGUUUGGGUCUAGUUCAUCACAUGAUUCUCCUAAUGAUGUGAUCCAGUUAUCAAGUGACAACANNNNNNNNNNNNNNNNNNNNNNNNNNNNNNNNNNNNNNNNNNNNNNNNNNNNNNNNNNNNNNNNNNNNNNNNNNNNNNNNNNNNNNNNNNNNNNNNNNNNCUGUUUCUAAACAUAAGUAUCUUUAGAUAUUUCAUUAUAGACUACAUACACAGCAAAAUAAAUAAAUCUACAUUUUAAAGUAUGUAUAUAUACAUCCGUAUGUAAUUUGUAGUAAAAUCUCUAAAAAUACUUUUGUUUAGGAACAGAGGGAGUACUUACCUCUGGAAGCUACUUUGACCACUGAUCGAGUCAGUUGCAUGAAUGACUUACAGUGUCCAUGUACUUUUUUGUAGAAAAGGAGGCAUCGCCCCGGCCUCUGCAUCGAGUGAUGCAUGCAACAUUUUAAUUGAAUAAUGUAAAAAGAGUCCGAUCCGAGUACAUCAAUCUGAGAAACCCAGAAAAUAAAGAUACAAAGCACCAUAUGCGCCACAACCAGCAAUGGUAAUAGAACUAGAUGACUAGCCACCUUUCCUAUUAUUGAGUCNNNNNNNNNNNNNNNNNNNNNNNNNNNNNNNNNNNNNNNNNNNNNNNNNNNNNNNNNNNNNNNNNNNNNNNNNNNNNNNNNNNNNNNNNNNNNNNNNNNNNNNNNNNNNNNNNNNNNNNNNNNNNNNNNNNNNNNNNNNNNNNNNNNNNNNNNNNNNNNNNNNNNNNNNNNNNNNNNNNNNNNNNNNNNNNGCACGUGUGGAUCAAGGCGGUAGCCCUGAAGAUAACCUGCAAAAAAUGAUAGAUUUGCAUCUGUUAAAUACUAAAUCUUUCCUGCAGUUCCAAAUAGCCCACAGCAAUGCACAGGUUCCCACACGAAUAAUCUUUGCCAAAUUAGCAUCAACACCCACUACCCACGUCCCAAACAACGUGUUAAUACUAUUAGGGGGGAUGAUAUUAAAAGCAAUGUGAAUAGAGCGCCAUAAGAGUUCAGCCAUAGGGCAGGCGAGAAAGAGGUGCUUAAUGGUUUCAUUGUUGUGACAGAAGUUGCAUCUUUGGUUGCCUUUCCAAUUACGUUUUGNNNNNNNNNNNNNNNNNNNNNNNNNNNNNNNNNNNNNNNNNNNNNNNNNNNNNNNNNNNNNNNNNNNNNNNNNNNNNNNNNNNNNNNNNNNNNNNNNNNNNNNNNNNNNNNNNNNNNNNNNNNNNNNNNNNNNNNNNNNNNNNNNNNNNNNNNNNNNNNNNNNNNNAUUUAUCCUCAACGGUACUUUGACCUUUCAUAUAUGUUUGGAUUUUUGAAUCGGCCCCAAAUCUAUGAGAUGAAGAUACAUAGAUUUUACAGUAANNNNNNNNNNNNNNNNNNNNNNNNNNNNNNNNNNNNNNNNNNNNNNNNNNNNNNNNNNNNNNNNNNNNNNNNNNNNNNNNNNNNNNNNNNNNNNNNNNNNCAUUCCCUUUGUCCUUCGGUAUGUUACUUGCCCGAGAUUCGAUCGUCAGUAUCCGCAUACCUAUUUCAAUCUCGUUUACCGGCAAGUCUCUUUAGAUCGUCCGAUUCGAUCGUCAGUAUCCGCAUACCUCUCCGUCACACGGAGUGACAAAUCCCAGUCUUGAUCCAUACUAACUCAACGAACACCUUUGGAGAUACCUGUAGAGCAUCUUUAUAGUCACCCAGUUACGUUGCGACGUUUGAUACACACAAAGUAUUCCUCCGGUGUUAGUGAGUUAUAUGAUCUCAUGGUCAUAGGAACAAAUACUUGACACGCAGAAAACAGUAGCAACAAAAUGACACGAUCAACAUGCUACGUCUAUUAGUUUGGGUCUAGUCCAUCACGUGAUUCUCCUAAUGACGUGAUCCAGUUUUCAAGCAACAACACUUUGUUCAUAAUCAGAAGACACUGAUUAUCUUUGAUCAAUUGGCUAGCCAACUAGAGGCUUGCUAGGGACAGUGUUUUGUCUAUGCAUCCACACAUGUAAAUGAGUCUUCAGUCAAUACAAUUAUAGCAUGGAUAAUAAACGAUUAUCUUGAUACAGGAAUUAUAAUAAUAACUAUAUUUAUUAUUGCCUCUAGGGCAUAAUUCCAACAGUCUCCCACUUGCACUAGAGUCAAUAAUCUAGCCCUCACAUCAUCAUGCAAAUUACAUUGUAAUAAAUCUAACACCCAUACAGUUAUGGUGUUGAUCAUGCUUUGCCCGUGGAAGAGGUUUAGUCAGCGGGUCUGCUACAUUCAGAUCCGUGUGCACUUUGCAUAUAUUUAUGUCCUCCCCUUCGACGUAGUCACGGAUGAGGUUGAAGCGUCGUUUGAUGUGUCUGGACUUCUUGUGAAACCGUGGUUCCUUUGCUAAGCCAAUGGCACCCGUGUUGUCACAGAACAAGGUUAUUGGAUUCAGUGCGUUUGGCACCACUCCAAGAUCUGUCAUGAAUUGCUUCAUCCAGACACCCUCCUUAGCCGCCUCCGAGGCAGCCAUGUACUCCGCUUCACAUGUAGAAUCUGCUAUGACGCUUUGCUUGGAACUGCACCAGCUUACCGCACCCUCAUUAAGAAUAAAUACGUAUCUGGUUUGCGACUUAGAGUCGUCCGGAUCUGUGUCAAAGCUUGCAUCGACGUAACCUUUUACAGCGAGCUCUUCGUCACCUCCAUACACGAGAAACAUCUCCUUAGUCCUUUUCACGUACUUCAGGAUAUUCUUGACCGUCGUCCAGUGAUCCACUCCUGGAUUACUCUGGAACCUACCUGUCAUACUUAUGGCCAGGCUAACGUCCGGUCUGGUGCAUAGCAUUGCAUACAUGAUAGAGCCUAUGGCUGAAGCAUAGGGGACGGAGCGCAUAUGCUCUCUAUCCUCAUCAGUUGCUGGGCACUGAGUCUUACUCAAUCUCGUACCUUGUAAAACUGGCAAGAACCCCUUCUUGGAUUGUUCCAUUUUGAACCCCUUCAAAACUUUAUCAAGGUAUGUGCUUUGUGAAAGUCCUAUCAGGCGUUUUGAUCUAUCCCUAUAGAUCUUAAUGCCUAGAAUGUAAGCAGCUUCUCCUAGGUCCUUCAUAGAGAAACUUUUAUUCAAGUAAUCCUUUAUGCUCUCCAAAAACUCUACGUUGUUUCCAAUCAACAAUAUGUCAUCCACAUAUAAUAUUACAAAUGCCACAGAGCUCCCACUCACUUUCUUGUAAAUACAAGAUUCUCCAACCACUUGUAUAAACCCAAAUGCUUUGAUCACCUCAUCAAAGCGUUUGUUCCAACUCCGAGAUGCUUGCACCAGUCCAUAAAUGGAUCGCUGGAGCUUGCACACCUUGUCAGCAUUCUUAGGAUCGACAAAACCUUCGAGUUGCAUCAUAUACAAUUCUUCCUUAAGGAAACCGUUAAGGAACGCCGUUUUGACAUCCAUCUGCCAGAUUUCAUAAUCGAAAAAUGCAGCUAUUUCUAACAUGAUUCUGACGGACUUAAGCAUCGCUACGGGUGACAAUGUCUCAUCGUAGUCAACUCCUUGAACUUGUGAAAAACCCUUUGCCACAAGUCGAGCUUUAUAAACGGUCACAUUGCCGUCAGCGUCCAUCUUCCUCUUAAAGAUCCAUUUGUUCUGAAUAGCCUUGCGGCCCUCAGGCAGUACCUCCAAAGUCCACACUUUGUUCUCAUACAUGGAUCCUAUCUCGGACUUCAUGGCUUCUAGCCAUUUGUUGGAAUCUGGGCCCACCAUUGCUUCUUCAUAAUUUGCAGGUUCAUUGUUGUCCAACAACAUGAUUGAUAAAACGGGAUUACCGUACCACUCUGGAGCAGCACAUGGUCUCGUCGACCUGCGUGGUUCGACAGAAACUUGAACCGGAGUUUCAUGAUCAUUAUCAUUAACGUCCUCCUCAACCGGCGUCGCAACGACAGAGGUUUCCCCUUGCCCUGCGCCACCAUCCAGAGGGAUGAGAGGUUCGACAACCUCGUCAAGUUCUAUCUUCCUCCCACUCAAUUCUCUCGAGAGAAACUCCUUCUCGAGAAAAGCUCCGUUUUUAGCAACAAACACUUUGCCCUCGGAUUUGAGAUAGAAGGUGUACCCAACUGUCUCUUUUGGGUAACCUAUGAAGACGCACUUUUCCGCUUUGGGUUCCAGCUUUUCAGGCUGAAGCUUUUUGACAUAAGCAUCACAUCCCCAAACUUUAAGAAACGACAACUUUGGUCUUUUGCCAUACCACAGUCUGUAUGGUGUCGUCUCAACGGAUUUUGAUGGUGCCCUAUUUAAAGUGAAUGCAGCUGUUUCUAAUGCAUAACCCCAAAACGAUAACGGCAAAUCGGUAAGAGACAUCAUAGAUCGCACCAUCUCUAAUAAAGUACGAUUACGAUGUUCGGACACACCAUUACGCUGUGGUGUUCCAGGCGGUGUCAACUGUGAAACAAUUCCACAUUGUCUUAAGUGAGCACCAAACUCGAAACUCAGAUAUUCACCCCACGAUCACACCGUAGGAACUUGAUCUUCUUGUUAUGAUGAUUUUCAACUUCACUCUGAAAUUGCUUGAACUUUUCAAAUGUUUCAGACUUGUGCUUCAUUAAGUAGACAUAACCAUAUCUACUCAAAUCGUCAGUGAAGGUGAGAAAAUAACGAUAUCCGCCGCGUGCCUCUACGCUCAUCGGACCACACACACAUCGGUAUGUAUGAUUUCCAACAAGUCACUUGCACUCUCCAUUGUUCCGGAGAACGGAGUUUUAGUCAUCUUGCCCAUGAGGCAUGGUUCGCACGUGUCAAGUGAAUCAAAGUCAAGUGACUCCAAAAGUCCAUGAGCAUGGAGUUUCUUCAUGCGCUUUACACCAAUAUGACCUAAGCGGCAGUGCCACAAAAAUAUGGCGCUAUCAUUGUUAACUCUAACUCUUUUGGUCUCAAUGUUAUGUAUGUGUGUAUCUCUAUCAAGAUUCAAUAUGAACAAUCCUCUCACAUUGGGUGCAUGACCAUAAAAGAUGUUACUCAUAGAAAUAGAACAACCAUUAUUCUCUGACUUAAAAGAGUAACCGUCUCGCAAUAAACAAGAUCCAGAUAUAAUGUUCAUGCUCAACGCAGGCACUAAAUAACAAUGAUUCAAGUUCAUAACUAAUCCUGAUGGUAACUGAAGUGAAACUGUGGCGACGGCGAUUGCAUCAACCUUGGAACCAUUUCCUACGCGCAUCGUCACUUCAUCUUUCGCCAGCCUUUGUCUAUUCCGCAGUUCCUGUUUUGAGUUGCAAAUAUGAGAAACAGAACCGGUAUCGAAUACCCAGGCACUACUACGAGAGCCGGUUAAGUACACAUCAAUAACAUGUAUAUCGAAUAUACCUGAUUUUUCUUUGGCCGCCUUCUUAUCUGCCAGAUACUUGGGGCAAUUGCGCUUCCAGUGACCCAUACCCUUGCAAUAGUAACACUUUGUUUCAGGCUUAGGUACAGCAUUGGGUUUCUUCGUCGGAUUGGCAACAGGCUUGCCGCUCUUCUUUGAAUUUCCCUUCUUGCCUUUGUCGUUUCUCUUGAAACUAGUGGUCUUAUUCACCAUCAACACUUGAUGCUCUUUACGGAGUUCAGACUCUGCGACUUUCAGCAUCGCAAACAACUCGCCGGGUGACUUGUUCAUCCCUUGCAUGUUGUAGUUCAACACAAAGCCUUUAUAGCUUGGCGGCAGUGAUUGAAGGAUUCUGUCAGUGAUAGCCUCUUGCGGGAGUUUAAUCCCCAGCUCAGCUAGACGGUUUGAGUACCCACACAUUUUGAGCACAUGUUCACUAACAGACGAGUUCUCCUCCAUCUUGCAAGCAUAGAAUUUAUCGGAGGUCUCAUACCUCUCGAUCCGGGCGUUCUUCUGAAAGAUAAACUUCAACUCCUGGAACAUCUCAAAUGCUCCAUGACGCUCAAAGCGACGUUGAAGUCCCGGUUCUAAGCCAUACAAGACUGCACAUUGAACUACUGAGUAGUCCUCCUUACGUGCCAACCAAGCGUUCUUAACAUCCUGAUCAGCCAUAGCGGGUGGUUCAUGUCCUAGCGCAGCAUUAAGGACAUAAUCCUUCUUCCCAGCUUGUAAGAUUAGCUUAAGAUUACGAGCCCAGUCUACAAAGUUGCUUCCAUCAUCUUUCAACUUAGCUUUCUCUAGGAACGUAUUAAAAUUCAGGGUGACAGUCGCGUGAGCCAUGAUCUACAACACAAAUAUAUUCAAAGUGGACUUAGACUAUGUUCAAGAUAAUUAGAGUUUAACUUAAUCAAAUUAUUCGCUAAACUCCCACUCAAAAAGUACAUCUCUCUAGUCAUUUGAGUGGUUCAUGAUACACUUACACUAGCUCAAGUCCGAUCAUCAUGUGAGUUGAGUAUAGUUUCAGUGGUAAGCAUCCCUAUGCUAAUCAUAUCAUCUAUAUGAUUCAUGAUCGACCUUUCGGUCUCAUGUGUUCUGAGGCCAUGUCUGCACAUGCUAGGCUCGUCAAGCUUAACCCGAGUGUUCCGCGUGCGCAACUGUUUUGCACCCGUUGUAUGUGAACGUUGAGUCUACCACACCCGAUCAUCACGUGGUGUCUCGAACCGACGAACUGUAGCAACGGUGCACAAUCGGGGAGAACACAAUUUCAUCUUGAAAUUUUAGUGAGAGAUCACCUCAUAAUGCUACCGUCGUUCUAAGCAAAAUAAGGUGCAUAAAAGGAUUAACAUCACAUGCAAUUCAUAAGUGACAUGAUAUGGCCAUCAUCACGUGCUCCUUGAUCUCCAUCACCAAAGCACCGGCACGAUCUUGUCACCGGCGCCGCACCAUGAUCUCCAUCAAUGUGUCGCCAUCGGGGUUGUCAUGCUACUCAUGCUAUUACUACCAAAGCUACAUCCUAGCAAAAGAGUAAACGCAUCUGCAAGCACAAACGUUAGUAUAAAGACAACCCUAUGGCUCCUGCCGGUUGCCGUACCAUCGACGUGCAAGUCGAUAUUAUCUAUUACAACAUGAUCAUCUCAUACAUCCAAUAUAUCACAUCACAUUGUUGGCCAUAUCACAUCACAAGCAUACCCUGCAAAAACAAGUUAGACGUCCUCUAAUUUUGUUGUUGCAUGUUUUACGUGGUGACCAUGGGUAUCUAGUAGGAUCGCAUCUUACUUACGCAAACACCACAACGGAGAUAUAUGAGUUGCUAUUUAACCUCAUCCAAGGACCUCCUCGGUCAAAUCCGAUUCAACUAAAGUUGGAGAAACUGACACUUGCCAGUCAUCUUUGAGCAACGGGGUUACUCGUAGAGAUUAAACCAGUCUCUCGUAAGCGUACGAGUAAUGUCGGUCCAAGCCGCUUCAAUCCAACAAUACCGCGGAAUCAAGAAAAGACUAAGGAGGGCAGCAAAACGCACAUCACCGCCCACAAAACUUUUGUGUUCUACUCGAGAAGACAUCUACGCAUGAACCUAGCUCAUGAUGCCACUGUUGGGGAACGUCGCAUGGGAAACGAAAAUUUUCCUACGCGCACGAAGACCUAUCAUGGUGAUGUCUAUCUACGAGAGGGGAUGUGUGAUCUACGUACCCUUGUAGACCGUACAGCAGAAGCGUUAGUGAACGCGGUUGAUGUAGUGGAACGUCCUCACGUCCCUCGAGCCGCCCCGCGAACCGUCCCGCGAUCAGUCCCACGAUCUAGUGCCGAACGGACGGCACCUCCGCGUUCAGCACACGUACAGCUCGACGAUGAUCUCGGCCUUCUUGAUCCAGCAAGAGAGACGGAGAGGUAGAAGAUUUCUCCGGCAGCGUGACGGCGCUCCGGAGGUUGGUGAUGAUCUUGUCUCAGCAGGGCUCCGCCCGAGCUCCGUAGAAACGCGGUCUAGAGAAAAAACCAUGGAGGUAUGUGGUCGGGCUGCCGUGGAAAAGUCGUCUCAAAUCAGCCCUAAAACCUCUAUUAGUUUGGGUCUAGUCCAUCACAUGAUUCUCCUAAUGACGUGAUCCAGUUAUCAAGCAACAACACCUUGUUCAUAAUCAGAAGACACUAACUAUCUUUGAUCAACUGGCUAGCCAACUAGAGGCUUGCUUGGGACAGUGUUUUGUCUAUGUAUCCACACAUGUAAAUGAGUCUUCAUUCAAUACAAUUAUAGCAUGGAUAAUAAACGAUUAUCUUGAUACAGGAAUUAUAAUAAUAACUAUAUUUAUUAUUGCCUCUAGGGAAUAAUUCCAACAGCAAGGCCUUGUUUUUGAUUGAGAUGAAACAAGAUAGUAACUUGUUGGAAGUGAUGCAUUUUGAUGUAUGCAGUCCAAUGGGUGCUGAGGUACGCAGUGGAUAUCAUUAUGUUCUUACUUCAAUGAAGAUUUGAGCAGAUACAAGAGUAUUUUCUUAAUGAAUCACAAGUCUGAAAUAUUGAAAAGUUCAAUUAUGUUUCAGAGUGAAGUUCGUCGUAACAAAAGGAUAAACUGUCUACGAUAUGAUCAUAGAAAUGAAUAUAUAAGUUACGAGUUUUGGUACGCAGUUAAAACAAUGUGGAAAUUGUUUCGCAGUUCAUGCCACCUGGAACAUCAUAGUGUGAUGAUGUGUCUGAACGUCAUAGCCACGCACUAUUUGGUAUGGUGCAUACUAUGAUGUCUCUUAUCAAAAUAGCACUAUCGUUUAUGGGUUAUGCAUUAGAGACAACCGCAUUCACUUUAAAAUAGGGCACCGCGUAUUUCCGUUGAGAUGACACGGUAUAUACUGAGGUUUAGAGAAAUCCAAACUGUCGUUUCUUGAAAGUUUGGGGCUUCGACACUUAUGUGAAAAAGUUUCAGUCUGAUAAGCUCGAACCCAAAGCGGAUAAAUGCAUCUUCAUAGGAUAUCCAAAACAGUUGGGUACAUCUCCUAUCUCAGAUCCGAAAGCAAAGUGUUUGUUUCUAGAAACGGAUCCUUUCUCGAGGAAAGGUUUCUCUCGAAAGAAUUGAGUGGGAGGGUGGUAGAACUUGAUGAGGUUAUUGAACCGUCACUUUGACCAGUGUGUAGCAGGGCGCAGGAAGUUGUUCCUGUGGCGCCUACACCAAUUGAAGUGAAAGCUGAUGAGGGUGAUCAUCGAGCAUCGGAUCAAGUUACUACAAACCUUGUAGGUUGACAAGGUCGCGUACUACUGCAGAGUGGUACGGUAACCCUGUCUUGGAGGUCAUGUUGUUGAGCAACAGUGAACCUACGAGUUAUGGAGAAGCAAUGGUGGGCCCGGAUUCCGACAAAUGGCUUGAGGCCAUGAAAUCCAAGAGAGGAUCCAUAUAUAAAACAAAGUGUGGACUUUGGAGGAACUACUUGAUGGUAGUAAGACUAUUGAGUAAAGAUGGAUCUUUGUAAGGAAGACAGACGACGAUGGUGAUAAGUCACUAUUAAGAAAAGCUCGACUUGUCGCAAAGAUGUUUCUGACAAGAUCAAACAGUUGACUAUGAUGAGACUUUCUCACUCGUAGCGAUGCUAAAAGUCUGUUGGAAUUAUGUUAGUAGUUGCUGCAUUAUUUAUGAAAUAUUGCACAUAGGAUGUCAAAACAUUGUUUCCUCAACGGUUUCCUUGAGCAAACAUUGUAUGUGAUACAACCAGAAGGUUUUGUCGAUCCUAAAGAUACUAACAAGUAUGCAAGUUCCAGUGAUCCUUCAAUGGUCUCGUGCAAGCAUCUCGGAGUUGGAAUAUACACUUUGAUGAGGUGAUCAAAGAUUUUGGGUUUGUACAAGGUUUAUGAGAAACUUGUAUUUCCAAAGAAGUGAGUGGGAGCACUAUAGAAUUUCUAAUAAGUAUAUGUGGUUGACAUACUGUGGAUCAGAAGUAAUGUAGAAUUUCUGUAAAGCAUACAAGGUUGUUUGAAAGGAGUUUUCAAAGGAAUACCUGGAUUGAGCUACUUGAACAUUGAGCAUCAAGAUCUAUGGAGAUAGAUCAAAAGGCUUAAUAGAAGUUUCAACAAAAUGCAUGCCUUGACAAGUUUUGAAGGAGUUCAAAAUAGAUCAGCAAAGAAGGAGUUCUUGGUUGCGUUGUGAGGUGUGAAUUUGAGUAAGACUCAAAACCCGACCACGGCAGAAUAAAGAGAAUAGACGAAGGUCGUCUUCUAUGCCUUAGCCGUAGACUCUAAAGUAUGCCAUGCUGAGUACCGUACCUGAUGUGUGCCUUGCACUCUGUUGAGAGGUACAGAGAGUGAUCCAUGAUUGAAUCACUAGCAGCGGUCAAAAUUUAUCCUUAGUAACUGAUAGACUAAGGAAUUUUUCUCGAUUAUGGAGGUGGUUAAAGAGUUCAUCGUAAAGGGUUACGUCGAUGCAAGUUUUGACACUAAUCCGAAUAACUAUGAGUAGUGAAACGGAUUCGUAUAGUAGAGUAGAUAUUUGUAGUAUUUCCGAAUAGCACAUAGUAGCAACAUCUAUAAGAUGACAUAAAGAUUUGUAAAGAACACACGGACCUGAAAGUUUCAGAACCGUUGACUAAAACCUCUCUCAUGAGCAAGAGAGGAUCCAUAUAUAAAUAUAUGGGUGUUGGAUUCGUUGGAAUCACAUGGUGAUGUGAACUAGAUUAUUGACUCUAGUGCAAGUGGGAGACUGUUGGAAAUAUGCCCUAGAGGCAAUAAUAAAUUAGUUAUUAUUAUAUUUCUUAGUUCAUGAUAAUCGUUUAUUACCCAUGCUAUAAUUGUAUUGAAUAAAGACUUAUAUACAUGUGUGGAUACAUAGACAAAACACUGUCCCUAGCAAGCCUCUAGUUGGCUAGCCAGUUGAUCAAAGAUAGCCAGGGUCUUUUGAUUAUGAACAAGGUGUUGUUGCUUGAUAACUGGAUCACGUCAUUAGGAGAAUCACCUGAUGGACUAGACCCAAACUAAUAGACGUAGCAUGUUGAUCGUGCCAUUUUGUUGCUACUGUUUUCUGCGUGUCAAGUCUUUGUUCCUAUGACCAUGAGAUCAUACAACUCACUGACACCGGAGGAAUGCUUUGUCUGUAUCAAACGUCGCAACGUAACUGGGUGACUAUAAAGAUGCUCUACAGGUAUCUCCGAAGGUGUUAGUUGAGUUAGUAUGGAUCAAGACUGGGAUUUGUCACUCCGUGUGACGGAGAGGUAUCUCGGGGCCCACUCGGUAAUACAACAUCACACACAAGCCUUGCAAGCAAUGUGACUUAGUGUAAGUUGCGGGAUCUUGUAUUACGGAACGAGUAAAGAGACUUGCCGGUAAACGAGAUUGAAAUAGGUAUGCGGAUACUGACGAUCGAAUCUCGGACAAGUAACAUACCGAAGGACAAAGGGAAUGACAUACGGGAUUAUAUGAAUCCUUGGCACUGAGGUUCAAACGAUAAGAUCUUUUUAGAAUAUGUAGGAUCCAAUAUGGGCAUCCAGGUCCCGCUAUUGGAUAUUGACCGAGGAGUCACUCGGGUCAUGUCUAUAUAGUUCUCGAACCCGCAGGGUCUGCACACUUAAGUUUCGACGUUGUUUUAUGCGUAUUUGAGUUAUAUGGUUGGUUACCGAAUGUUGUUCGAAGUCUCGGAUGAGAUCACGGACGUCACGAGGGUUUCCGGAAUGGUCCGGAAACGAAGAUUGAUAUAUAGGAUGACCUCAUUUGAUUACCGGAAGGUUUUCGGAGUUACCGGAAAUGUACCGGGAAUGACGAAUGGGUUCCGGGUGUUCACCGGGGGGGGGCAACCCACCCCGGGGAAGCCCAUAGGCCUUGGGGGUGGCGCACCAGCCCUUAGUGGGCUGGCGGGACAGCCCAAGAAGGCCCUAUGCGCCAUAGGACCCCCCCCCAAAAAGGAGGUGGGAAAAAGGGGAAGGACUCCUCCUUCCAAACCUAGUUGGAUUCAGUUUGGAAGGGGAGGACUCCCCCCCUUGGCUCGGCCGAACCCCUUGGGGGUCCUUGGACCCCAAGGCAAGGCUCCCCCUCUUCCCCCUAUAUAUACGAAGGUUUUAGGGCUGAUUUGAGACAACUUUGCCACGGCAGCCCGACCACAUACCUCCAUGGUUUUACCUCUAGAUCGCGUUUCUGCGGAGCUCGGGCGAAGCCCUGCUGAGAUUAGAUCACCACCAACCUCCGGAGCGCCGUCACGCUGCCGGAGAACUCAUCUACCUCUCCGUGUCUCUUGCUGGAUCAAGAAGGCCGAGAUCAUCGUCGAGCUGUACGUGUGCUGAACGCGGAGGUGCCGUCCGUUCGGCACUAGAUCGUGGGACGGAUCGCGGGACAGUUCGUGAGCCGGAUCGAGGGACGUGAGGACGUUCCGCUACAUCAACCGUGUUUCUUAACGCUUCUGCUGUGCGAUCUACAAGGGUACGUAGAUCGAAUAUCCCCUCUCGUAGAUGGACAUCACCAUGAUAGGUCUUCGUGCGCGUAGGAAAAUGUUUGUUUCCCAUGCGACAUUCCCCAACAGUUGUAUCAUAGACAAGCUUAGUUUUCCUACUAGGUGUAGUAGCGCUCUCAUGAAGAGUCUUUGAAAGAGACCUCAUGGCUACAUCCACCAACCAUUAUCUCAACGAUAAUGUUUCUUGUGUUGCCCGGAUGCAAACAUGUUACACAAUAAGCAAUAUCACUAUAUUGCAUAUCUUGCAAGACAAAUCAUGUGACUGAUUUGCUCACGAAGUCUCUACCAACUUUUAUAUUCUAGAACUAUGUUCACGGAAUUGGUAUAUGACGGCUUCGAAAUUUGCAAGAAUCGGGGAGAGUAUCUUCCUGAAUUGUUCAUGUUCAAUGCAUCAUAUUAUACUCUUUUCCCCUUCAUGAGUUUACUAUACAUGCUCUCAUAAAGAUUUUUAAUGAGGUAAUAUCAACAUGAGAUUAAAUGUCAUACUUUCAUUUUUCCCCACCGAGGUUUUUAGAAAAGUAUAUAUGACAUAUUUAUUGUCCUCUUAAUUCUAUGGGCUUUCCCAUAUUGAGUUGGAAGAGGCAAUAAUCAUUAUAGGUUGCAACGUUUUCUCCUUAUUUUUUCCACUGGGUUUGAAGGAGUUUUGGCAACAUAUCAAACAUUAUACUCCUCAUAUUUUUUCCACGGGGUUUUUGGAGGAGCCUCUAAUCAAGAUGAUGAUACUGGAUGGACAAGUGUAGAUUAGGGGGAGUGUUAAAGUUUAAUUAAACAUGUGUUAAUUAUGGGGUAAUCUUCCCUUGUAACUGCCAUAUCUCCCGAACAGAUGCCUCUUCAUUGCAUCUCUUCUCCUUGUAUAUAUAUCCAGAAUCAUCUAAUGAAAGAGAGAUAGAAUUCAUUUUCAAACACUUGUCAGGGGGUGAGAUAUGUAUUGACAGCAACGUAAAUAAAGAUCAUAAACGCGUUCUAUAUUUCUACUGAAAUCGACAAGUCGUGACAACGUGUCCCAAAGCGAAUAGCAGCAGUACGUAGAAAACACAGUACGAAUCUGGUUGACAUGGACAUGCACUAGCGAUGUACGAUUGGAGUGAGGCCAUGCAUGGAGCUUGAAUUCAAGUUGUGUUACAUUAUGAUGACGUUCAUAAUAUCGACCAGCAGGGGUUGAAUUAAACUUUAGCCGGUACGUGUUCCGCGCUUACGACCAAUUAGUUUGAGUUGCAUACUGCACAAGGCCACUCGGCACAUCGUCUGCUAGUAAGGGCAUGUACACCGAGUAGCCCCAGGGGUGCUGCCCCAUAGGUUUGGGUGGUCCAGGUAGGUUCGGGUGGUGCUUCAAACAUGUCAGGGGAUCUUCUGCAGGAGGCAGCCUCUUGGGCAGAAAAAGUACAAAAAUGAAAAAAUGUAAGGCAAAAGAUUAUGACAUUGGACCCAUAAUAUAGAAGACAUAAACUUUUGAUGAUGUGACUGAAAAAGUUAUUUUCCGUGUCUAGCUGGAUGCAUCGGGGACGGCACCUACCACUGCCCCAGUGCUCAUGCCCUAACUGCCUAUAGUUUGUGACUUUUUUUUUGAAACGGACAAAUUAACUUUGGUUAUUACUAACUCCGUCCGAUGUUACUUGUCACUCAAGUGGAUGUAGUAAUAUGACUGAUUUCGUUUUUUGCUAGGACGAUGAGAAGGAAAGGACCGACGAUCAACAACGAAACCAUCAAAGCCACGUGUCAGCAUGCAUCCAUGCAUAUGAUUAUGAUCAGUCUCGUCAUCUUGAGACAGCACCAAAACGCUCCGACACAUAAUCCACGAUGAGGCCUUGUUUAUCAUUUCGUCAAGAUUCAUAGCAAAAGCGAGAUCACAUCUCAAGUUUAAUACUCACUACACACACCCUUGAGGCCUUGACAGGUGUCCAGCUCGACUGCCACAUGUGCAAGAUAAGUCUCUCAACCUCUCCUGCUCUUGCCUGACGUGUCACGAUAAUAAUGGAGUCAACGCGAGGUUGACAAACACGCCGAGUAUAUGGAAAUCAGUUAUUCAGUUCAAGUGCAGUGCAGAACGAGGGUAGGCGAGGACACAGAGUUUUUGAGCCCGAGCUCAAAUGGGCUAGGAUGAACAGUGAUUUUUAAAUAAAAGUAAACUAAAUAAAAAUUAAAAAUACUUGCGGUAAACAUUUGGAAUUCUGAGUUUUUGAANUUCUGAGUUUUUGAAUGAUUUUUUUUAAUUUUUUUCGAUUUUAUUGUAGCCAUGCUCAUUUGAGCAACUAGCGCACGACUGAUCUCCGGAGAUCCUCGUGACAUGAGCCGGUAAAUUUUACUCCCUUUAUUUUUAAAAAUAUAUGUCUUUCUAAAGGUUUCAUUAGAAGACUACAUACAGAUGUAUAUAGACAUAUUUUAAAGUAUAGAUUCGCUUAUUUUAUUUUAUAUGUAGUCUGCUAAUGAAAUUUAAAAAAAUAAUUAUAUUUAGGAACGAAGGGAGUAGUAAUGUGUAGACGGCUGCAGCCGACUGGUGCAAGAUUUUGCUGGUGAACAAUGACGCUUCUCUCCACCACACGCUUCAUAUCCGCUUGUCUGAUAUGAACAAUAAUAUAAAGGCAUUCUGGUCAGACUUGAUUAUCCAUCUGCUCCAGUUUUAAAUGGCCUUAUAUAGCGAUAAUUCAUUUCUGAGUCCGGGCUCAUCUGCAUUCUUAUUGAGUAAAAAAAUCAAAAUAAAUAUAUAUUUUUUAACAAAUUUUAAUUUUUAAUAAAUAUAAUUUUUUUGCAUGAGGUUCGUUUCAAAUUUUAUACUCCCUCCGUUCCAAAAUAUUUGUCUUUUUAAAUAUUUCACUACGGACUACAUACGAAUAUAUAUAGACAUAAUUUAGAGUAUAAAUUCACUUAUUUUGCUCCGUAUGUAGUCCGUAGUUGAAUCUCUAAAAAGAUAAAUAUUUAGGNNNNNNNNNNNNNNNNNNNNNNNNNNNNNNNNNNNNNNNNNNNNNNNNNNNNNNNNNNNNNNNNNNNNNNNNNNNNNNNNNNNNNNNNNNNNNNNNNNNNUGGGGUUUAAGCUUCUGUCACUCCAGCAACCCAUCAUCUACUUACUACUUCCCAAUGCUUUCCUCUAGGCCCAAAUAUGGUGAAGUGUUAUGUAGUUGACGUUCACAUAACACCACUAGAGGAAAAGACAACAUACAACAUAUCAAAAUACCGAACGAAUGUCAAAUUCACAUGACUAUUAUUAACAUGAUUUAUUCCAUGUCUUCGAGAACAAAAGUAACUACUCAUAAAACAUAAUCAUAAUCAUGAUCAGAGGUGCAAUGAAUAGCAUCAAGGAUCUGAACAUAAACUCUUCCACCAAGUAAUCCAACUAGCAUCAACUACAAAGAGUAAUCAACACUACUAGCAACCUUACAAGUACCAAUCGGAGUUGCGAGACGAAGAUUGGUUACAAGAGAUGAACUAGGGGUUGGAGAGGAGAUGGUGCUGAUGAAGAUGUUGAUGAAGAUGCCUCCCCUCCGACGAGAGGAGUGCUGGUGAUGACGAUGACGACGAUUCCCCCCUCCGGAAGGGAAGUUUCCCCGACAGGAUCGUCCUGCCGGAGCUCUAGAUUGGAUUUGCUCAAGUUCCGCCUCGUGGCAGCGGCGAAACCACAAAAAAGCUCCCGAUUAAUUUUUUUUGGACCACGAUGCUUCAUAUAGCAAAAGAGGGGGGCUAGUGGGCCGUCAGGGAGCCCACAAGCCCCCACUCCGCCACCAGGGGGUGGCAGUGUCAAGGCUUGUGGCGCCCUGGCAGCCCCCCUCCGGUAGUUCUUUCGCCCAGUAUUAUUUAUAUAAUCCAGAAAAAAUCCAUGUAACUUUUCAGGGCAUUUGGAGAUGUGCAGAAUAGUGGAUUAGGAUUUGCUCCUUUUCCAGUCAAGAAUUCCAGCUGCCUGAAUUCUCCCUCUUCAAAUAGACCUUGCAAAAUAAGAGAGAAAAGGCAUAAAUAUGGUACCACAAGUAAUAUAACAACCCAAGAAACAACAAAUAUCAACAUGAAAGCAUGAUGCAAAAUGGACGUAUCAGAGGUGAGCACCAUGAAGCUCUGCCAUGACCGGUCAAAAAAACAGAGCAGUGCACUGCUCUGCUCGCGUGAAGGGGGUAUAUAUAGGCCAACCAUUGGUCCCGGUUUGUGGCUAGAACUGAGACUAAAGUUCAAUAUUUGGUCCCGGUUCCACCCACAAACCGGGACUAACGGUUGUGGGCCAGGAGCGAGGCACAUUGGUCCCGGUUCAUAUCUGGAACCGGGACCAAAGGGGUCAUACGAACCGGGACCAAUGGCCCACGAGGCCCGGCCGACGACCUGGCCUCACGAACCGGGACCAAUGCCCCCAUGGGUCCCGAUUCGUGAGUGAACGGGGACUAAUGGGAUUUCAUCAAGUGGACCAAAGCCCUCUUUUAUUCUAGUGGAUUGAUUCCCGAUGGAAUCUCACUUCUGAAUCAAAAUGCAAAAUGCAACAUAUAUUGUGUAAAAAUUAGUAAGUCACCAUACGACUUAUAGUUGUCAGUACAUAUGGUACAACCGACGUAGUGAGUUCCUCAUACACAAGGAUUACUCCUACAAUGAUGAUUAUUCAUGUUUGUGUGUCUGCAAUGACGACACAUGUAAUCAUCUAAAUGAUGGAGUUUAAAAUGAAGGAUUUGGGUAAACCAAAAUACCGCUCGUACUACAACUUGAGCACCUUCAUUCAUACAUUAUGGUAUACUAUGUUGUCUAUAUUCAAAAUAUAUUGAAGAAAUUCAUUGUGGACAAAUCUGUUCCAUCCAUGACUCUCAUGGUAGUUCAUUCUCUAGACGUAGAGAAAGAUCUAUUUACACCAAGAGAUGAUGGAAAUGAGAUAUUGGGACUCAACGUUCCAUAAUGCCAUUGGAUACACCAAACAAAAUUGGUUGGGACUCAAGAAUAUCUAUCGAUAUCUCCAAAGGCAUCAAACAUCUUAUCCUAGUUUUUCAAGUUUUAGAGAAAUCUGAACACCAAUACCAUUGGAUAAAUUGAUCAGAUCCCUGCUAUGUCGGAUCAUAGACAAGCUUAGUAUUCCUACUAGAUGUGGUAGUAAUCUCAUGAGAGUGUUUGAAACAGACCUCGUGGCUAUAUCCACCAACUAUUAUCUCAACGAUAAUGUUUCUUGUGUUGUCUGGAUGCAAACAGGUUACAUAAUAAGCUAUAUCUCUAUAUUGCAGAUCUUGCAAGUUUAAUCAUGUGACUGAUUUACUCACGAAGUCUCUACCAACUUUUACAUUCCAGAACUAUAUUCAUGGAAUUGGUAUGUGACGGCUUCGAAAUUUGCAAGAAUCAGGGGGAGUAUCUUCCUUAAUUAUUCCUCUUCAAUGCAUCAUAUUAUACUCUUUUUCCCUCCAUGAGUUUACUAUAUAGGUUCUCAUGAAGGUUUUUAAUGAGGUAACAUCAAUACAAGAUCAUAUGUCAUACUUUCAGUUUUCCCACCGUGGUUUUUAGAAAAGUAUAUAUGACAUAUUUAUUGUCCUCUAAAUUCUAUGAAUUUCUCAUAUCGAGUUAAAAGGCACAAUAACCAGUAUAUGUUGCAUCAUUUUCUCCUUAUUUUUUCCAUCGGGUUUAAAGGAGUUUUAGCAACAUGUCAAACAUAUAUGACCUCAUUUUUUGCACAGGGUUUUGGAGGAGUUUUUAAGAUGACAAGGCUUACAAUAACAAGCAUGGAUUAGGGGGAGUGUUAGGAUAGAAUUAAUUCUAUUAAUCCCUACUUUUCCUAACCGAGACGGUUGCCUCGUGUCCCUUCGGACGCACCCCUUCGGGGGAUAUNNNNNNNNNNNNNNNNNNNNNNNNNNNNNNNNNNNNNNNNNNNNNNNNNNNNNNNNNNNNNNNNNNNNNNNNNNNNNNNNNNNNNNNNNNNNNNNNNNNNAGAUUGUCAAGUUUAGAUGUAACUACAAACUGUUAAUAAGUAGACUGUCCUUGAAACCCAUCUUAUGUUCUAGCUUGUAGUUAAAGGAUGGAGUACAAAAUCGUCAUAGAAUUGCAUUGAGGACAGAUCUAAAAUUAGUCAUCUAUAUCACAGUAGAUUGGCUUAAGGGCCCUCGGUGAAGGAUCUUAUGAGACCAUCAUGCACUGUGAAAUGCAGUGACCAUUCUUAACUUGUUAUGGAUAUGUCCAAUGACCAUUCUUAACUUGUUAUGGAUAUGUCUCAUGCCCAUGCACCCUGACCUUUAUGAAUGCUUAAAAGCAUACCGUGCUACCAUUAGGUAAUGCGCUACUUGAAAAGUCAGAUUCACCACUCUCUUGUUCGAUACCCAAGCACAAAAGGGUUCAAUAAAACAAGUCUCCCUUGGCAAAUAGGGUUUCUCCCCGCUUAUAUAAUAAAUCCACGAACACGAUCACAAAGUAAAUGCUGGGAUGAACAACACAUCAAGCCCAAAAGAAAAAGGAAGAAAAGAUAAAUGCAAAGAAUGGCAGUUCAGCAUGAACAGANNNNNNNNNNNNNNNNNNNNNNNNNNNNNNNNNNNNNNNNNNNNNNNNNNNNNNNNNNNNNNNNNNNNNNNNNNNNNNNNNNNNNNNNNNNNNNNNNNNNCCCUCUCUGCUGCCGCGCCAUGCCGCCGGCCCUCUCCCUUCCUCUCUUCUGCGUCGCCGCCGGCCCUCUCCCUUCCAUUUUUCAUUCCAUGCCUCCCAACCAAACACUCGAACGGAACCAUCCCGUUCCACUUUUUUGCUCAUACCAAACACAGGAACGGAACCGACCCGUUCCUCUGGAAUGGAACCAUUCCAUUCCAUGACAGUUGGUUCUCCAACCAAACACACCCUUAGUUAGCCUUCGUGGAUAUCCAUGGGACUAGCCUCCUCACGAGAGCAACUAGUUAGCGAACACUUCUUCGAGAGCCCCACAAUGAUCACUCCCACACGCCGUCACUUAGCGCGUUCUCAGUCGCUGCCACGUGUCAUGCUUUGAACAUUUGCUUCGGAUUUCAUUUUUUAUUUCCCCGCACACAUUUUUUUGGCUUUUUUGAUUGGAUUUUUUCCCGGUUUUUUUGGGGGGGGGGGGGGGGGGUUUUGUUUUUUUAUUGGUCUUCAUUAGCUUUUUGAUGGAAAAAGAUAAAAAAGUGCGGGAAUAAACGGGAAUAAAUGAUACACAUGAGUGCGUCACUUGUUUCAACUUAAAAAAGUAUGAUUGAUCUUUGAAAGGAGUAUCCCUUAAUUAAUGAUUUCACUUUCUAGGAGCAACUCCGAUGGACAUUCUUAUUUACGCGAGCUACAAGUACAGCAUGGAAUCACAUGCCCAGAAGCUCAAUAGCGGUGGCGAGUUGACAAUCAUUGUAUGGCUUAGGCUUGUUAUAAUGGGGAAUAUCAUAUGUUAGUAUCAUACAUACGAUACUAGUGUAUGAUAUUACAUCUGUAAUGCAUANNNNNNNNNNNNNNNNNNNNNNNNNNNNNNNNNNNNNNNNNNNNNNNNNNNNNNNNNNNNNNNNNNNNNNNNNNNNNNNNNNNNNNNNNNNNNNNNNNNNAUAUAUAUGUGAAGACCAAUGUAUCGUCAGUUCCAUCUGAUUCUGAUAAACAGAAAAUGCCUUUUGUGCCUGUUUACUCAUGUUCUCUCACAUGCUAUCAUAUCCUGGUCGCGGAUAUGCAGCCUGAAUCCAUAAAAUUGUUUGUCUCUCUUCCAGCAACACGCUAGACAACGAUAUCACACACGCAAAAAGGCUCCGCCGGCCCAUUGGUGAUAGUUGGUAAAAUAUACUUCCUCCGUUUCUUUUUAGUCUGCAUAUAAGAUUUGAUCAAAGUUAAACUUCAUAAACUUUGACUAAAUUUAUAAAACUAAAUAUCAACAUUUAUAGNCAUUUAUAGUAUGAAAUCAAUAUUAGUAGAUGCAUAAUGAUAUUAAUUUCCAUAGCAUAUAGGUCUAGUAUUAUAGAUGUUGAUAUCUUUUGAUAUAUAUUUGGUCAAACUUUGUAUUACUUGACUUUGAUCAAAUCACUAAUGGGGACGGGGCCUUUAGCCCCGGCCCGUAAGGGGCUUUAGUCCCGGUUCACCAACCGGGACUAAAGGGGCGGGACUAAAGGCCUAACCUUUAGUCCCGACCCUGUUACAAGCCGGGACUAAAGGUGCUUCACGUGGGCGCCCCGUAGCGCCUCAGGACAUUUAGUCCCGGUUCGUUACACGGACCGGGACUAAAGAGUUUCAGAUUUUGCUUAUUUUUGGGUUUUUUUUUGAAUGAAAUUACUUUUGGGUUUUAGGGUUUUAGGGUUUAGGUGUUCGGGAGAUUAACGUGAUGCCUCGUUUGGUGUUCGGGAAUUAGUUUUCAUAUAGUUUAAAUAGAAAUAAUUAUGCAUAUAUAUAUAUAAUUAACUUAUCUUACAAGCGAGCAUACACUAGUGGGGACGGGGCCUUUAGCCCCGACCCGUAAGGGGUUUUAGUCCCGGUUCACCAACCGGGACUAAAGGGGCGGGACUAAAGGCCUAACCUUUUCGUCCCGACCCUCUUACACGCCGGGACUAAAGGUGCUCCACGUGGGCGCCUCGUAGCGCCCCAGGGGCAGGCCCUUUAGUCCCGGUUCGUUACACGGACCGAGACUAAAGAUUUUCAUAUNNNNNNNNNNNNNNNNNNNNNNNNNNNNNNNNNNNNNNNNNNNNNNNNNNNNNNNNNNNNNNNNNNNNNNNNNNNNNNNNNNNNNNNNNNNNNNNNNNNNUAAGUGUGAUGCCUUAUUUAUUCACAUGAUUUUCUUGCAUCAACAAAGACGGCGUGCCACAGGCAUAAUACUUGCAGUUUGCCUGAUGUUCAUCCUGGAUUCGUUUAUAACCUAGUCAUGUGUAAUAAUCAUUCUUGAUAUAGGGCUGACCAGUAAAAGACUAAAAGGCAGAGCUUUUGAAGGCUGACUCUUCAGGUUGUUAUUAUUCAUAUAUAUGUACUACAAAAGGCCAAAGAGCAAUCAAGCUCUUUACCCUGCAAAAGAAAUGUGGAAAUUGUAGCUCCCAUCGCCGGCCGGAAACUUCGGCAACCCCAUUGCUGCCGCCAUUGUUUCUGUGUGCGAGUGCAGCAAGAAAUAGUCAAAGUUUGGGCCCUGUGAUGGUUUGUAGGUACACUUGCAGAGAGAAAAGUUUGGGUAGCAUCUCCUUAAUCUAAUCUACUUGCAACUGCAACUUUAGUCUAAUCUGCAAGUGUACGUACCCGGCCUAGUAAAAAAAUUGAGAAUAAAAUAAAUAAAUAAAUACGGACUACUAGUGAUCCCCAUUAGUACAUACUUGAUCCUGCCAGCUUAGCACUGAGUUCGGUCAGAUCCAUCUACAUCUACAACUAUAAACCACGAACGAAGCUUCCUUAUCCCUUUCUUAAGAAGCAGAUCAAACUGAAACUUGUGGUAGACUUUGGAUGUCGAUCCACACUGGUUAGCUAGUGUGGAGUGACAUCCGCUGGCCACUGCACCUAUGUGCUUUUCUCCGUUAGUUUCCUUCGCCCCUCCCUCGUCUCAAGAUCGGCUGGGUUUCUGAAUUCGGAGCUGCAACCUAACUCGCACACAGCCGGUAUGUAAUUAUGCAUACACCAUCGCUUGUCAAUUGCAGUCGAUCGCGAGCAUUAGUUACAUAUAAGUACAUUUGUGAGGGGAGUGUGCCUUUUGCUAUGCGUAUGAAAAUUCACAUGUCUACUGUGUGCACUGUACAUUUUGUGCAAUUCUAGAUUACAAUCACUUGUGAGUACUUCAGGCGACUGAGUAUUAGCAAAUUCACGGACGAAAUCCUGCAUUUAUCAUACAUGAUAAUGUACUGUUAUCUAUACAUUCCUUUUGGUUUAUUACUCCUGAUCAUGUGCCUGAAACAAAGCCGCGGAAAUUCAUCCAAUUCCAGGCAGUGCAGUGGAGACCAGAGUGUCAAGAGGAGAAGAUCAAUUAGUAUGGCUGCAGGGCCGCUGGUGCUAUGGAACCACCGGUCGAUGCAGAUCCUGGUCCUCCUCAGCCUUGGGCUCCAGCUCGUCCUCUUCGUCUUUGCCGGGAUCCGCCGGCGUCAGACGCUCCCCGUGCGGAGGUUCCUCCUGUGGCUAGCGUACCUCAUAGCCGACUCCACCGCCGUGUACGCCGUCGGCCACCUGUCAUUUGGCAGCGCCGUGCGUGAGAACCAGCUCGUCGCGUUCUGGGCGCCGUUCCUGCUGCUCCACCUCGGCGGCCCGGACAACAUCACCGCCUAUGCGCUCCAGGACAACCAGCUCUGGCUCCGACACCUCACCAUCCUCAUCGUGCAGGUCCUCGGAGCGGGCUACGUCCUCAAGAAGCACAUCACCGUCGCCCGCGGCCAGGACGGGAAGCUGCUCCUGAUCGCCUCCAUUUUGAUGUUCGCCCUCGGCUUGGUCAAGUACGGGGAGAGGACGUGGGCGCUCAAGUGCAGCACCCUGGAGAGCAUCGGCGCCUCCGUCAAGACCCAGCCGCCCGCCAUCCACAACCAUAACCAUCCUCAGGACAUAGCCACGGAGGGGGAGUUCCACCUGCGACGAGCCCACUCGCUGUUCCACAUCUGCAAGCGCGCCAUCGGCGACUCCUCAGUGGUCGAGGAGGAUUCCGUGGAGAUCACCGUGCAUUUCGGUACAGCAGUACAGGGCGUGGAGCUGUGGACGCUGAUGGAGAUCGAGCUUUCCCUCAUGUACGACGUCCUCUACACCAAGGCAGCCGUCAUCCACACCUUCUUCGGCUACCUGGUCCGCUUCGUCGGGCCUCUUAGCGCCAUCACCUCGAUGCUGCUGUUCCAGUUCACCUCCAAGGACGGCUACGACAGAGCCGACGUCGCCAUCACCUACGUCCUGCUGGGCGGCGCCGUGUUCAUGGAGACGGCGUCGCUCCUGAACGCGUUGGCGUCAUCCUGGACCUUUGCGUUCCUGAGCACUACCAGGUGGAGCUGGCUUCGGUACACCACCCUGUGCAACGAGAGAUGGGACAGGCUCCGGCGCGCCGUCGUGUGGCUUCGUAAUCUUGUCAAGGGACGAGUUGGCGGUGACAGUAGGUACAAGUCAAGAAGGUGGUCAUACACCAUCGGGCAGUACAACUUGCUGCAUUUCUGCACGCGCCCCGCCGACAUGCCGCUCGGUAGGCUGGCCAAGGCAAUGGGACUCGACGAGUGGUGGAACCGGAAGCACUACUCGGGGACCGUCGAGAUGUCUGGUGAGAUCAAGUUCCGUAUCGCUCUCUACAUGAAGCGGUUGUACAGCAAGGGGAGGUUCAGCACGGGCAUGCUAAGGAAGAAGUGGGGCGAGGAUCCGCUGGAGAGCCGUGGGCUUUACCACAAAGGCAUCCUCAAGGACUCCCUCGGCUUCGAGUUCCAGGAGGGCAUCAUCAUCUGGCACAUCGCCACCGAGAUCUUCCUUGCCAAAAGCAAGAGAGCCAAGGCAGUGGAUGCUGCGCCUGAGGUGCAUUUUAUUAGGAUGAUGUCCGACUAUAUGAUGUUCCUAUUAGUGGAUCGUCCCUACAUGCUGCCAGGACAGCCCCAAAAGAAGUUGUACCGGCGGACCUGCGAGAGGCUGGUCACCAUGCGAUCGGCUGAUCCUAGGUACCCGAGUCGUGCACGCAUCACGGAUCUGUUCUGUGUGUAUGAUGGCCCAAACUCUAGCACUUCCAGGGUCGCGGAGAGAGUGGAGCUUGCAAACAACUUGUACGAUGAGUACCAAGAUCGAGAGUAUGGCGAAGUUGCUCCUCGCCUCAUUCACAUGGCUCAACUUGCCAAAGAGCUACUGGAGAAGGAGAGGGAUGGCACGACCGACUCUUUGAAGCUUGUCCUGGAAGUGUGGAUGGACAUUCUUAUUUACGCGAGCCACAAGUGCAGCAGGGAGUCCCACGCCCAGAAGCUCAAUAGUGGUGGCGAGUUGACAACCAUCGUGUGGCUUAUGGCAGAACACAUAUACCUAGCGUCGGCCCCAGAAAGAGAUGAUGUAAUAUAAUGUUUCUGAUAACAAUUGCAUCCUACUUCAUGUAUUUAUUUAUUUUUUGAGAAUCCUACUUCAUGUAUUUAUAUUGUUUGUGCAUAAGUUACAUAUAGUUAUAAAAAAGGGUAUUCAACAAUGUGAGAGUGAGGGUCAGACUACACAUGGACGUACAUGGGCCGCCCAGUGCUCACUUAAUUAGCCUUUGUGGACAUCCGUGGGACUAGCCUCCUCACCAGUAAAUUUUGAAAUAGUUUUAGUACAGGCUCUUCAGUGAGGAAAUACACUUUGAUUUCUGGUUGUAUUUCAUCGCGAGGGCCAAAUUUCACGUGGACAUGCGCCGCCCAGUGUCUACUUAAAAGCCCACUUAAGGUGUGUUUGGUUGCUGUCAUGGGUUGGAAUAUCACGGGUCGGACCCGUUCCUAGUCCUCGCUCCUGCGUUUGGUUUACCAACUGGAACAGAACCCACUCAUUCCAUUUUAGAAAUAUUUCACUCAGAUCCGGAACGUGCUAGUACCACAAAAUUGACGGAAUCACACGGAAAGGCUCGUCUCGCGCAACUCGUCUCCUCCUUCCCCAGCUGCGCCGCUCGAGCUCCUCCUUCCCCAGCUGCGCCGCUCGAGCUCCUCCUUCCCCAGCUACGCCGCCGGCCCCCUCCCUCUCUGCUGCGGCGCUGCGCCGCCAACCCCCUCCCUCUCUGCUGCCGCGCUGCGCUGCCGGCCCUCUCCCUCCCUCUCUGCUGCAUCGCCGCGCCGUCGGCCCCUUCCCUCUCUGCUGCCGCGCCGCCGGCCCCCUCCCUCUCUGCUGCCGCGCCACGCCGCCGGCCCUCUCCCUCCCUCUCUGUUGCGUCGCCGCCUCGCCGGCCCCCUCCCUCUCUGCUGCCGCGCCAUGCCGCCGGCCCUCUCCCUUCCUCUCUUCUGCGUCGCCGCCGGCCCUCUCCCUUCCAUUUUUCAUUCCAUGCCUCCCAACCAAACACUCGAACGGAACCAUCCCGUUCCACUUUUUUGCUCAUACCAAACACAGGAACGGAACCGACCCGUUCCUCUGGAAUGGAACCAUUCCAUUCCAUGACAGUUGGUUCUCCAACCAAACACACCCUUAGUUAGCCUUCGUGGAUAUCCAUGGGACUAGCCUCCUCACGAGAGCAACUAGUUAGCGAACACUUCUUCGAGAGCCCCACAAUGAUCACUCCCACACGCCGUCACUUAGCGCGUUCUCAGUCGCUGCCACGUGUCAUGCUUUGAACAUUUGCUUCGGAUUUCAUUUUUUAUUUCCCCGCACACAUUUUUUUGGCUUUUUUGAUUGGAUUUUUUCCCGGUUUUUUUGUGUUUUGUUUUUUUAUUGGUCUUCAUUAGCUUUUUGAUGGAAAAAGAUAAAAAAGUGCGGGAAUAAACGGGAAUAAAUGAUACACAUGAGUGCGUCACUUGUUUCAACUUAAAAAAGUAUGAUUGAUCUUUGAAAGGAGUAUCCCUUAAUUAAUGAUUUCACUUUCUAGGAGCAACUCCGAUGGACAUUCUUAUUUACGCGAGCUACAAGUACAGCAUGGAAUCACAUGCCCAGAAGCUCAAUAGCGGUGGCGAGUUGACAAUCAUUGUAUGGCUUAGGCUUGUUAUAAUGGGGAAUAUCAUAUGUUAGUAUCAUACAUACGAUACUAGUGUAUGAUAUUACAUCUGUAAUGCAUAGUAUUAUAUAUUAAUAUCAUAAUAUAGUUUAUUUAUUGCCAUGCGUGACACAUAAUAACACAUCAUUUAAUAUGAUGCAUUAUUGUAAUAUGAUAUUCAACUCUUUUUUUCUUCAUUUAAUUAUAUGACACCUCAUCAAAAUUGUCUAGUUGGCAUUCAUGAUACUACCUAUGAUACUCUCAUUACAACUAGCCUUAUGACGGAACACAUAUACCUAGCACCGGCUCCGGAAAGAGAUGAGGUAAUAUAAUGUUUUUGACAAAAAUUGUAUCCUACUUCAUGUAUUUAUUUAUUUUUGAAAAUCCUACUUCAUAUAUUUAUAUUGUUUGUGUAAAGUUACAUAUAAGUAUAGCAAACAGUAUUCCAGAAUGUGAGCGUGAGGGCCAGACUACACUUAAAAGCCCACUUACUUAGCCUUCAUCGACAUCUGUGAGACUUUUACCUAAAAAAUAAAUCCGUGGGACUAGCCUCCUAACUAGUGAAUCUUGAAAGAGUUUUAGUACAGGCUCAUCAGGAGGUACAACUACCGCUAAAUAAAUAAAUAAAUUUCAAAUCAACUAGUGGUUGGAUGGUUAGAGGGACAGUGGUAUCCCUAGCUGAAAGGAUUGAUAUGGUUGACUAGACGGGGGUGAAUAGACAACUAACAAUUUUUUUAAGCUUUUCUUUAACAAAUUAAGUUUAGCAACAAAUAUGUUGUCUCGAUAUGCAACUAAGUGAGCAACCUAUAUGAUGCUAGCAACAAUAAUAACAAGUAAGUAACAAAUACAAGUAAAGGUAGGAAGUAACCACAAGUGGAACCGAUGACGACUAGGAUGUGUUUCCGAAGUUCCUUUCCUUUGAGUGGAAGUACGUCUUCGUUGAAGCGGUGUGGAGGCACAAUGCUCCCCAAGAUUCCACUAAGGCCACAAUAUUUUCCUCACGUCCUCACACAAUACGAUGUGUCGUGAUUCCACUAGUGGUGCCCUUGAAGGAGGCAACCAAACCUUUACAAACAAGGUUGGAGCAAUCUCCAGAAUUGAAUUGGAGGCUCUCAACGAGACCAUGAAGCUUAACCACAAUGGAAUAUGGCUUCGAGGUGACCUCGACCGUCUAGGAUGCUCAAACACCCAAGAGUAACAAGAUCCGCGAGGGAUUGGUGGGGGAAAUCAAAUUUCUCUUGGUGAAAGUGUAGAUCAAGGCCCUCUCAAGCAAACCCAACAUUAUCAACAAGUUUUGUUGGUUAGGGAGAGUGAUCAGGUGAAAAUGGAGCUUGGAGCAACAACGGAGCUUAGGGUUGGGAAAGGUGGUCUUCUCAGGGAAGAAAAACCCCUUUAUAUAGUGGGGGUGAAUCCAACCGUUACCCACUUUCUCUGCCCGCAUCAGAGCAGUACUACUGCUCCAGGGAGAGGUACUAUCGAUGAUAAGAGGUAGUACCGCUCCAGUGAGGGGUGGUACUACCGCUGGGGCACAAGACAGAAAUCAAAGAUGGAGGCAGAGGCCGGUAGUACAGCCGGAGUGGUACUACCACUCAUAAGAGGCAGUACCACCUCCUAUAUCUGCUCAUGAUAUGUUGCAGACCUAGCCCAUAAGUACCAAGGGGUUCUGCGCGGUAGUAACAAGCGGUACUACCGCUUGUUGGGCGGUACUACCGACCUGCAGUACCGCUCCAGGAAACGCUCAGUCCGACACAAAAAAGUGUCGAGACCCAAGGGCAGUGGCACUAGACAACGGAACUAGCUAGACCUCUUCCGCCCUGGAGCGGUAUUACCACCGGCCAAGGCGGUACUACCACUCACAAUAGGUAGUACGCUCAACAGAGCGGUACUACAACUUGGAUCUUUCUAGGCAGGAUAGGGCUAGGAAGGAUGGUCCAUUGAGGUGGGAAAGAGGGUGCGAAGGAAUGAGCACAUGAUGAUUCCACCCAAACCUUUCCGAAGCAGGCCCCUCUUAAUAGUACGGUUUUAACUAAGACUCAAGUCCACCGAUAAUGAAAAGUAAGAGAGAAAACCGUCUCCCUAUAAAUACAUCGAGGGGCAUGAGUCGUCUUGUGCCAAAUGAUGAAAUACCUGAAAGGCUUAGUGCACACGAUUAGUUCGCAAACGCAUUGUCAUCAAUCACCAAAACCUCUAGGGUAUAAAUAUACCUUUACAAUCUCCGCCUUUUUGGUGGAUUGAUGACAACACGAGAUUUGCACAGAAGAUAUAUAUAAGAUAGAAUGCAAACCCCACUCUCUACAAAAAUAGAUAGGCCCCCCUAGAUGUGUGCACUAUUUAAGUAUGCUUUUGGAAUGCAAAGUGCACACACUAGGAUCAACACUCCCCCUAUAUUUUAUAGAUAGACACUACUUGCACUAGGGGAAACUGAAAGUAAUAUAGAUGCAACAAGUGGUGUGAGCAUUAAUAAUAGGGCACAAGAUAAGCAUCUCACAAACUUAAGUCAUAUGAUAAAAUUAAGGUAACAUAUGUCUCACACCAUAUGACAUAACCUCACAAGAGUCCCUUAUCAUCAAAGCCAAGCAAUUUCAUGAACGUCUUCCAGGGAGCAGAAAGCAGCUUACCGUUGGUCAUCCAAGUAAGAGUCCUCUCCGCAUGAGUUCCCAAAUGCACCAUGGCAAACACCAGUAGGAAAAAUCUUAUAGAUAGUGUUGGAAAUAUGCCCUAGAGGCAAUAAUAAAUUGGUUAUUAUUAUAUUUCCUUGUUCAUGAUAAUCAUUUAUUAUCCAUGCUAGAAUUGUAUUGAUCGAAAACUCAAAUACAUGUGUGGAUACAUAGACAACACACUGUCCCUAGUGAGCCUCUAGUUGACUAGCUCGUUGAUCAAAGAUGGUCAAGGUUUCCUGGCCAUAGACAAUUAUUGUCACUUGAUAACGGGAUCACAUCAUUGGGAGAAUGAUGUGAUGGACAAGACCCAAAACUAUGAACGUAGCAUAUGAUCGUGUCAGUUUAUUGCUACUGUUUUCUGCAUGUCAAUGUAUCUGUUCCUAUGACCAUGAGAUCUUGCAAUUCCCAGACACAGGAGGAAUACCUUGUGGGUUAUCAAACAUCGCAACGUAACUGGGUGACUACAAAGGUGCUCUAUAGGUAUCUCCAAAGGUGUUAGUUGGGUUGGCAUGGAUCAAGACUAGGAUUUGUCACUCCGUGUGACGGAGAGGUAUCUCGGGGCCCACUCGGUAAUACAACAUCACAAUAAGACUUGCAAGCAAUGUGACUAAGAAGUUAGUCAUGGGAUCUUUUAUUACGGAACGAGUAAAGAGACUUGCCGGUAACGAGAUUGAACUAGGUAUAGAGAUACCGAUGAUCGAAUCUCGGGCAAGUAACAUACCGAAGGAUAAAGGGAAUAGCAUACAGGAUUAACUGAAUCCUUGACAUAGAGGUUCAACCGAUAAAGAUCUUCGUAGAAUAUGUAGGAGCCAAUAUGAACAUCCAGGUCCCGCUAUUGGUUAUUGACCGGGGAGUGUCUCAGGUCAUGUCUGCAUAGUUCUCGAACCCGCAGGGUCUGCACACUUAAGGUUCGGUGACGUUUUGGUAUAGUUGAGUUAUAGGUGUUGGUGACCAAAGGUUGUUCAGAGUGCCGGAUGAGAACCUGGACGUCACGAGGAGCUCCGAAAUGGUCCGGAGGUAAAGAUUUAUAUAUAGGAAGUCAUGUUUUGGUCACCGAAAAAGUUUCAAUCUCAUCGGUAGUGUACCGGGAGUGCAAGGAGCGUACAGGGGACCGUCGGGAGGAGUGUCACGCCCCAAGGGGCCUUAUGGGUUGUGGGAGGAUACAAACCAGCCCCUAGUGGGCUGACAUAAGCUCCCACUUAGGCCCAUGAGGUUUGAGAAGGAAAAAAACACAAGGUGGAAAGAGUUUCCAAGUGGGAAGGAUGAGUCCUAAUCCUACUAGGAUUGGAGGAGGACUCCUCCUCUCCUCCUUGCGCCAAGGAAAGGGGCCAGCCCUAGGGCGCAGACUCCUCCCUCCCUCCUCCUAUAUAUACUAGAGGUUUUUGAGGGUUUUGAGACACAUAAAAAAAACCACGUGUUGCCCUCUCUCUCUUGAUCUGUUUCUCCUCUAGUCUAGUUUCAGCAGUGCUUUGGCGAAGCCCUGCUGGAAUAGUUUCACCACUACCACCACCACGCCGCCGUGCUGGAGAACUCAUCUACCUCUCCGCCCUCUUUCUGGAUCAAGAAGGCGGAGAUCGUCAUCGAGUUGUAUGUGUGCUGAACGCGGAGGUGUCGUCCGUUCGACACUAGAUCGGGAUGGAUCGUGAUGGGAUCGUGGGACGGAUCGUGAUGAGAUCACGGGACGGGCAGCGAUUUGGAUCGCGAAGAUGUUCCACUACAUCAACCGCGUUAUAUACGCUUCCGCUUAGCGAUCUACAAGGGUACGUAGAUGCACUCUCUCCUCUCAUAGAUGAUCAUCACCAUGGAUAGGUAUUGCGUGUGCGUAGGAUUUUUUUUUGUUUCCCAUCGACGUUCCACAACAGUGGCAUCAUGAGAUAGGUUCAUGCGUAGAUGAAAUCUUGAGUAGAACACAAAAGAGUUUGUGGGCAUUGAUAUUCAAUUUGAUUCCCUCCUUAGUCUUUUCUCGAUUUGGCGGUAUUGUUGGAUUGAAGCGGCCCGGACCAACCUUACUCGUACGCUUACGAGAGACCGGUUUCAUCGAAUGACAUGCAAGUUGUUGCAUAAAUAUGAAUGGCGGUUGUCAGUUUCUUCAACUUUAGUUGAAUCAGAUUUGACCGAGGCGGUCCUUGGAGAAGGUUAAACAGCAAUUUGCAUAUCACCGUUGUGGCUUUGCGUAAGUAAGAUGCGAUCAUACUAGAUACUCAUAGCAGCCACGUAAAACAUGCACCGUUUUGUGUUAUGUUUUUUGAUCCAGCGGAAUACACUUCCUGUAAAAUGCACCGAUUUCUUCUGAGGUUACUUAUGACCAAAUGUUUAGGCUCAACUUUGAAGUGUGGACUUACUUAGAGCAUCAUUAGUAGUGCCCUCAAAUCUUCAAAUCCUCAAACCAGUUUAAGGGUUGAAAAUUGGCAUUUUUUGACACUUUUAAGGGUUAAAAAACACGGGCAACCCAACCCUUAUAACGGAAUAUUCCGUUAUAAGGGUUGAGUUUGAAGGUUCUAGUCUUUGCCGCAUCUCAAACCCUUAAAACUACCAUUUGACAUAUCACAAUUUUCAUCAUCUAAUAACGGUUUGAAGAAAACAAUAAUCAUUCUAGUUAUAAUUACAACACCGAAUAAUACUUUCAAACACAUAAUAGUCAUUCAAGUUAUUGCAACAAUGUUUUCUAGCAAAUUACAAUAAUUGCUCGAAUCAAGUAGGACAUAGAAAAGUAAACAAAGAUAGAUCAUGGGCCUUGGCACCGCCCAGCCAACUCCCACUGGUGCUCUACUAGAUCAUCCCGGAGCUAACCAUGAGUGUUUGCAUCCUCAGUCUGACGAUGUGCUUGAAGAAAAGAUUGUACGCGACAAGGGUUUCUUUUCGGUUACACACGGGCACCAACAUUGUCCUAGAAACAAGGAAGUUUUAACACUCUCUCAUCCUCGAGGAUCAUGUUGUGUAGAAUCACACAACAUUUGAUGAUGUUCUCCAAGGUUUUUUUAUCCCAAAAACGAGCUGCACCCCGAACUAUGGCAAACCUUGCUUGCAAAACACCGAAGGGGCGGGCGGCGGCCGAGGGGCGUGGGGGGGGGGGGCGUGGGCGGGAGGAGGUGGACGAGAGGCGGUCGGUCUGCUGCGGGCGGAAGGCGGGCGGCGGCCGGGGAGGUCGAGGGGNNNNGGCGGCCGCGGCUACGGAGGUGGAGGGGAGGCAACCGGGGGUGGGAUGGCGGCGACGGCUGUGGAGGUGGAGUGGAGGCGGCCGGGGGGCGGGACGGCGGCAGCGACGACUCGGGUGGGCGCGGGCAGGAGUUGGGGACGGGAAAUUUCCCUCCCGUGCUCGGAUGGCUCGUAAGUGAGGGUUGGGAUAGGUUUUGCUCCCUAAUCCUCACUUGUACAAUUUGGGAAAGGGUUUGAAGGUCGUAUCCUUAAAUUUUUUUGAGGGUUAAGGGGUUCUAGUCUACGCGCUUUUGAAGGUCGGAUCCUUAAAUGUGGUGGAGGUGUCUUCCCGUGCACAAUCUUGUUACGAACAUACCAGGAACGCCAUAGGACCAUGAUAAUUCUGCUACGCACCGAUACCUGAGCUUUGUCGAGGAGAUUGAAGAGCCAUUCCUUGCCUGUGUAGUUGAUGUGCAAUCUGUCGGGUAAUGGCCAGUAGAAUCGCAUUGUAUCCCACAGGUUUGCUGCAUGCGGACAGGCAAGGAGAGCAUGAAAUGAUGAUUCCUGCUCCCGAUCACAGACCUGGCAAAAGCCAUUCAGGUCAAAAUGUCGUCUCUUCUUCUCAACAUCAGUAGGGAGGGAGCCCGAAGCAACUUGCCAGGCAAAAUUCUUGAGCUUUGGAGGGACCUUUGUAUCCCAUAUUAGCUUCCAAAGUGGUCUGUCACCAGAAGGGUCUGCACUAGUUGAGCCUGGAUUGAACUGAUCAUAGUGAAUUACCAUUGCCACAUGAUAAGCGCUUUUAACUAUCAAAAUUCCUAACUUCUCCCAUGGCCAAGAGAUAAAAUCGUCCCACCUUGCUGACGUUCUUAUCUUUAGGAUGGCCUCCACAUCCGGUUGCCAGAAGUACUGACGAAGCAGAUCAACCCUCCAUCCGCCCUGCUCAUUCAGGAAUUCGUGCACUCUUUUCAGCCUGCAAUUCCGCCUAGGUGUGAUGGGUAUAAACGGCAUACCCCUCGGUAUCCAUGGGUCACACCAAACCUUGAUGUUCAUACCAUUGCCCACCCUCCAUAACAUUCCUUUCUUCACGAGUUGUAGCCCAUAUUCAAGGCCACGCCAUACAGCCAAGGCAUUCCCAGUGAAGACCGUGUCGACCAAGUUCCCAUUAGGAUAGUAUUUAGCAUGAAGGAGAGAUGCACACAAAGAAUUCGGUGACAUGAGUAAGCGCCACACCUGCUUGGCCAACAACGCUUGAUUGUAUGCCCUCAUGUCACGGAAUCCAAGCCCCCCUUGAGAUUUUGGUAGUAGUAGCUUGUUCCAAGACAUCCAUGCCAUUCUCCUCUUCCCCUUGUCCACUCCCCACCAAUACUGCCGAAUCAGUUUGGUAAGCUCAUCGCACACCGAGAAGGGGAGUUUGAAGAUGCUCAUGAAAUAAACCGGGAUAGCUUGUGCUACAGCCUUAAUCAGAACUUCCUUGCUUGCUUGUGACGCAUACUUUUCGCUCCACUCAACUAGCCGCUUGCUCAGUGUCGCCUGUAAGGAUUCAAACCUACCCUUAUGCAUCCGUCCAUCCGGAACCGGGAGACCCAGGUAUUUAGCUUCGAACUCCUGCUGUGUCACUUGCAGAAUACCCUUAAUCUCAUCAAUCACCAAUGGAUCACAACUAUCUUUAAACAGGAUCGAGCACUUUGAGGGAUUGAUCAGUUGGCCCGUCGCAAGUGCAUAAGUAUGUAACACUUCCUUAAUGAUCUCAGCUUGGUCUGCAGCAGCCCGGAAGAAUAAGAGAAAAUUUUCCGCAAAUAAGAUAUGUGAUAUAGCAGGCGCCCCUCGGCAUAUUUCCAGCGGAACCAGGCCACGCUCCUGAACCGCCUCAUGCAGUAGAGCAGAUAGUGCAUCAGCAACAAAUAGGAACAAAAAGGGGGAUAGUGGAUCACCUUGCCUAAGGCCCCUUGAGGGUGUAAAUUGAUGGAGAGACUUCCCAUUAAGCUUGACCGCAAACUUUACCGAGCGCACCGAUGCCAUGAUCCUGGUGACCCAGGCAUUUGCAAAACCCCACUUCAAUAGGGCUUGUUCCAAGAAGUCCCAAUCAACACGAUCGUAAGCUUUUGAUAGAUCCAGCUUGUAAGCGCAGUAAUCACUCCUUGUGGAUCCUGUUUGGAGGUGGUGCCAACAUUCGAAGGCAAUGAUGGAAUUAUCCGAUAUCAACCUGCCAGGGAUGAAGGCGCUCUGAUUUACCGAGAUGAGAUCAACUAAGAAAGGCCGGAGCCUAUUCACCAUACACUUGGAUACCACCUUGUAAAUAACAUUACACAACGAGAUAGGACGGAACUCCUUCACGGAGGAAGGGUGCUGGACCUUGGGUAUAAGAACAAUGAGCGUUUCAUUUACACCCUCCGGCAUUACCCCCGACGAAAAGAAGUCACGAACUGCCUUCACAACAUCUUCUUUCAACACCCCCCAGUUCCGCUGAUAAAAUCUUGCUGGGAAUCCAUCCGGCCCUGGGGCUUUCAGUGGUCCAAUCUGGAACAACGCGUCUGAUAUCUCCUUCUCUGAGUAAGGUGCAAGUAGUUCCUCAUUCAUGACAUCUGUAACUUUAGGCACUAUCUUGUUUAACAUAACCUCCGGAGUUAACGUUGGGUCUUUGGUGUACACCUCCUUAAAAUAUGAAGAGGCCAUCCGUUCCAUCUCCGAUGGCGACACACACCAUGAACCAUCAUCUUUCUGAAGAUGGUGGAUGUUGUUUCUCUUGGCCCGCCAUACCGCAUGUCGAUGAAAGUGUUUAGUGUUGCGAUCACCUUCCUUCAACCAGGUGAUGCGCCUACGUUGGAGCCACAUCAUUUCCUCCCUAUAGCGCAGUUCAUCCAAUUCCUCCAUUUUCUUCUUUACUAGCAACCGAUCGGCGUCAUUAAGCUGUAAAACCUCAAACUCCCGGCGCAGUUUCAUGAUCUGUUUCUCCACAUGGCCAAAGUUGUCCUUACUCCACUUACGAAGAUCUGACAUGACUGAUUUUAAGGAAUCUGCCACGUUUCCAAGAUCACCAGUAGGCUUUACUUUCGCCCAAGCUGCCGCGAUAACCUGGGAGAGACGGCAAUCGCGUUCCCACAUAAUUUCAUACUUGGGAUUCCCCGUACGCCGUACGUCAACCACCUCUUCUAGGUGCAAGAACAGGAGGCAGUGAUCCGAUCUAGGAGAAGUCAGGUGUUGUACUUUUGCAUAGGGAAACAUAUCCCGCCAAUCGUCGAAGGCGCAUACCCUAUCCAGGCGGACUCGUGUGUUAUCAAUACCUAGUCGCCCAUUAUCGUAUGUGUAAGGCACACCCGAGAACCCUAAAUCAAUCAGCUCACAAAGUUCUAGAGUAUCCCGGAAGGCUUCCAUCUGAAUUUCACGCCUGGCCGUCCUGGAGAAGUGCUCGUGCUGCCACAGGGCCUCGUUAAAGUCGCCCCCACCAUCCAUGGCAACAUGGACAAGCCCCUAAGUCUGAGCAGAUGGUUCCACAUGCACUGCCGAUUCUCGACUCGUGGUUCCCCGUAAACAAAAGUUGAUCUCCACUGCUUCCCUGACCCUGGAUCAGAUAUAAGAACAUCAAUGUAACGCUGGCAGGAAUCUAACACCGUGACAUGAUAGGAUUCCUCCUAGAACAAGGCCAGACCACCACUAUGACCGAUACAGUCAACACCACUAAAACCCUUUAAGCCUAACCUCCAUUUAAGACUCUCAAUUUUUGCACAGGUUUGUCUUGUUUCCGCAAGAAAGACAAAGCUUGGGGAAUGGGCUUUUACAAGAGCCCCAACUUCACGAACUGUCCGGCGGUUCCCCGCCCCCCGACAGUUCCAAUAUAAGUGACUCAUUAGGCCUGGCGGCGCUCCACCUGGGAGCCCGCCGAAAGGUUGUCCGAGUCUGAUUGAGCAUCAUCCUUCUUAGCACGUUUACUGUCUGAACUGGUAGAUGGGGAUUCUAAAUUUGCAGCGUCCUUCCCAUCGGUAAUCAACAGCAUUUUCCCCUCCUGAGCAUGCACCACCACUUCAUCCUGUUCCACAAGUAGACGCUUGCGAGCAGAUUUAUCGACCUCCAUGGCCAGGGAGGUGUCCUUCUUAACAGGGUUAGAUGCAGUGUCUUUCAACUCCCUGUCAAUGGCCGCCACCCCUUUGUUCGUUGACACUUUGGCCGCAGGGGAAUCGAGGACAGUUUUGUCAGAGCGGCUCGGCUCCCAAUCACUCUUGAACUUCCCCGGGGGAUCGGCAUACAGGUAGUCGCCGAAUUUGAGAUCACUUUCCUCAUACACGCCACUACCACACUCCUUAUGAUCAUGACCAAUGAUACCACAGGCUUUGCAAAACCUUGCUAGCUUCUCAUACCUAACGGCAUAUGCUGAUCUCACUUUACCUUUGACAAUACUCACGAAUUUCGUAAGGGGUUUCCUGACAUCAUGUUUAACCCUAACCCGGAUAUAAUCUUCCCUGGAGUUUCCUGCAAUCCUUGUUUCCAGUAUCUCCCCUGAUGAUCGAAGCAACUUCUCUACCACAUCCACUGUACAAUAUCCAUCCGGGAGUUUAUGGAUCUGGAGCCAUAUGGGCAUAUGGACCAUAAGAACGUCCGUAGCCUCAGAGUAACCAUCAUAUGGAGCAAAAAUCACCGCCAUAUUGCGAAACAGCCACGGACCCUGUGACAUGAUCCGAUCCCAAUCCCCAGGCAUUGUGCUUGGAUCACAAACAGAUUGGCGCCGAUGGGACGGAACCUGACAGGUUUAGCCGUAUUCUAGGCCGCUCUCAUAUCCUUGAAGAACGCAACUUGACUAAAGUUUUUGAAGGUUUGGACCCUGGCUAGGGCAAGCCAUGGAAUCACCUCCGCGAGAUCAGGAGCCUCCUCUUCCACGAUCACAUCAUCGAAAUCUUCCUCAUGUAGAUCCAGCUUCUCGAAGAAAUCGCCAAGCUCCUCGUCUUGUUUCCCCUGGGAACCCAGGUUUGUCGAAGAGAAUGCAUCUGGAGCCGAUGCCAUGACGCAGCUCGAGAGAAGAACCCUCGCCGAGAACGAGGCGUUCGGGACGACGGGGGAAAAAUCGCGGGAGUAGAUCGGGCGACUGCAAGUCGACGGUAGACCUAGGGCGGACGGGGGACCUACGGCGUGGAGUCGCCGCAGGGAGGUAAAACCCUAGUUUUGGCUAGGGGAAUUUUUUUCGCACUCCUAGCAAUCGCUUAGCUGGUCUGUUAGUUACUUGUACUACUACUAUUUACAAUUGGAUUGCUCCAUGGUAGGAACCUAGUAUUCAUGGUUGUUUCCUCUUAAUUAAGGCAUGGAAAUUGUCUACAUGGCGCUGCUACACAAUGGAUGCAUAUUAUAUGUGGCAGCGUUGCAGGAAGCCUUCUUGUACGGGGAAGUGAAGACUCUGUCCACAGAGAUUCAAGCCGUCUUCGGCACCACUGCCACAGCCUCUGUGCAUCUCAUCAGUGACUGCAUCGUCGGCCCACAGUCCUCCUAUCCAUGAUCAUAUGAGGCUGGGGAGAGUUGUGCAGAUGGUGCCUAUCUUGGAUUGGUCAAUUAGUGGCAAGAAAUUCACUUGUAAGAUAGGAUGAUUCAUAUGAAUGGGUUGUUUAUGUAC